rnacentral:lncRNA from 1 species
AAAAAUAGAGCCUUUUCUCUUCUCAAUACACAGCACAGAAGGUAUUUGUCUCCAACUUGCAUUAAGAGUUCAAAGUACACAGAGGAAAAAGGUUCAAUUUUCAAAACUUUAAGAGUUCAAAGUACACAAGAACAUAAGUCCACUAUGCUUUGUGUCAGCUAUCUGAUAUUUGUGAGGGGAACUUCAAUUUUCUUUAGUUCAACUUUUGAAUGUGUUCCAGUUCGUCUACUUCCUAGUCGUCCUGUGUCAAUCAAAAAAAGCAGUAGUUUAGCACGAAAAAUAGAGAUUUUUCUCUUCUCAGUACACAUCACAAAAGGUAUUUGUCUCCAACUUGCAUUAAGAGUUCAAAGUACACAGAGGAAAAAGGUUCAAUUUUCAAAACCUUAAGAGUUCAAAGUACACAAGAACAUAAGUCCACUAUGCUUUGCGUCAGAUAUCUGAUAUUUGUGAGGGGAACUUCAAUUUUCUUCAGUUCAACUUUUGAAUGUGUUUCAGUUCGUCUACUUCCUAGUCGUCCUGUGUUAGCUAGAUCAGUACUAGUGCUCAGCAGUACGACAAGUAGCAGUACUGAUCAGUACGACCUACACAAAUACUAUUACUGAUCAGUAAUAUUCUUAAUGUUAAAAGUAACAUCCAUAUAGAAAAAAUGCUUCUAUUCUAACACACAAUGUUUUGCAAAAAAGAGCACUAGUACUGAUGAGUCGUACCGACAAGGAUGCCUUCUACAAUUCUGAAAUUAUUGUUGAGUCGUACUAGUACUAUUACUGUUGAAAAUGGGAAGCAAGUGUCACAUGAAUCCUCAAUUGAAUGGGAAGCAAGUUGAUCCUCGCUCCUUCAACUCCACUUCGCCAGUGCCCGUCAGUCUGCAGGAGUAGGGGCGGCGUGUCCGUCAACAAACAAGAACAGAAGGUAUGUGCUUGGAAAACCUAAAAUUAUGUUCACAUUUGGGCAACAGUAGUUGUAGCUUCUUUCAAAGUUCAAAAUGAAAGAUAUUCAAUUCAACUUGUUCUAUCAAAACAUGUGUGGGACCUUGGCAGCAUGUCAGACACACUAUCUAGUGCAGAAAAAUGUUCGGCGUAGUUCAGCGCGCCGCCGCCGCCUACCCCCUGCCUCCAAGUGCCGCUGGUCUAUGAGUUCAACAUGUAUAACCCUAUAAGUUCAUAGAAAAAUAGAAAACAAAAUAAACAAAAAUAAUGAUACACAAAACCCAUGGAAUUCAUAGGGAAAAGAUAACAAGUUCUAAGGAAAUAAAUGUAGAAGUUCAUAUUCCAAAAUAAAUGAAGUAUUUGGGAAGUAAAAAUAAAGUAUUUCAAAGUGUAGAAAUCUUUUUAGGUUUCUUUGGGAACUUCUAAUGUUACUACACAUGAACUUGCUUAGUUACACAAAUAUGAAACUGAUUGUGCAAGUCACUUAGAAUGUGUUUGAACUUGUUAUGGGAACUCAUGACUUGUUAUGAUUAAAUGCAGGGAGCAAUUGGCGCCGAAUGGGCCCCUGGGAGCUAGUCCAACCCGCUCGCAGACUGGAGGGCAUGCCGGUUUAUUUCCAAUGAAGCCCUAUGUACAAUCAGUCUGUUCGUUUGAUAAGAAAGGAGACAACAUAGAAGUUAUGGUUGAAGCAAGUCCCUCCGUCCAGUUAUGUCCGAUUUUUGUGAUAGUAGUUCAAAAUGAGGGAUAUAUUGUAUAAACUUUUUUGGACUUGUGCCCAGGCUGCUUCUGAACAACUCCAAUGCUUUAUUGGCCUCAGUACUACAGUUUGUUAACUUUUAACUGAGAACUCUAUGAACUCUUGGACAUGUUCAUAAAGUAUUCCUGGACUAAGAACUCGAUGAACUUCUAGACCUAUUCAUAAAGUAUUGUUGGAGAACUCUCAGUAGUUCUAGUAUUAUAGUGUGUGUUUUGAACUAAGAGAUAUACUCUAUGAACUUUCUCUACUCUUGAAGCAUUUUGUUCUCAUAUAUAAAAUCAAGUGCAUAUAUGAAAUCUUGAACAAAAUGCUCUAUGGACUCUUGGACUGCAUUAUUGGAGAGCUGUUGUUUGGUACCUAAUGGAAUUUCCACAUGAAGCAUUUUGUUCUCAGUUUUUUGGUGAAAGUUUGCUUCCUAUUGCAUAGCUGCUGCAGUAGACCUUCCAUGCAUGGCAAUGUAAACAUACAAAAUGUAUAUGCUACUCCCGGAUGGGCUGCUGUAGUGAACAAUUUUCUACCAUGAAAUUUUUCCUAAAAGGGCUGCUAUAGUGAACAUGGUGCCAACUUGUUGCUAGUUAUAUUGAAAGUCCACCUUGCAAAACAACAUCAGUUCUCUCAUGAACAUGCAUUAGUUUAAGGGGUGGACAUGCAUCGGUUCAAGGGGUCACAAAGUAAAACAAUGUAUACACACAGCCCAUAACAAUGUUCCCUUCUAUGAAAAAUAUUUAACUAGGUAAUGUAAGGCAUCACACCGGUUGAAUAUAGUCAGAAAAAACCCUAAUAGUUCAACCGAGGCCAUUGGGAGGUUCAAUGAAAUACAAUAUGACGGUUAGAAAAAAGAUAUCAUGUUUUAUAAAAAAAUGUGCUUUGGUCCGUGAAAACAAGCUCUAUACAAAUCCAUGCGGAGAUCAAUUUGGGUACUCUAUUUUCGAAACGAAGAAAAACACGAAUGGUUUCACCGUAUUGAAAUACUCUAUGAAAAAUACAUCAGUACAAGCAAACACAUAAAUCAGUACAAGUACUUUGUUUUACGAGGAAAACCAUGGGAAAAAACAGAGAAAGUCUAGUUUGUGAAAACAUGUUCAGUACAAAUCCAUACGGACAUCCACUCAGAUACUCUUUUUUUGGAACCUUUCAAAAUUACUCUCCAAAGAAUACAUCAGUACAAACGCACACGUAGAUCAGUACAAGUACUCUGUUUUUUCUGACGGAAAAACAGCACGAUGGGUCUCACCGUAAUCCAAAUUACUCUUCAAUGGUUGCGAAUUUGAGAAAACGUUCAACAUGACUAAGUUUCGUAUUUUCGAUAUCUUUCCAACCAUACAUUAUUUGCCUCAUUUAGACAAACUUUAAAAAAAAUCGCAUUUGAAAUCAAAUUUGACCGUAUUUGAAUUUGUUUUUAAACCGUAAGGAAUUAGAAAAACAUUUCAAUAUGAAAAGUUGCGCAUUUUCCAUAGCUUUCCAACGCCAUAUCAUUUGCAUCAAUCCGACAAACCGUUUGCAAAAAAAUUGCUAAAAUACCUUUCACCCAGAAUUUCACCGUUUUCCAAAUUACUUUUAAAUUGUAUGGAAUUAGAAAAAACAUUAGAUAGAUAUAUGGAAGAUGCGGAUUUUCACCAGCUUUCCAACACCAUCUUAUUUGCUCAAUUCCGACAAACCAUUUGAAAAUUGAGUGCAAAAUACGAUUCGCGUUUUCGGUUUUGAAAAAAACAGUUUUUUCAAAACUGCUUUUAAACCAUAAUGAUUUUGCAAAUACGUUCAAUAUAUUUUAAAUAUAGUUGUCAAGAGCUUUCCAACGAUAUAUUACACGCCCCAUUCCGACAAAAAAAUUGCAAAAAAAUUUUGAACUAAAGAAGACGAUGUGUUAAACAGGACCGAAAGCAUCAGUUCAACCGCUUCGAAAUCAUCAGUACAACCGCCUGAAACCGUCAGUACAAAAAGGGUAACAGAAUAACAUUCUGUUACGCGUAACAGAAUAGCCCAGAUGUGUGUGUGUGUGUGUAUAUAUAUAUAUUGCUAUUGAUAUUGCUAUUCUAAGAAUGAUCAUGAUGCCCUCAUGUCCGUAUUUUAUUUUAUCGACACCUCUAUCUCUAAACAUGUGGACAUAUUUUUCGAUAUCGGCUUCCGUUUUAGGACAAGCGAGGUCUAAGCUUGGGGGAGUUGAUACAUCCAUUUUGCAUCAUGCUUUUAUAUCGAUAUUUAUUGCAUUAUGGGCUGGUACUACACAUUAUGUCACAAUACUUAUGCCUUUUCUCUCUUAUUUUACAAGGUUUACAUGAAGAGGGAGAAUGCCGGCAGCUGAAAUUCUGGGCUGGAAAAGGAGCAAAUAUUAGAGACCUAUUUUGCACAACUCCAAAAGUCCUGAAACUCCACGAAAAGUCAGUUUUGGAAUAUAUUAAAAAUAUUGGGCGAAGAAAGCACCCGAGGGGGGCCACCCACCGUCCACGAGGGUGGAGGGCGCGCCCUACCCCCUGGGCACGCCCCCUGCCUCGUGGGCCACCUGGAAGCCCCCCGAUGCCCAUAUUCUGGUAUAAGGUGUCUUUUGCCCUGGAAAAAAUUAGAAGGAAGCUUUCGGGACGAAGCGCCGACGUCUCGAGGCGGAACCUUGGCGGAACCAAUCUAGGGCUCCGGCGGAGCUGUUUUGCCGGGGAAACAUCCCUCCGGGAGGGGAAAUCGUCACCAUCGUCAUCACCAUCAAUCCUCUCGUCGGGAGGGGGUCAAACUCCAUCAACAUCUUCACCAGCACCAUCUCCUCUCAAACCCUAGUUCAUCUCUUGUAUCCGAUCUUUGUCUCAAAACCUCAGAUUGGUACCUGUGGGUUGCUAAUAGUGUUGAUUACUCCUUGUAGUUGAUGCUAGUUGGUUUACUCGGUGGAAGAUUAUAUGUUCAGAUCCUUUAUGCACAGUAAUACGAAUCUGAUUAUGAACAUGAAUAUGAUUUGUGAGUAGUUACGUUUGUUCCCGAGGACAUGGGAGAAGUCUUGUUAUAUGUAGUCAUGUGAAUUUGGUAUAUUUUGAUGAGAUAUAUGUUGUCUUUCCUCUAGUGGUGUUAUGUGAACGUCGACUACAUGACACUUCACCAUUGUUUGGGCCUAGGGGAAGGCAUUGGAAGUAUAAGUAGAUGAUGGGUUGCUAAAGUGACAGAAGCUUAAACCCUAGUUUAUGGGUUGCUUCGUAAGGGGCUGAUUUGGAUCCAUAUGUUUCAUGCUAUGGUUAGGUUUACCUAAUUCUUAUUUUGUAGUUGCGGAUGCUUGCGAGAGGGGUUAAUCAUAAGUGGGAUGCUUGUCCAAGGAAGGGUAGUACCCAAGCACCGGUCAACCCACAUAUCAAAUUAUCAAAGUAACGAACGCGAAUCAUAUGAGCAUGAUGAAAAUUAGCUUGACGAUAGUUCCCAUGUGUCCUCGGGGGUGCUUUCCUUUAUAUAAGAGUUUGUCCAGGCUUGUCCUUUGCUACAAAAAGGAUUGGACCACCUUGCUGCACCUUGUUUACUUUAGUUACAUUUUACCCAUUAUGAAUUACCUUAUCACAAAACUAUCUGUUGCCGAUAAUUUCAGUGUUUGUAGAUAAUACCUUACUGAAAACUGCUUGUCAUUUCCUUCUGCUCCUCGUUGGGUUCGACACUCUUACUUAUCGAAAGGACUACGAUAGAUCCCCUAUACUUAUGGGUCAUCAAAGAUACCACCAUCAAAUGCGUGUGGGUGUUUGUGAAGACAAUGAUCCAGGUUUUUUGGCCCGGAGUAUCUCUGAGCUCCAAAUGAGGAGGACACAAAGAAUUCGAUGAGGAUGAACAAAGAUAGGGGAUGGACAGGCAUGCCUGUGAGUAUUGGUUGCAUGCAUUGGAGGUGGAAGAACUGCCUGAUGGCUUGGGCAGGGCAAUACACCAUCAACAAACAUAAACCUACCAUUGUGCUUCAAGCCAUGGCUUCACGCAAUUUAUGGAUUUGGCAUUGCUUCUUUGGUUUGUUAGGGUCUCUCAAUGAUAUCAAUGUCUUGAAGAGAUCUCAUAUUUUUGCUUAGCUAGCUAGUGGAAAAGCUCUGGAUUGCAACUAUGUCAUCAAUGGCAUGACUACACCAUGGGGUACUAUCUUUCCGAUGGAAUUUAUCCUCCAUGGUCAACAUUUGGGAAGACCAUUACUGACCCCAAAACCAAUAAGCACAAUUUUUUUGCCAAAGCAUGAGUAGCAUGCCAAAAGGAUAUUGAGAGGGGCAUUUGGUGUGUUACAAGCUCGGUUUGCCACUGUUUGAGGUCCCGCUCAUUUCCAGGAUAACCUGACUGCAUGUGUAAUUUUACACAACAUGAUCAUCGAGGAUGAGAGGUAUUUUAACUUAGAGUAUUAUUAUGAUAAUGUUGGUAGUCGUGUGAAGCCUGCCAAGGACGCAAAUGAGACCAAUGCAUUUCUUGACACCAACCAGAAAGAUUGAGAACAAUGCUUCACACUACCAGGUCUUUGAUGAUGUAGUUGAGCAUCAGUGGCAACUCUAUGGGAGAUAGAUUCACAUUUCAAAUUAAUAAAUUUCAUAUAUAUUUGUGUGUGGUUUGAACAAUUUGUUGUUGUAUUAAUUAUUCAAAUUUGAACAUUUGUUGUGAUGAAGACGAUUGUUGUCGGAUGUUGGGUUCUGACAGACCCUUAAGGUUCGAACAUUGGGGUGCGCACGAAGAUCUCUCCCCUACCGAUCUACGUCCGAUCACCUCGUGAGAUCUAGGCUAAAAACGAUGAACAACACAAGGGACACAAGAUUUAUACUGGUUCGGGCCACCGUUGUGGUGUAAUACCCUACUCCAAUGUGUGGUGUGGUGGAUUGCCUCGGGGGCUGGUGAUGAACAGUACAAGGGGAGAACGGCCUCGCGAGAGGUGUUCUUGAGCUGGUGCAAUGAACUGCUUGGGUGAGUUUGAUCGCCUCUCUCUUUCUCUCUCUGAGUAUCUGAUCCCAAAAUCUCCCUUUUCUACUGUGGUGGCUAGAUCUAUUUAUAGAGGCCCUGGGCCUCUCCCCAAAUAUUGAGCGGGAAAGUCGCCAACAUUGGCCAUUUCAAAGGGGAACAUCUAGUACAAGUUAUCCUGACUAAAGUUGGUCUUCGGCUGCCAAAAGCACUGGUGAUGACACCGUCUUGGGCUCCACGGUGACCUCCAUCCUGCCGUUCCGCUGGUCUUGGUCUUGUUGCACCGAAAUGGCAACCUUUGCUUGAUGCCUUGGUACUCCACGUCUGUGCUUGCCCCCCUUGCACCAAAGAGGAAACAAGGACACUGUGCAGGCCGGCGCCCGCCUGGUCUCUAUCGUCAUGGCUUGCGUCACGAGCACCUCGCGAGGUACCCUGCCUUGAUCUCUCCGCCUCCUCGCGAGCCUACCUAGCGAGGCCGUCCCUGAGGAAGCCUUGCGUCUUCCGCCCCGCGAGGCUUGACCCCUCGCGAGGGUCUUGAGUCUUGUGCCGAUGAAGACGGGUCGUACUGGGCCACCACUUGAGCCACACCGCACGCCGCAGGCAGACAAGUCUAGGGACCCCAUUCCUAGAACACUGACAGUAGCCCCUGGGCCCAAGGCACGCUCGGACUUGGCUUAGCGGAGAAGCGAAGUUUCUGGUGCGGAGCGCCGCGGGCCCCAUCAGCCUGCGGCCUUGGGCGUUGCGUGACGGUUGAUUGGACAUGGGCGUCUCCGCUUCCCAGUGCUACCUUGGCAACCGCUCGACUUGACAAGUCCCUGCAUGCAGAAACAUGUCAUGAUUACCUGCGAUCGUGGAGGCCGAUGGUUGGCUUCCUUCCGGUUAUAAAUGCAGGAGGGCACAAGCCUCCACUGUACACCUCCCUCCUUGCCUCCUUCUUUCUCCCCAUCCCAGCUACUCGCCAUCUUCCAUGGCGCCGCCAAGAGGUUCUCGGCCGCAGAGAAGGGAAAGGCUCAUCGGGAAGGGCCUGACUCUCCCCCUGCCAAGCGCGGCCAAGGCCGUCCACGCAAGCAUCCUGUGGCCCCCGAAGUGGCUUCCCGCGGUCGCGAAGGUGAUCCCCUGCGCGGUGAUGGGCGCCUGGUUGUCGAGGGAAGGCGCGCCGUGACUGCGCGGCCUCCCAGGCCGCGCUUCCACUCGACGGAGGUGCUGCCGGAGUUUGUCGUGUGGUCGGCGGACCCAACCAGCACCUGGCUCCAGCUACCCCGCUUCUUUGCAGGUGAACUUCCGGCCGGCGUUUCGGGCGGCCUCUGGUUUCAGGCGGAUGGUUGCUGCAGCAGGGCCUCCUGGGCUUCGCUGGAGGUCUCCAUCAUCGGGAAUGUGGCCCUGACCCGCGGCUGGCAAAUGUUUGCCCGCGCGCAUGGCUUGAGCCAGCGGUGCACCCUGCACUUCAAGUUUGAUGGCGACGCCACCCUCUAUUUGAGGGUGUUCGGAGAAGACGGUCACCGCACUGGAUGCUGCCCCGAAGACGAUGACCGCGGCCGGGUACCCAACCCUGACGAUGAUCGGGAUGAAGAUGACGAUAGGCGCGUGGUCGGCGGCGCUCGUGGCUCGCCAAGCUUCGGCGGCUCUCCUUCGGACAUCAGCUCCUCCAACACUGGCCGCGACCAGCCUCCGUGCCUUCGCGCUCGCCUUGAGGGAGGUAGCGGGUCAGUCUACCGUCGUGCCUCGGUGAAGCCCGAGGAGGAGUCGGACUGAGCUCCGGGGCGGUACGAGCCCUCGCCGCGAGUUGGUGUCGAGCAAGUCGCGCCUAUUUUGUUAUUCUCCCUUCCCCGCGCAAAGAGAAAGUAGUGUAGGGCCCCAUGGGGGCGUGUUGGACUGUUGCCAUUAAUUACCAUGAUGUUCCCGCUAUUUUGGUGCUGUGUUUCUGUGCUGUAUGCCCGCAUGCAGGAAUUACUUAGCUCGGGAGGACUUGCCGUAGUCUUCGCUUCCCGAGGCUGAGGCCCCGCCGUGCGCUUCAUGUCCUGCAAGGAUUAGUCAGGAGUGGUAACUUCCGGUCUCGGUCACUGAGGCGACCGAUCAGGUCAUGUGUUCGUCUCGUGAUGCCCGUGGCGCACGGACUGGGGGGGGGGGGUGCUUCCGUAGUGGACUUGGAUAGGAAAGCUUCAAACGACUGGGGCAGAAAACACUUGCAAGGGCGCCCGCGUAGCCCCCUUGCGAGACUUGCGUGAGAGAAAAUGAGGCGAGUAGGCGAAAAAGUCAGAGAGUCACAAGGUAAGGACGACAACAACUCCAAUAAAACUUCAAAUAGGGAUGAACAAGCCAACUGCAGAAAGCAAAUGAAAAAUCCGCGUCCGGCACCUAAUCUAGUCUUCGACGUCUUCUCACCAACGCGGAGCUAAGUGCUGCCACUGGGCGUGGGCGGGAGCCCCCGAGGCCCAAGGGCGGCUCUCCGGAGACUCUGGGGCGUGUACAGCCCCAACUCAUUAUUACAUGAGAGCGUCACGGGCGGCGAGCUUCACAGGCAUUGGCCUUCUUCACAGGCUCCGGGCCUUUCUCGGGGAAAUGAGCUUCACAGGCGUUGGCCUUCUUCACAGGCACCGGGCCUUUCUCGGGGAAAUGAGCUUCACAGGCGUUGGCCUUCUUCACAGGCACCAGGCCUUUCUUGGUUCGUCUAGCUUCACAGGCGCCGGGCCUUCUUUACAGGCUCUAGGCCUUUCUUCAAGGAUAGAACUUCCGGAGAUGCUGGAUGUUCCACGCGUUCGGGAUGGGCACCCCCUCCUGAGUCUCCAAGCGUGUAGCGCCGGGCCUAGAGACAUGAAUAACCUUGAACAGACCCUCCCACAUGGGCGAGAGCUUGUGCAGCCCCUCCCUGGAGAGCACCCGUCUAAGCACGAGGUCACCUACCUCAAGGGUCCUGGGGCGGAUGCUGAGGCAGUGGUACCACCGCGGUGCUUGUUGGUAUCUCGCAGCCCGCAGCGCAUCCUCCCGACGACGUUCCUCCCCAAGCACGAGGUCCACCCCCCGCAUGGCGUCCUGCUAUGCUUCGUCGAAAGACAGGACCCGUGCGGAGCGAUGCCUGACCUCGUGAGGGAGGACCGCCUCAGCACCGUAGACAAGGAAGAACGGGGUUUCGCCGGUCGACUUGGUAGCGGUAGUAUGGAUGGACCAUAGCACGGACUGAAGCUCGUCGUGCCAGCCCCUGCCGCAGGCCUCCAGCUUCUUGUUGAAGGUUCAGGUUUUGAGGCCCUUUAGGACCUCCGCGUUGGUGCGCUCAGCUUAGCCAUUGCUCCGAGGGUGUGCCACCGAAGCGUAGCAUAUCUGCGUUCCAAGGUUAACAAUAUGUUUCAAAGAGAUUGCUGGUGAACUGCGAACCGUUCACUACAAAAAAAUAGACACAUCCGUGACAUUUUGGGCCGAACAAAAUUUUUUUUCUGUCAUACAUAUGACACUUCUAUGACGAUAAUUGUGACAAAACCCGGUAUCAUCAUAGAUGUGGUGGGCUCCUACUUCUAUGACAAAAAAUCAUGACAGAAAAUGGGCUUUUCGUCCUGGGCGGGCCGGAGACGCAACUGCAUGACAUUCUUUGGGCCGUCCAUGACGGAAAAAACCAUGGUAGAAGCGAGGGGGAGGAAAAUUUUGGGGAGUUGCCGGUUACGCUGGGAGGUCGGGGGCGGAGCGAUGCGCGUUUCUCUCAUACGUACGCGCGUGUGUGCAAGGCAUUGGCUCUAACUGAACCCGAGCGAGGCGUUGGGCUCUAACUGAACCCGAGCGAUUGCACUGCAGGCUACGCGUUACUGAACCCGAGGGAUCGAUGGAUGGCUGUUAACUGAACCCGAUGGAGCGAUUCCUUCGCUACUGCUGCUAACUGAAGCCGGUCGNNNNNNNNNNNNNNNNNNNNNNNNNNNNNNNNNNNNNNNNNNNNNNNNNNNNNNNNNNNNNNNNNNNNNNNNNNNNNNNNNNNNNNNNNNNNNNNNNNNNNNNNNNNNNNNNNNNNNNNNNNNNNNNNNNNNNNNNNNNNNNNNNNNNNNNNNNNNNNNNNNNNNNNNNNNNNNNNNNNNNNNNNNNNNNNNNNNNNNNNNNNNNNNNNNNNNNNNNNNNNNNNNNNNNNNNNNNNNNNNNNNNNNNNNNNNNNNNNNNNNNNNNNNNNNNNNNNNNNNNNNNNNNNNNNNNNNNNNNNNNNNNNNNNNNNNNNNNNNNNNNNNNNNNNNNNNNNNNNNNNNNNNNNNNNNNNNNNNNNNNNNNNNNNNNNNNNNNNNNNNNNNNNNNNNNNNNNNNNNNNNNNNNNNNNNNNNNNNNNNNNNNNNNNNNNNNNNNNNNNNNNNNNNNNNNNNNNNNNNNNNNNNNNNNNNNNNNNNNNNNNNNNNNNNNNNUCGUCCGUUUUGUGGUACGCCACACCCCUCCCGAUCAACAGGACCCCCGUUUCGACCGUAGGAGGUCUGUUUCGUCCGUUUUGCGGUACACCACACCCCUCCUGAUCAACAAGACCCCCGUUUCGACCGUAGGAGGUCCGUUUCCUCUGUUUUGCGGUACGCCAGGUCCCUCCCGAUCAACAUGACCCCAUUUCGAGCGUGGUCGGUUGAACACAAGGCCGUUUCCUCCGUUGUGCGGUACGCCAGGCCUCGUUCCCAUCGCAUGUUCCGUCCAAGCCCUCCCGAUGAACACGACCACACAUUUCGUUCCGUCCCAGCCGGUUGGCUCCCCAUGAACACGACGAUGACGCUGUUUCUCCGUUCCGACCCAGCCAUGUACGUAUGCGUGAGUAGGCGUUCGAGACCCUGCCCGUAUGUACGUACGUGGCCGUAUUUUCUUUCUUGCACCCUCGCCGUUGUAUGUACGUGUACAUGCUACGUGCGCGCCUCUACUACGACACGUGCGCGCCUCUACUAUGACACGUGCGCGCCUCUUCAUCGGCCAGUAUGUACGUACACAUUCGCGACCAGAAUGACAACGGUACGUACGCUUCGACCAGGUGGGUCCCGACUAUUAGGCACUUCCUUGCCUGCAAAGAUGUAGCUGGUGGGUCCCAGCAGUCAGGGAGGCGAAUCGUUUUUUUUGCCCGGACGCACUUCUUUGCGUGCGAAGGUGCAGCUGGUGGGUCCCAGCAGUCAGGGGGGAAACAUUUUUUUCAUGAAAUACUGUGGCCUGUCCGGUGGGUCCCCGCUAUCAGGUGGAGGAAUAAUUAUUUUCCGCGUAAUAAGGAGGCACUUCCUUGCUGCGGCCGUGGACCUAGCUGUCAGCCUCUCCACAUAUAGUCCACGUCCGAUGGAAGUCGUUCCUUGACCACGUUGACCACGCCGCGCCGAGAGCACCAGGGCGGUGGACGACGACGAGGCCUAGGAAGGGGACGACGGGGACCCGGGGAAGACGCGGCAAUGGAAGCCCGCGCGGAGAGGAGUACGAGGGUUCACUGGUUCGGCUGUGUGUGAGGCUGCCGUCGCCGCAGGGCCUGGCCAACGGUGGGAAUAGUAGGGGGCAGUGAGGCCUCCGCGGCAGCACAUCCGGCCACGGGAAGCAGGAGCAUGCGGCACGACCGGUGCUGCUUUGGGCGGCUAGAGCAAGAAGACCAGAGGUUGAAGAAGCACUAUGGCCGUUGGAUGGACAUCGUACGGUCACUGGAGCUAGAAUCAUUUAUAUUGACUAAGUUGACAAAGCCCUUCGUCCCCGUCAACUUAGUAGGCCCACAAGUCAGCCUCCCACCAAGGUGGGUCCCAGCUAGCAGGGGGUAUUCAUUUUUUGUGCGUAAUAAGGAGGCACUUCUGGUGGGUCCGAGUUGACAGCAGGGGGAACGUUUUUUUUUCGCGAAAUACGGUGGCCCGUCGGGUGGGUCCCAGCAGUCAGGGGCAAAUGUUUUUUUCGCGAAAUACUGGUGGCCCAUCCGGUAGGUCCCUGCUGUCAACUGGAGGAAUAAUUAUUUUCCGCAUAAUAAGGAGGCACUUCCUUGCGGCUGCCAUGGACCCAACUGUCAGCCUCUUCACGUACAGUAUUCUUCCGAUGGAAUUCGGUCGUUGACCACAUUGAGCACGCCGCGCCGAGAGCACCACGGCAGUGGACGAUGGCGAGGCCUAGGAAGGGGACGACACGGAGCCGGGGAAGAUGCGGCAGUGGAUGCCCACGCAAAGAGGAGUACGAGGGUUCACUAGUUCGGCUGCGCUACCGUCGCCGCAGAAUAACAGGGGGUGUGGGUGAGUGGAGUGGAGGGAUGGCCCGGCCAGCGGUGGGAGUAGUAUGGAGGCUGUGAGGCCUCCGCUGCAGCACAGCCGGCCACGGGAGGCAGGAGCAGGCGGCACGACCGGCGCUGCUUUGGGCGGCUGGAGCAAGAAGACCAGAGGUUGAAGAAGCACUACGGCCGUUGGAUGGACAUCGUACGGUCACUAGAGCUAGAAUCGUUCAUAUUGACUAAGUUGACAAAGCCCUCUAUCCCCGUCAACUUAGUAGGCCCACAAGUCAGCUUCCCACCAAGGUGAGUCCCAGCGAGCAGGGGGAGUAUUCAUUUUUUUGUGCGUAAUAAAGAGGCACUUCGGGUGGGUCCGAACUGACAGCGGGGGGAACGUUUUUUUCGUGAAAUACGGUGGCCCGUCCGGUGGGUACCAGCAGUCAUGGGGGAAACGUUUUUUCGCGAAGAAGACCAGAGGUUGAAUAAGCACUACGGCUGUUGGAUGGACAUCGUACGGUCACUGAAGCUAGAAUCGUUUAUAUUGACUAAGUUGACAAAGCCCUUGGUACGCUCCAACUUAGUAGGCCCACAGGUCAGCCUCCGAAACGGUGUGCCCCAGAUGUCAGGGGGAAGAAUCAUUUUCUGGGCAGCCGAAGCUAAGAAUAUCCGAGAUUGAAGAAGAAGCACGACAUCCAUUGGAUAGACAUCCAACGACCACUGCUGCUAGAACCGUGUGUUGACUAUAAUAAGUUGACAAAGCCUUGCAUACGCGUCAACUUAUUUUUUUUAGGGGACGCGUCACUUAGUAGGCCCACAAGUGUGUGGCAGAGAACUUAUAGCCCAUUUGCAUUUUGUAAGAAUGUACAACCCAUUUUUGAAUUCUAAUGGAAUUUACAACAACCCAUUUAUAGUUUGUUAAAAGUACAGCCCAUUUUCUAGCUAGGACAACGAUUAAUAAUUUCAACCAACCGUUGAAGACAGAAUUCAAUAAAAUUUCCCACAUUUUGAUUGGAUCCUAAAUAUUUUUAUCCCGAAAUUUUUAUUCGGAUUAAAUAUAAAUUUGUAUUAUGUAAAAAUCCAACGAAACAUUGCGCGUGCAACAAUGAAAAUUUAAGAUUUUCAAAAUCCAUAAAUAAUAUUUUAUAAACUAAUUUCGUGUUUGGUGCAUUUUUUAUAGUUACUGCCCAGUUUUUAUAAUUACAUCCCAUUUAUUACUUUUAAAGCCCAUUUUCCUGUUAAGCCUAAUGCAUCCCUCCUAGGAAAGAUUUGCAGCACAGCGGGGCGGAGAAUGACAAGUUGACCUUGCCUGGGUAUUCCUCAAAAAGACGUAUAGCUGGGCUAGCCAUUUUCAUCUUGAAAAAAGUAGUAUCUGGGCUGGAUAUCUGGCCUGGGCUAGACGGGCCACAGCCCGCCCAGUUAAUACCCUGCUCUCCUCUGAACAACAACGAAAUCUUCGCCAAGAAAAACUCUGCAGUGCUCAUGCCUCAAAAACACAAAUACUGCUCGAGCUGCUUGGUCCCAGUUGUCGGCCGCACCUUGUGCAAUUCUCUUGUUUAUAUUGACUACAUAGGUUGACAAUGGUGUGGGACCGUGAUGUCAGGAAACUAGGAGAAAACAAUAUAGUUGUACAUAAUAAGGAGGCACUUGCGUACGUACGGCUAUGGCCCUAGUGGGUCCCUAGUGUCAUCCAGUCAAAAUAAAGUCAUCUCCUAAAUCCUCAUCUUCGUUGACCAUGUUAACAAUGCUCGGCGCCACGGCGAGCGCAACAACUCGAAGGACAACGGAGAGGGCCUCGCGGGCCCUACGGAGGUCUGAUACAGCGCCCGAUGCUCAUUCAGGAAGCCAGGAUCAUCGGACACCUAUGAGCAUCUUCAAGAAACUGAGAUGGCAUGAAACGGUAAGGCCGCGCUUGGGAGCUCUGGUUUAUUUCAAACCUCUAUUAACAUACAAGUGUAAUUUACUCGUCAUCGGAAGGCCCGAGGUCUAUAAAUAAAACCGGCGGGUUACGCGUGUAAUUUGAGAGACCAGUGUACAUUUUACGAGAAUUGCUAUAUGGACGAUUGCCGGUGUCAAAACCGACGGAUCUCGGGUAGGGGGUCCCGAACUGUGCGUCUAGGCGGAUGGUAACAGGAGACGAGGGACACGAUGUUUUUACCCAGGUUCGGGCCCUCUUUAUGGAGGUAAAACCCUACGUCCUGCUUGAUUAAUAUUGAUGAUGUGGGUUACAAGAGUAGAUCUACCACGAGAUCAAGGAGGCUAAACCCUAGAAGCUAGCCUAUGGUAUGAUUGUUGUUCGUCCUAUGGACUAAAGCCAUCCGGUUUAUAUAGACACCGGAGAGGGCUAGGGUUACACAUAGUCAGUUAAAAUGGUAGGAGAUCUACAUAUCCGUAUUGCCAAGCUUGCCUUUCACGCCAAGGAAAGUCCCAUCCGGACACCGGACGAAGUCUUCAAUCUUGUAUCUUCAUAGUCUUGGAGUCCGACCGAUGAUGAUAGUUCGGCUAUCCGGACACCCCCUAGUCUGGGACUCCCUCAGUAGCCCCUGAACCAGGCUUCAAUGACGACGAGUCUGGCGCGCAUAUUGUCUUCGGCAUUGCAAGGCGGGUUCCUCCUCCGAAUAAUUUAUAGAAGAUUGUGAACACCAGGAUAGUGUCCGGCUCUGCAAAAAUAAAUUCCACAUACCACCGUAGAGAGAAUAAUAUUACACAAGAUCAAUCUGCUGACGUAUUCUGUGGCGUAACGUCACGCCACUUCCAAGCCUUUACUCGAAUUGUUUCUAUUGUUCCACCUCAGCGCGUUUAGCGAGGCGGUUUCCUUGGCAUGUCUGUCGAAGCAGAGAUCGUGUUCCCCUUAUUCCGGGAUUCCCAUCAAUACAGACGUGGGUAACCCAACCGCGCGAUUGAUUGUGACGCUUGGGAGAUAAGCGAGUUUUACCAGGCCAGUGGGGACGCGUGUUUCUGUCCGCCCAUAUAAGGGGAUAAAGAUCCAACCUUUUUACCUGCGCCUUCUUCCUCCUUGGCUUAUCCAUCUCUGCAAACUCGAGCUCUAGCGCCCAAGCCCGCACAUCUCACCUCAACCUUCUCCAAAUAUGUCCGGAGCGGGAGGCAAGUGGAUGGCCUCCUCCGUCACGGAGGGGCAUAUCCAGAAGCUCCGCAGCGCCGGAUACCUAUCUAGCGAUAUCGCGCACCGGCUCCCCAAUGAGGGAGAGCUCAUCCCCACCCCCAGGCCCCAUGAGAGGGUAGUAUUCCUUCCCCAUUUCCUCUGCGGACUGGGCUUCCCACUUCAUCCCUUUGUCCGGGGGCUCAUGUUCUACUACGGCCUAGAUUUCCACGGUCUGGCCCCGAAUUUUAUUCUCAACAUCUUGGCGUUUAUCGUCGUGUGCGAGGCCUUCCUCUGCAUCCAGCCCCACUUCGGCUUGUGGCUCAAGACCUUCAGUGUCAAGCCGAAGGUUGUGAAGGGCAGCCAAGCGGAGUGCGGAGGCGCCAUGGUGGGCAGGAUGUCCCACGUUACGUGGCUGGAGGGCACCUUUGUGGAAACCAUCAAGGGGUGGCAAUCGGGGUGGUUCUACAUCACCGAGCCGCGUGAUCCCGAAUGGGCAGCGGCCCCCGAAUUCAGAUCCGGCAUCCCCACACGGCUCACCUCCUGGAAAGAGAGCGGCCGGAUUUGGGGCGAUUCGGAGGAGCUGAUCGGACUCCAAGCCUGCGUCCAAAAGCUGGUGGACAAGAAGCUCAAGCUUGUCAACGUAGUCCAGGUCAUGCUCAUCCGCCAGAUUCUCCCGUGCCAACGACGGGGCUUCAAUAUGUGGGAGUUUGAUCCGGUGCAGCACCGGACUUUGAAUGGGCUCUUCGACACCACGCACGAAGAGGUCUGGAAGGUGCUGUUCAAGGGCGCCAAAACUCCCGCAUCCGCUACCGAAGAUCGCGGAUUCAGCUCGCAGCGUCCAGCUGAUGAGGUAAGUGAUAUUGUCCUUUACGGGACACUUGUUAUUCAUAGUUUGACUCUAUGCGGGAUCUAAACUCCCUUUCCUUUGAUAGGACUGGCUGAAGAAGGCCGCACAUGCUAUCUGUCCGGCCCCAUUGCCAGAGGACCCAGCUGACGCCCGCUUAACGGGCUGCUGGCUCCGGCACCCCACGUGGUGCCAGAGAAGAAGGCCAAGAAGAAGGCCACGGGGACUCGGAAGAGUUCCCGUUUUCAGGUGCUAUCGGACGAUGAAUCCGAGGCCGACUCCUCCCACCAAGGCGAGGAGGAGAAGAAGAAAGCCUCUCCCCCAGCGGGGGGAGGGAAGAAAAGGAAGGCCUCCCCAACAAGGGAGGCCGAAGGGUCCAAGAGGGGAAAAACUCUUCCCCCGGACUGUUCCGCCAACGCCAGUGACGACGACGAGGACUGGCCUCCAAGGGCCAAGCCUCUGGCGAGAUCGUAAGUAUCCGGACUCCCGAAUAACUUCAAGGUUUUCGUUUUCCGCCACAUUAUGUCUUUCUAAUGCCGCAUGCAACCCUGCAGUCCGCCUAAGGAUGAUCUCCCCACUUCGUCGAGCGGGUCCUUAGGGGCGUCGGAUAUGGAUUCUCUUCCGACUGCCUCCACCCCCCGUGAUGCGGACGAUGCCGAGGUGGGAUCCCAGGAAGGGACCUACCAGGAGGAGAGGGCCCCGGAGGUGUCGCAGGACAACCUCCCGGACUUUGCACCGGACUCAGCCCCGGAACCCAUAGUGGCUCCAGAGUCCGGCGGGCGACCCCUUUGUAAGAAGGGUAAGACCGCGACGCCGGCUGCCUCCGUCCAACCGAAGGUGCCGGAUAAUUUGCUGGAGGCGCUCAACGGCGCCUCCAUCAAAGAGGAACAUCGCACUGUUAUGAGUGCGGUGAUUCAGAAGGUUCAGCUCGCCAAGAGCGGGCUGACCGAAGCCUGCAGCAGCCUUCUAACAGGCUUUGAGGUAAGAAUUUCAAUAGAUGUAAAAUGGCACCGCAUAGACAGUAGCCCCUGAUGCUCGGUUCGGUGUUCGGAAAGAAAAGCCGGACUGAGGAUCUUUAGAAAGAUAAACACGAGUCAUGAAAAUAUGUCAAUAUGGGAUUGCAGGCUGUGCUGCUGACCUCUGCCGCACUGACUGCGGAGGUCAAUACUUUAAAGGAAAACCUCGAGCGGUCCGAGAACGAGCUCGGCCAUGCCAAGAAGCAGCUCGAGGAAAAAGAAGGUGAGUAAUACCUUAUGAAAAUUGUACCUUACAGAAAAGGAUUUGGUUGCAAGAAAAAUGACAAGGAUAACUGGGGUAUUGCAGGGGCCACUAACGAGGUGGCGACCCUGAAGGAGGCGGUGGCCGCGGCCGAACGCAAUGCGGCUGCGGAGCACACCGAGCGAGAGAAACAGGAGGCGCGGGUGGCGGAGGUACCGCAAGAGCUCCAGGAUCUCGUGAAGGAACACGAGAGCCUGGAGCGUGACUCGAAGAGUCGAGAGUCUGAGCUUGCAACGGCUCUUGAGAGUGCCAAAGCCGCUAAGGCCGAAGCCUACAAGGCCCUCCAGGAGAUAGAGGUGGUGAAGAAAAUAGCAGCGGGUAAGGCAUUUUUCAUGCAAAGUAAGCAUGUGAGUGUUAAUUACCUGUCGCUUACCCGAAUUCGGAGCUCUCUAGGAGCGUUCAUAGAUCUUCCCCGCGGCGUGUCCGAUGCUGCCGCAUUCUACCGGGCCGACGAGGGGAGCUCAACGGAGAAGGUCUUCUGGUCUCAGUAUGCUGAGGCCGGACAUCCGGUGCCCCUUAGCGACCAGCUGAAGCAGCUGGUCGAGCUCCACAAGGCGGCCGAACAGGCCAUGAAGGGCCUCAUAGUUUGGCUGUGGCCUAAGGAGGCUAUGCCUGGGAGCUACUUUGGCCUGGUGCGGCGGCUGGUGGACGCGUGCCCGUGGGUUGAAGUUAUCAAGCACUCCGCCUAUAUCAAGGGUGCGCGUCGGGCCCUUGCCCGCGCAAAGGUGCACUGGGGCAAGAUGGAUGCCUAGAAGCUUGUGACGGACCCCCCACCAGAGGGCAAGGAGCAUCGCAUGCCCGAGAUGUAUUAUAGGAGUGUGCUGAAGGGCGCCCGCAUUAUUGCGGGUGAGUGCUCCAAAGAAGAAGUUUUUGAGUAGACUCGCGUUUUGUUAUCCCGUGCGCUGAAAACUAAGUUCAUAUGCGCGAAGCAACACUUGUUAAUUUAAAAUAUUACCUUCUGUGCGGCUGUUUAUCAAAUCUGAGAGAUGGCAAGUCGUCGGCUUCAGCCCCCAUGCCACGAGUGCUGGGGUGUUCGGGAUAAAUUUGGGCACUCUUGUUCCCAUAUUUGGGUCCAUCGAGGGAGGUGCUCAACACAACGAACAAGGCAACCGGACUGAUAAUGCUUGAACACUCUCACUUAGCCAUAGAAUUCUAUAAUUUUAAAUUUCGGCGAAGCCCCUAGUUUUCGGAAGGCCGAAUGUGGGGCGCUAUCCAUGCCUUAGCCGGACAGAAUCCGACUCCUCGCUCAAAGCGGCAUAAGUCUUUAGGGACUCGCAAAGAACCUCUCGAACAGCGACCAUCUCUCGCCUCAUCAUGAUGGUCAGUUUUAGCUUUCUCCACUGAGGCAUUAACCCAGCUCAACUGGGGCGCAAUCGCAGUGGUUCUCCCAGUGCUACCUUAGCCGAUAAAACGGAACGUAAGGUACCAAAACAUGGGAGCCGGGCAAACCCAACUAUUGACCCAAGAACAUGAUUCGGAGCUGAUGCAUAUAAUGCUAUAAGUUCGGGGUGCUGCACUUGUGAAAGUGUUCGGACUUAUCACACCAUAACGCGGGAAACAUAAGCCCCUGAUGUAUUUAACCGUACCAAAACGUACGGAUGCAACAUGUCAUAGAUGAACAUGUGUGUAAGAAAGAAAUGCAAUUGGAAGCAAAAAUGUGCUGCAUUGCUUUAUUCAAUAAAAACUGCUAUAAGUGCAGGACGAUACAAGUGGUGCGGUAAGCAAGGGAUGUGACUGUUUAACAUGUCCCCCUCCAGGGGUAGGCUACGGAAUAAUGCAUAAAACAGAUUUAAUGCUCAUGAUGGAGACCACCUGGAUUUUCGUUGUAGCCUUUCUCCUUCCCUGGCUGUUGCAUCGUGGGUUCGGCAUGUCUGCUGUCGGACAGGGCCUCUGACAAAUGGAGUCCUGUAGGUAAAAAAUAAAAGGAAAAGAAAAUGAAACGACACACUUAAGAGCCCCUGGUGCGGUUGAGCCACAGUCUGGGCUUAUCGUGGUCGAGCCCCUUGCCGCAUGCCCAUGGUAUCUUCAGAGCGUAAUGGAGUACGCGAAGGGUCUGUCUUAAUGUUUUACAGGGGCUAGGGUUGGGGCCGCACUGCUACGCGUGCUCGGAACGUGCCAGGUGGUCGUGUUGUAGGUUACUCCAGGCACGCUUCGCUGUGUCCGGCCGCUUGGCAGCCGGACUCGAGAAUUGCCUUAAAAGGUUGCUUUGUACUUCUGCCGCAAGAGCCGCUGUAUGUUCCUCCGUUCGAAGGGAGCGUUCAGUGUUUCCGUUGACCGUGAUGACUCCUCUAGGGCCUGGCAUCUUGAGCUUGAGGUAUGCGUAGUGCGGCACCGCGUUGAACUUUGCGAACGCGGUACGUUCGAGCAAGGCAUGAUAGCCGCUGCGGAACGGGACUAUGUCGAAGAUUAACUCCUCGCUUCGAAAGUUAUCCGGGGAUCCGAAGACCACUUCCAGUGUAACUGAGCCUGUACAAUUGGCUUCUACACCUGGUAUGACGCCUUUAAAGGUCAUCUUGGUAGGUUUAAUCCUUGAGGGGUCUAUGCCCAUUUUGCGCACCAUGUCCUGAUAAAGCUGGUUUAGGCUGCUACCGCCGUCCAUCAGGACUCUGGUGAGAUGAAAUCCAUCGACGAUUGGGUCUAGAACCAAUGCGGCGAACCCACCAUGGCGAAUGCUGGUGGGGUAGUCCCUUCGGUCAAAGGUGAUCAGGCAAGAGGACCAUGGAUUGAACUUCGGGCGAUAUCGCGACGGAGCUCAAAAGAGCUUUGUCUGUUGUGUUCGGCCCGGCCGGACUUACUGUGUCCGGGGUGACGGUGAUCGUCACGUAUCGUGGGGCGCCCACGUGAUCCAUAGAUCGAUCUUGAUUGUCUUGCCUUAUCCUCCAAUAUGUCUCGCAGGUCCGGAGUGUUCCCCUGUGGCCUUGUGCUUUUUGAGCGAUGCCGGGGUACGGGUCUAGUGAAGGGCCUUGAGGCCUCUCUGUCGCGACCACGGGGUGGUCGAUCAGCCGUAUUAUGUCCUGGUGAAGCGGGAUCAUAUGCCUCCACCUCUAAUCGAGGGAGCAGCUUACGUUUGGGGUAGCUUUUGGAGGGGCGUUCAAGUUCAUGCUCUUCGGCCACGAGGACUUCGGUCCAUCUGUCGGCUAGCAGAUCUUGAUCAGCUCUAAGCUGCUGUUGCUUUUUCUUGAGGCUGUUCGCUGUGGCCAUAAGCCUGUGUUUGAAACGCUCCUGUUCGACGGGAUCCUCAGGCGCGACGAAUUCGUCAUCGUCGAGGCUUGCCUCGUCUCCGGAGGGAGGCAUAUAGUCCUCUACCUCUUCUUCGGCCGCUCUCUCAUGAGGGCUGGCGUCCUCCUCCUCCUGUGCUGGAUCUUGCUGGAGUGGGUUGUCUUCGGCGAUAUCCGGUGUAUUAUUGUCUCCGGUGCCGGAAUCCUCAUUCUUGCUAUGGCGGGAUUUAGAGCGGCGCCGCUGACGCCGGCGCUUGGGAUGUUUCUUGGAGGGGUCAUCCUCCGCUAUUCCUUCGCCGUUCCCAUCCUUUGGGAUAUCCACCAUGUAUAUGUCGUAUGAAGAGGUAGCUUUCCAGUGCCCGGUGGGCGCUGGUUCUUGGUCGUCUCCGGCAUCGUCGUCCAUACCGUCGAUGUCCUCAGAGUCGUAAUCUAGCAUGUCGGUUAGAUCGUCGACAGUGGCUACCAAGUGGGUGGUGGGUGGGCUCUGAAUUUCUUUGUUGUCUGCAUCCCAACCGUCCUGGCCGCAGUCCGACCAGGCCUCUCCUGAUAACGAGAGGUACUUUAGUGAACUCAAGAUGUCGCCAAAAGGUGAGUGUUGAAAGAUGUCCGCCGCGGUGAACUCCAUGAUCGGCGCCCAAUCGGAUUCGACUGGAGGGGGCGCGGGAGGUCCGGAGUCCGGCAAGGAGUCCGGCACCUCGGAGUCACGAGCUUCGUGGGGGACAAGAUCGGUGUUCGGCUCCAUCGCCGUAGAGGUUGCAGCCCCCGAGGCGGUGUCUAGGCAUCCAUCCUCGAUCUGCGGAGCUGGCUCCGAAUUGAAGAUCGGAGUGGUUUCGAGUGCGGCCUCCAGGGUAUUGUCCGGCGGCAGAGCUAAAUCAUGCCCACAUGACAGUGCGGCACGCUCGACUGUGGCUUGGAUCCGUCGAAGAUCAAGUCCCCGCGGAUGUCAGCCGUGAAGUCCAAACUUCCAAAUCUGACCUGACGGCCCGGGGCGUAACUUUCGAUGUGCUCUAGAUGGCCAAGCGAAUUGGCCCGCAGUGCAAAUCCGCCGAAUACGAAGAUCUGUCCGGGAAGGAAGGUCUCACCCUGGACUGCGUCGUUGAUAGUGAUCGAAGAAGCCAUCGAGCCUAUCGGUGACGACACAGAGGAACUCUCAAUGAAAGCACCAAUGUCGGUGUCAAAACCAGCGGAUCUCGGGUAGGGGGUCCCGAACUGUGCGUCUAGGCGGAUGGUAACAGGAGACGAGGGACACGAUGUUUUUACCCAGGUUCGGGCCCUCUUGAUGGAGGUAUAACCCUACGUCCUGCUUGAUUAAUAUUGAUGAUGUGGGUUACAAGAGUAGAUCUACCACGAGAUCAAGGAGGCUAAACCCUAGAAGCUAGCCUAUGGUAUGAUUGUUGUUCGUCCUAUGGACUAAAGCCAUCCGGUUUAUAUAGACACCGGAGAGGGCUAGGGUUACACAGAGUCGGUUACAAUGGUAGGAGAUCUACAUAUCCGUAUCGCCAAGCUUGCCUUCCACGCCAAGGAAAGUCCCAUCCGGACACGGGACGAAGUCUUCAAUCUUGUAUCUUCAUAGUCUUGGAGUCCGGCCGAUGAUGAUAGUUCGGCUAUCCGGACACCCCCUAGUCCGGGACUCCCUCAGCGACAUUACCAGACGAUACAUGCACGACGUGCGUAUCAUGCCAUCCACGGGCAAGGCCGAAACAGCAGCUAACGGCUGGAUUAGCAAUCGUCCGAGUGUCGUUCAACGUUUUUAUCGUGUGUGAAGUACUUCUGAUAUUUUACUAGUCGAAAUCGACCAACCAAGCGCCUUCGCCCGAGACCAUCUGCUUUAAUUUACAAGCGUCAGUUUUACAAGCGGUUUUGGUUGGAAAACGACGAUCCAAUCACGGCCUAAUAUCAUGAGUUGGUCGGAAGAUCAUAUGGUUUCACGUCUAACCUACCCGACAUGUCGUAUAGGGUAUGAAUGAAACAUCAGACGAUGAACUUCUUACGCACGGAAACAACAGAAGAGGGUGAUCUUCUUAACAAGCAAAUCACUGGCAUUAGAUUGUCAUGCAAAACAAUACGAAGCAUUAUUCUCAGGAGGCACGGUGAACAGCUCGUGAUGCCGCAUGCCACAACAUUCCAAGCUCAACUUUGCAAUCAAACACAAGGCCUGGCAUUACAUAGACAAUAUUCAGAACAAACUCUUAACACAGGAAUAUCUCAGCAGAGUAACUAUUUACUUCUAAACUGAACACAGGAAAAGGAAAAAACACUCGACGCUGCUCACAGCAAGGGCGUCCCACUCAAAAAUAUCAAAUGCAUGUCUUCUGGCUAACAUCAAUGAGCAAAUUUUGACAAGGUUUUCCAAUUCCAAUAUAUUAAACUAACAUCUUCUUGCUAACAUCAAUGAGCAAAUUUUGACAAGGUUUUCCAAUUCCAAUAUAUUAAACUAACAUCUUCUUGCUAACAUCAAUGAUUAAACUUUGACAAGCUUUUCCCAUUCAAAAUAUGUAAUGCCUAUGAUCGUGUCCUGUCUUAGCUUCUUGUACUUGUUUGGGCACUUUUUGCCCAGGGCACUCCACGUGUUGUUAAAUUGCCAAUGGUCUCUGCAGACUAGUCAUGUCACCGGUGUCUAAUAAUACUCUGUAAAGCUUCUUGGUCAUUCCUUCUGUAAUGUACCGCAUCCAGUGACUGCUUCUUUCUGCAAAGUGGAACGACCAACUGGACCCAGUAACGCAGCAGUUUGCCUUGGACACAUUGGCUCCUUUUGUGCAGUUCAACUAAAAUCGAAGUCGAAAUAAAACCGAGCUUUAAUUUUGAUAUCCCUGUAAGCAACAAUAGGUAUAAGGGAAACAAUUACUGAGAAAUAACGGUUGAUGACUUGUCUUAAUGGGAAACAAAGUAGGAGAGGAGCAAUUCUCCCUCAGUGUGAUUCAUUCAUAUUGCCUGAGACAUUAUCUUAACAAUGCCUUGGUUCAACAUGUAUAAAGAAUGACAAAGCAGAAAAGUACCAUUCCUAAAACAAUGCAACUGAUUCAUUUUUAAAGAGAUAUUAUCUUAACAAUACCUUGGUUAAACAUGUAGAAAGAACUACAAAGAAGGAUAGUACCAUUCCUAACAAGUUUUGAACUAAGAUUCAGUAGUUAAUUAAUUCUGAGAGUGGCAUUGCUUAAUUUUACCAGCGGCAUUAGAUUAACGAAAAGCAUAAAAGUUCCAGGAGAGAGUGGGCGCAACAACAAUAAGUGCUUCCAUCUACUUAUAAAGGGGGUGAUGCAGAGUUUGUUGUAACAAAGCAACAAGCAUCAUGUCUGGGUUGGUCCCAUUUUUGUUCACUACUUAAUGGGAAAAGACAACAAUACAAUAGCUUCAAUUCAACAUUUAUUUAAAACAGUACCAAUACAAGUAGCACAACAUCUCAAAGCACACUGCACAAUCAUGUGGAUGAAGGCCUGUACUGACCUUUCAUGAGAACACCAGGAUAAAAUACGAAUCUGCUAACACGAAUAGGAAAUCCAAUCUCAUUUUGUGCAGUUGCACUGAAAUCAAGCAAAGUGUUUCGCAUAGUGAAGCAAAAUGUCGCAAUAGCAACAAGUUGAAUAGAUAUCAUGUGGUAGAGACCAAGAUUUGAAACAACUAGACAGGAACACUGGAAACAAAUCUUGAUCUCCUUUUGUGCAGUUCCACCAAAAUUAAGCAAAGUCACUGGUGUGACAUUCAAGUUGAACUGCACAAAACACUCUUAAAACAUAAGUGUUUCAAGUAGCGAAGCAAAAUGUCGCAAUAGCAACAAGUUGAAUCGAUACCCCUGUUUUAACAGAGGCAAAAAAGGAAACAAUUACUUGCCGACAAAGGAGGAUGAAACAAACGGUGAUAGAAAGAAGCAUCUAACUUAUCUUGGAUGGAAAACAAAGUAGGAUAGUAGCAUUUCUAAAACGGUAGCAUUGAUUCAUAUUAACAGAGACACUCUCUUGAAACAACAUUCAUUAAAAAAUGUAAUUUACUUUUAACAGUGGCAUUGCUUCAAUUUUCCGGCGGCAUUCUUAGAUUAACAACAGCAAAAUAGUUGCAUGGGACAUGCUAGCACCAUGUGCGUCCACACGUAUAAAUGGGUGAUGCAGAGUAUGUAGCCAAGCAGCAUAUCUGUGUUGGUCCCAUAUUUGUUCUCUUUGAACUUUUUUCCUAUGUGAGGGCAACAAAUCUAGUCCUGCAAAACUACCCGACCCCCCCCCCCAGUUUCUUUCCCUUUUCAACAAAGAGAUCGGUUCCUUACAGAUGUGUGUACUGGGUUACCCCCCUUUUCCCUUUUUGACCAACAAAGCGGUUGGAUAGCCAGUCUAUACUACUUUUCCUCCCUCCUUUCCUCAGUGAACCACGUACUAGAUUCAUGAUCCACCCCACCGCACCUUUCUUUCCUCUUUGAACCAAGACCUAGAUUCGACUACAGAUCGAAAAAGAUCCACAUGCAGCUAGAGCAACGACGGUUUCAAAGAAACUUAUACCUUAGGGCCAUCGGGGUGUGGCAAGGCGUGCGGCAGGAGGCCGGAUCUGCCCACACUACGUACGGCAGCAAGGAAGAAGGGGUCGGUGGCCCUCCCGCACAGGCGCUGGGUGAAAGAGAACAACGCAACCGGCAGUGGAUUGCCUCCCUCGCCGAAGGCGAUAGAGUUAAUGCUGCACCUCCUCCCCUUCCCCGUGCGACAGGAUACAGACGCCUCCUUCACCAGCUGUGAGGGGGGAGAGAGACAAGAGGCCAAUGCAAUCUUGUUUAGAUUUGGUGAAGAGAGGGUGAGAGACUGUGAAAAUAGAAAACCCUAGCAAAUGAACGCUGAGCCUCCAGCGUGUAACAUAUAUGUAUUGCGGCGAGCGUGUGGAGAGUGCAAACCCUAGCGAACAAGCGCUGAGGCUCCCGCUUAUAUAUAUACUCCGUAGUACGGAUUGAGCUCCGGUGUCUUCACUCCAUCUGUUUUUGGCUGUAUGACAGGUGAGCCAGCCACAUUUUGGGCCCACCUGUCAUAAACCCAAAGGCAGGUGCACUAAGUCAAUGAAGCUGCAUCCAUAUAGUACUCUCGUGUGUAUAUGACUAAUAUAUAGUGGAGUGGUUUUAUUAUUCUCUCCAUAACAAUUGUUUUAAAUUGUGCAAGUACGAAACGAAACUCUUUAUUUAAUGUACAGAGGGAGUACUACUUCCAUGAACUAACGAUCCACGCCCACGCGUCCUGGUCGCACUUCCUGUCCUUCACGUGUGGUACACUACCCUCCCUUAAGUGAACAACCACACAUGCGCCAAAUUAUCGGAAACGUGUGAGAGUGUGUACAAAUAAAGAAUUUUAAUUUCAAUUAUCGGAAAGGUUUGAGAGUAUUACAAAGUUUGACUUCAGUAAAAUCUAAUAUGCGGAGUAAAUAAAAAUGGAGGGCUACUACGUCCAUCCGGGUUUUUAGUCCACACCAUUUUUUAAAUCAAAGUUAAUAGCUGGACAAAUAAAAUUACAGGGGAGCUGGAGACAAAGUUGUGAGAAGGCUUAGAAAUCAAUACAAAACUUAUGCUCUUAGUACCAACGUCGAUCCUUCUUCGAGGAAACAUUUGGUUCAUAGCCAAUUGUGUGAUAAAAUUGCACCAACGUGAAAGACGACUGCGUCUCCAACGCAACCAAGGUGAACUGACGAAGGAUAUCAUCUUUGUGUGUAACAAGCAAAGAGCACUGAUGGAAGACAACUUGUUUUUCAUUGAAAAUCGAUCAGCUUCACCAGCCGAUGCAACCAUGAGGCGUGACCAUGAGCAUCGAUAGGUCAUCGUGGUGAUGCAUCAUCCAUUUGACAUCAAGUUUGGGUGAGGCACCUAUGAAGUUAGACAAAUCCUCACUGUGGUCUGUUUCUUCUCAGUAAUCAAGCUCGAGGAAGGAAGAACCACGUGGCAGAGGACAGUGAGGCGGAACAACAAUGGCCAUCCAAUUUUGUGCAGUUCCACUAAAAUUGAGGAAGACAUGCCCGGGUAUGGAGACACGCAUCGCUGUUUCCAAAAAUAUAAAAAGGGUUAAUGAAAAGUACACCAACAAACAGAAGCAUCAUAAUUAUAUCUUGAUGGGAACUAAACCAGGAUACCCGAGAAAAAAGCAUUUCUUCAUUUAACCAGUGAUAGUACUACCACCAUAUGGACAAUGACCGCACAACCACCAUGUACUUUUUGUCGAAACAACAUGUAUACCUCCACCGAGGCAUAAAUCAGGACAACUUUUCGAGUGGCAUUUCCUCUAGUACUAGUAGGUGAUGUUGGACCGGCCGACGAACCCUAGCUACUAUGCAUGGGGAGCUGGGGAGUAGUCGCAUAGAAGAAAACCCGCGCGCAACGACCUGGGGAGCUGGACCAGUACAAGAAGUUAUACCUCAGGUGGGCGAGAUGUCGUUUAGGCGGGCGGGCGGGAUCUGCCCACACGACGGCAGCGAACAAGGGCGCGGAGGAUCUUCGUCCGUGCCAGCGCCGGCUCCGAGAGGACGGUGCGCAUCGGCUCCCCCCGUCGCUGACGGUGACAACGUCAACGCUGCACUUCCUCACCUCCCGCAGCGGACGGGAUUCGGCCGGAUCUGUGACCACCGGUGAGGAGAGAGAUAGACUAGACAUUGUCAUCUUGUUUUGAUAUGGAGAGGGUGAGAGAGCGAGACGCGGGAAACUCUAUCAAACAAGAGGCUAUAAUGGAGUAAAAAAAUCUCUCCAUAGCAGUGGUUUUAAAUAGAAUACGCGCGUUCCCGAAAAAAAGAAACGAAAACUGGCAGACAAUUUUUUAAGGGUCUGUCUAGGACACAUCUAGAUGUGACAUAGUUAUGUCACAUCUAAGUUGAUGUCCACUCUGUUUGUGGUCUAUUUUUUUGUCCUAGUUUUUUUUGUUUCUUGUUGCUACAUUAUAUACUUGUGGGAGCUUAGAUGUGAUAUCCUUAAAUAACAUCUAGAUGUGAAUUGGACAAACUGAUUUUCUAAUCAAAAACACGCCCCCGCUUCCAGGUCGCGAGAGUCGUCACGCGCACUCACAUAGACAUAGACAUGCAUAGCCGUGUUUACAUAAAAUUCCAUUUCCAUCUCCAUCUCCAAUCAUAUUUGUCCAACUGGCACAUUAUUUACGUUGUUAAUUAUAUACGCAGCAAUAUUAACGUACAACAUCUCUUGUUUGCGCACGUUCGGACCGCUGCCACGGCCGGUCCUGACCAACCCGAACCCUCUUCAUCACCCGCGUGUGCUUCCCGCCCGAAACGGUCAGUGCCAGAUUCUUGCCCGGCCAGAGCAGACGCGACCUCUCACUGGCGCCGGCAUUGAAGCGGCGCGCCGGCCGAGAGAGCGUCGCCCGCGCCGCUUCCGGGUGCACGCGGCUGCUCCGCGUUCAAAGGUCGCAAUAGGCGGCUACAACAUGCAUGUAAAAAGUUUUUGGGAGUCCGUGCUACAGCUAGCUGUCCUCCCCCAACUCGUCAAUCUCUUCCAGUAGUGCUAGUAGUACUCCAUGGCGCGAUCCAUCGACAAGCAGGCGGGAAAGUUAUCGUAUACUCGGUUUGCGGUGAGUGGCAUGCCGAGCGACCGUGUGGGGUCGAGCCGUGGAGGAGGGUGAGACACGAACACGAUAGACAUGAUUUAGACGUUGGUUUUGCUCGAUGGUGCAAUCCAACGAAACGAAACGUUGGUUUCUCUCCAUUUCCAUUUUUUCUCCGGAAAAACGGAAACUUUCCACUCCAUUUUCAUUCCUAUUCCAAGGUUGCCCCGUUACAACAUUCCAUCAAAUACAAAGGAAAACUAACACGCAUGCUGAUGCAUCUCAAUGAUUCACAGAUCAUAGCCAAUAUUUACUUCAUAACUAAAGAAAAAAGUUGUGAGAGCAUGUACGAAAGAAAAACUGCUGAUGGGGUCACUAUGACUUAAACCCUAAACCCUAAACCUGAUUUAAUUCCCUGGCCAGGUAGAACCUGUCGAAGGAAAGACGGCUGGCACCCUCGGAUCAUACGAUGCUUUUGUGCAGUUCCACUAAAAUCGACCUGAGCAUCCCUGAUGGGAAAGAUAUUGAAGAAGUGUGAUUAGAAUAAUAGUACUGGCACUAGUUCAUGAGACAUAAACUCAUCACAAGUAGAAGCCGGUAGAAGUAGAGCAAGAUCGACAUGGAGAUGGAGCUACGGCAGUGGAGCAAGCCGGCUCCAAAAGGAAGAUGGACUACCUGGGACGUCGGGCUGUAGCUAGAAGGGCGGUUGGGACGCGGCAUCGGCCCAAACCGCGGUGACCCCCGAUUGGGACGCACCGACUGUGGGUUUUCUCCCUCGCCGAUGUCGACCGCGUCUACGUAGAAUAUUGUUCCCUUCCCCCAGCUGCGGGAUCAAGCCCGUCGUUCUAUGCUUGUGAAGAGAGCAACCUUAGCAAGCAGGCUUGUAGCUUAGGCUCCUGCUAGUGUAUAUAUAGUGGUUUUCUUUUUCUCUCCAUAUCAACCAUUUUAUAUUGCGUACGUGUCAUUCAAGAGUGAAAUGAUGGUUGCUUCUUCCGACUAACUUACUGUGUGAUUUAACUGCUCCUUAGUGGCCCCUACACGUACUCCCCCUACGUGUAUGCAACAGCCACACGUACACAUGGACGCAAAAAUGCGCGCGACGCCCUAAUGCAUUUAUGUCCGAGCACACGACGGAACACACAUGGCCACGCUAAGUGCUCAACCUACACGUGCAUGCACAUACAUACUCAGCCAGGGUGAGCUAGUGACCGUAUAAACACCGGAAAAUAUAUAUAUUGAGCGCAAUGAGUGUAUUAUGAAGUCCACUGACCGUAUUUUUACAAAUAUACAGUGACAGACAGUGUAUUUAUCUGGUUUAAAUUAAUCCAUAUUAACCGGAGAGGAGGCAGUAUGGACUAGCAUUACUUGCGUGCGGUGGCUCGCAUGACAAGGAGAAACUUUUGACUAAUGCAAGCUCUCCCUCGCUCAGGCGGUGGACGUGCAACAGUUAAUUCGGUGUCAGAUUGCCAGAAGCAUACACUAUACUACUAGUGCUACUAUUGUUCGACUUCCCGAAUAGGCGAACAGCCAAGCGCAAAGUUUACUAAUAUAGUCUAUAAAGGUACGUACUAUACUAGUACUAGGAACCGGAUGGAGGAGCGUCUGCACUCUUAUUAUAAUUUUAAAAUGUGAUAAAGCAAUCUUAAACACAUUUGGUUAUCUUCGAGGGUUCUCACAUGUGAUAAUGGAAGUUGAUUGCAUGGAACACUCGCCACAAUUCUCGCUUAAUUCUGGCUCAUAUCCUGUUACAAAUAGUAGCACUCGGUAAUAUUUCCUCUUUUUUUGUUAUUCAGCAUGUAAACAGGUCAGCAAACCUUGCGGCGCAUCUUCGUGCGAACCGUGCUUGCUGCACUUUGAAUGUGGCCGAGAGCUGGCUUGAUGAAACACCUCGCUUCCUAGUGACCAGUGUCUUGGUUGAUCGUCCUAAGAAUGCUUAUAUAUGAAUAAAGCUCUCUCAUUUACCCGCAAAAAGGAUUGAGCCAUAUUAACUGGAAAGGAGGGAGUAUGGACUAGCACUACUUUUUGGUGUGUCCAGUCAACUCACAGAACGAGGAGAAGCUUGCAGGACAAGGUGAAGCUCGCUUACGCCUUUUGACUAAUGCAACCUACCCUCGGUGGAUAUGCAUCAGUCCAUUCGGUGUUAGAUUGUCAGAGGCGUACACUGUAGUACCCAACAUGCGGAGUACCAUCAUUGUUCGACUUCAGAAGAGGCGAAGAGCCAAACGCAGUAGUACGAGUAGUACUACUACUAGAACCGCAUGGUGGAGCGUUUGUACUCUUAUUUCUUUUUAUCUCUGAUAAAGUACAUGUUUAUUCCGGAGAAGGGCGGAAAACGGCAGCCCAACAUGUAAUGAAAAAAAGUAGCUGUCUGGAGCAUGCAACAUUCAUUUUGUGCAGUUCCACUAAAAUAGAGCUGAGCGUCCCUGUUCCAAAGAUAUUAAGUGUAAUUACAACAAUAGAGGACUGCUGAUGAAACAAUAAACACAUAAAUAGAAGCCGGUCACCUUUGCAGUCUCUUUUAAGACUAACUAGUUGGAGAAGAUUAGGCUCGGAGUUGGAUGAGGAGGAUAGAGCAAAACCAAUCUCCCUUUGUGCAGUCGCACUGAAAUGUAGAGACGUUGCCCAUGUGACAUUUUAGUACAACUGCACAAAACACUCUUAAGAAAAAAGUGAUUUGUGCAGUUCACCAAAAAGUCGCAAUAGCAAUGAGGUGAAAUGGAUAGCCCUGUUUGCAAAAAAGAGGUAGAAAGGAAACAAUUACUGGCCAAUAACAGUUGAUGACACAUGCAACGACAAAAAAGAAGCAUAUUCCUUGCCCUAAGGGAAGAUAACAACACGGUUGUGUUUGUCUAAAAUGGUGUGAGGACGAGAAUGCAAUAUGGAAAGUACGCUGGACGAGCUACGUUUUGGGCAAAGAACUAUGGAAGAUCCACAUGCAGCGACGUGGGAAGACGGGCAGUGGAGCAAGGCCGGAGGGGAUACCUGGAGGUCGUCGGGAUGUAACUAGGUGAGCGAUGGCGGGCGGAAUCUUUGAGCAGGUGGCAUAGGCCCUGCCGCGCCGGAGCUUGGUCAGAGAGAAUGGCGUGUACGGCAGAUCGGGACGUGCUGCCUCGGCGCCGUCGAACGGAGAAACGAUGCACUUCCUCCCUUUCCCCCGGCGGAGGGGAUGCGGCCGGAUCAGUGACCAACGGUGAGAGAGAGAGGCCACCGCACUCCCUUUCCCCCAGCGGACGGGAUGCGACCGGAUCAGUGACCAACGGUGAGAGAGAGAGAGGCCACCGCAGCCUUAUGUGAGAUACUCUGAAGAGCGACAAACCAGGCACGCAAGGCCCCAUUGUAUAUAGUGAGCGGAAUACCUUUUUCUCCAUAAAAAUCAUUUUAUAUUCUGUGUACAUGCCAUUGAGUGCUAUAACUUUAUUUAAAAAUAACACGGUAACACGUCAAGUCGAACUUUGUUUCGUGCAGGUGUGGUACACGACCUCCCUAGGUAAACAACCGCUACAGGCCUUCAAAUUAGCAUGUGGGCUGCCAUUUCGUAAAGAAAUGAGCUCCAUCGUGUACCCGCGCGGGUGUGGCUGGGCACGAAGCGUGAGUACGUGCACGGUGCACCUAUUCUCUUCUUGUAUACGUACACCACCUACGUGGGGUUGUGUGAGAGAGAUACAAACCUAGAGAGAUAUAGUGUGUGGGUUCUUGAGAGUUUUUUUUGGGGGGAGGUUCAAUCAAAAAAUAUAAAAUAUGCAAUGUGUGUGAAAUAGAGUCCUGGAUAUAAAAUAUAUAUAGAGGGGGCGAUCCACGAGAAGAGAGUGGAGGUAUCACCGGCUAGAGGUGUCCAUAGAAUCGAAAAGAGGGAUGAUGUGUGUGUGUGUGCGCGUGUGAUCGAUAAAGAGUGCCAUCGAAUUUGUGUGUGCCGCAUCAAAGAUAUAGAGUGGCUGGCCUACUGGAACGUGAGAGGGGACAUGUGCAGUUUGUCUCUGUGGCAUGGAUACCUACCUGCAGCGCUCGACUACCGGUGUGUGGUGGGGGAAGAGGGAGGCCCAAUUAACUAUAGAGGUAUAAUGGCUGGUAUAUGUGUGGAGGAGGAGAGAGGCCUACCUCAUGUAUUAAGGAGAUCGAUCUGCCUCUUAAGGGAGAUCGAUCGGCAUCCAUGCAUAUGUGCAUGAGAGGAAUAAGGUUGGGAGAGAGACAGAGCUAGAGUGUUGGAGGGGGUGGUAGUGGAGUUUCUUCUAACAAAUGGUGGGAUAGGCUUGCUAGACAAACGGAGGGCACGCCCGCAAUAUCAAUAAGAGAGGAGAUGGCUGCUUGUUGUCUGUGCACGUGCGUGUGAGAGACGGGUUAGGAGGCAUGCACGAAUGAUGAGGGGGGACAAUGUGGCUGUGGUAAGCAGACAUAACUACAUAUGAAGAUCAAUCACCCUUUGUUAGAGAAAGGAGAGACAUAACUUGUGAGGUACGUCGAUCGAUGGGGGGGGGGUAGUUAAAGUCGAUCCAGGUAUAUGUUGGGAGAUCGAUCGGUAUACAUGCAUGUGUGUGUUAGAAGCAAACGAGGCACGAGGAGAAGGAUAGAGAUACAGGGAUGCGUGUAGGAGGUGGUACGAGAGGCAUACUAUAUCGAGCGGGGAGGAGUGUGCGAGUACGAGAACGAUGAAAAGAGUGGUGGGAGUGAGGCAUGGACGGUGACAAGAGAAGAGGGUAAGCUUGUGUUUGUGCUAGGCACACCUGGCUAAAGAGGCAUAUCGAUCAAUGUGUGCCGUAAAGAAGGAGCUGGGGGGCCUACACACACCAUGGGUGAACGACCUAAAGUGAAAAUACGAAUUUGGCGAUGGAGCUAGAGAAUGCUGAGGGAGGGUGAGAGGGAUGCGGGCGUGUGCAUGCACAAGAGAAAGUUAGCGCUAGCUACAAAGAUAAGAGGGUUGUGUGGGUGUAAAAGACGAAUAGAGAUCAUAUAUACUUCAUUAUAAAAAGCGAAUUCGGAUAUUUGAAGAAUUUAUCAUAGUGUUUUAAACCGACGUAUGUGUGAAUAUAUAUAACGGUGAUACACAUGGUGUGUUUAUGAACAUGUUAUACUACAUUUAAUAUAUUUUAUCUCUACUCUUAUAAAAAACGGAGUUGUUGAUGAUGGUGUGCCUGCCAUCCUGCAAUAUAGGAUGUCCAAUUUAUAUCUGGCGGAUAGCAAGGAAACUAUGAUGGUUGAAGUUGGCAACAAUCAUGAUUGUAGAUUCUUAUUGAAAUAGAGAAACGAAUUCAAAUUUAGUUCGAAUUGCAGAGGUAAUAUAGACAUUUGGACACUAAAAUGUUGGUAUGAGUAGGUUACAUGCAUUAUACAGCAAAGCGAAAAAAAUUAAUCGGACAUAACAUGGAUUCAUACUCCCUCCUUCCAGGGCGUAAUGAGAUUUUUAAGACCUCCUUUGACUAUUGACAAGAUUAAUAGUACAUGACAUGCACAAUGUGAAAAUUAUAUCAUUGAAAGAACCUUUCACAGACGAAGUUAACGGUGUUCUUUGUGUAAGUUGCAUGUCAUAUAUCAUUGCUCUAAUAUUUGGUUAAAGUUAGCAUCGAAAAACGCAUUAGGCCCUAUAUAGAUGGAAGGAGGGAGUAGCUUUGAAUAUCAUUUGUAUAGUAAAACGGGGCAAGACUCUCUCUUUGUGUGGUGUGAAUAGUUUUAUUUUUUUCAUUUUCUUUUUGGUUGAGGGAAGUGUGAAUUGAUUUGGUACGUACAAGUACAAUAUUACUACACAUUAGGCUUGUCCCUAAAAUUCAACCCGCGUCUUGUUAUAUCCCGAAAAUUUAGAUAUCGUGCCCCCAAAACUGGCGCCUUCACAACCCGCGCCUUGCUAUCCCGAAAUUACAACACGCGCGAAAACUCCCUCCAGCUGCCAAAUCCCGACACGCAAAAUCCCCCUUCUAACCCUGAGCCGAAAGGGCUGCCAGUUCAAAUCGGUGGGGGGUACUUUUGUAACACACCCUACAUUUUGGACAAGCGCGUCCCUAAGUCAUGCUUCACCCCCUCCCAUCGCCCCCUUUUCGCCAUUCGAAAUCCCAGGCCGCCAUAACCUCUCUACUCCAGCCGCAAAACCCCACCCUCCUCCAUCCGCCACGUCACCGCUGCCCAGCCAGAGCCUCUUCCCCGACGACGUCGUCCACCACAAUAGCUCGACGUCCCUCGUCCACCUCCCUGGAUGAGGAUCCGUCGUCCAUCUCGCCGUCCCGCCGGUUCAGCCGCCCCAUCCUCCACCUCCAAGGAGCUGCUCCGAUGAUUGCCUCGUCUAUCGCGGCUGCUCCAUCCCCACAACGGCGCCUUAACCUGCUCCACCGGAACCGCAACAUCCUCACCGACUCCUCGGACGAAGCCGAGGCCUACUCGGCGCCACCAAAGAGGUUGUACACUCAUCACAUUGCACCUUCCGGCGCCGACGGUGCUCCAUCCCGCACCCCCAUGGAGCGGCUACCUUGAAGCCGGCGCCGCGGGCGACAUCUCCAUGGAGGCUCUCCCCCAGUGCGAGGCCCCUUCGGCGGCGGCAUCCAUACCAGCCGGAUUUGUUGCUGCUGCUCCGGCUCUCGCUCGCUCGCUCGCGCUGCUGCUGCUGCUCCGGCUCUCGCUCGCUUGCUUGCAUUGUUGCUGCUGCUCCGGCUCUCGCUCGAUCACUCACUCGCCCAGCUGCUGCUGCUGCUCUCCCCCUCGCUCGUGCUACUGCUCUGCUCCGAUUAAGCCACACUUCAGUCGACUGAAUCGACUUUUGGGUCAGUCGAUUUUCAGGGGUUGGGGGGCUCACCGGAGUUAAGGAAGAACCACCCGCAGCGGGGACGGGGGCUUGCUGGAGAGGUACCCCACUAUCUAUCUUAGGGUUUAGGGUGGGGGCGGGGGGCCUAGAGGGCUGGCCGGGGCGGCGGUGGCGAGUUGUUUCGGGGUGGCGAGUUGUUUCGGGGUGGCGAGGCGGCGCUGGGGCCGGCGAUUCAGCCGGUGGUGGCAGGCGGCUAAGGGGUGUGCAGGUUGAAGAUGAACUGUAGGCCCUCCCUAAACUACAUGUCAAGUGCCUCUCUGCUACCAUUGCAUUCAGUUUCGACAGUAGCAUUCAGAUUCCACAGUUAAUUUCAGUUUCGACAGUUAAGUUCAGAGUCAACAGUUUUUACCUCAUCUGUUGUAGUCAGGUGGUUUUUGGUGAUGUUAAUUUUACAUCCAUUUUUCAUCAUCUAUUGGAUAUGCUAUUAGAAUCCCACUUGAGAUUGACGAUGUCUGUCUUGUGCUGCUUCAGCCUUGACGUCUUACGGCUCACCGGAGCUGCUCCAACGACAGAACGAUCCAUCACAAUAGAGCAGUGCCCUGGACGCCGUCUACAGAUUUCUCAGAUCUUCCUCCACACCUCCGACAGCCACCUCUGCCUCAACUGCUUCAGCGACCAACCCAAUGAUGCUGAGGUCGACACGACUACGACAAAGAGGUUGUACACUUGUUGCGUCACUUAUUACUAUACAUUCACGUCGAUCCAUUAGGGCUAUUUUGGUUCAACGGAAAAACGUCGGUCCACUGGUUGUUACCAUCACUCUAAAUUUCUGCAUGCUCUCCUUACAUAAUCUCACCAUAUUUUUUUCAUAUGCAUGUCAGAUAUUGUACACAGUCAUGCUGAACAUGUAGAGAAAAAGAGAAGAGUUUUGCGCGGCAAUACAAUGUCAUGCAGACAUCGCUCCAUGGUGGGUUUAAUGGCAAACCCUCCCCACCCCUCUCCAGAUUGUAAUCCAGAGGAUGAUAUCUAUUCUGAGGCGUAUUCAUACGCCGCUGACCACUCCUAUUUACCCCCCAAGGUGUUUGCUCUACCUUUGCAUGAUGAUGUUAGUCAUAUCAUGCAUAUGUUGCCUUGCAGUGCCUACUUUUGACAUCAUACAUGUCAUCUGCUUAGUUUCGACAUGUUCUGUAAUGCCACCUGUUUAGUUUCUAUAUCAUAUAUGGGAAUUAUGCAGUCUCAUGUCUUUUAGCCAGCCAUAAUAUAUGUGAAAUGUGCAAUGUCAUCAUGUUUAACCAGGCAUCAUAUAUUUGAAUGAUAUCUUGCACAUCCUUUUCUUCAUUACAUUUCCAUUUGUCGACAAUGUUUGUACAUUAAACUACUCUUCCUGUGAAUCAGCCAUUUGGGUGGGAGAUGGAAAAAUCUGGAGUGAAAACAAAGCCUUCAGAGCAGACAGUGCUACCUGUCGAAGCAGAUCUCUUGUUGGGUCCCGAUGGCUCCUCAAAGAUGGAUUCAGAGACAGAUGACCAGUCCUAUUCUCCCACUGAGGUGUAUGCUCUAACUUGGCACGGUUAUACCGCUCAUAUCAUGCAUACGGUGUCUUGCAUUGCAUAGUUUAGACAUCAUAUACACAAUAUUCAACACCAUGUUCUUAGUUCAGACAUCAUACCGAAUGCCCUCUGUUUAGCAUAUAAAUCACAUAUGUGAAUUAAAAUGAUGCGAUCCUGAUUACUUAGAUAACAUGUAGGUGAAUUAUGUCAUGCGAUCCUGUUUAGUUAUUCAUCAUAUCUUUGAAUUAUGUUAUGCUAUGCUAUCCAGUUUAGAUAGACAUCAUAUAUGUGAAAUUAUGUCAUGCUAUCCAUUUUAGUUAAACAAUAUACAUGCCAACUAUUUCAUGCCCUCUUUUUUCCACACUAUCUAUUGCAUCUGUCUCUCAUACAAUGUCUGUACAUUCAACUAUGUUUCCUGUUUAUCAGCCAUUUGAAUUGGAGCGGGUGAUGCCAGUAUCUAGCGGAAUAAAAACACGGUCUUCAAAUAAAACAGUGCUACCUCUUGGUGGAGAUAGCACCCCGGUUGUACAUGCACAAGAACCAGCCCUACCACACAUAACCCAAACUCUCGCAGAUUGUACCCCUACUGCGAUGGACAGAGAACCAGCUUCACCCAAUCUAACCCCAACCCCAGCCGAUAGUAACCCAGUUCCUGUUGACACAGCACCAUCUCCACCACAGAGCUCCCAAACAACAGCAGUUAGUAAGGCAGUUCCAGUGCCCAAAGGGCCAGUACUAUCAUGGCGAACCCCAACUCCACCAGUUAGUACGCCUAUUCCUGUGGAGGAAGCACAACCGGCCAGUCGUAGUUUAGCAUCUAUCGCAUUUGAUGUUGUUAAAUCGUAUGUGCGUAUCUUCCCAUCUUGGAAAUAUUAUGCUGAAGAUGAAGGAAAAUGCCAGUUGCAGGUGUUUGUCCAGGAGUUAUGUGUAAGUAAUGUUAUUCAUGGCAAUUACUUUGCUUCGUCCCAUACAUCCUACCUCCACGAUGGUUAUAAUAUAGCAAAUUUUCCCAUUUUUCUCUAUAGAGAAGGACCGAUUUGGAAACUCAGGAUGAGGUAACCUAUGCUAAUACCUCUGCUAUCUUCAAGAAUGCUUGGUGGUAGUAUCAGAAUUACCUGAAGAAAACGUACUUCACCGGCAAAGAAACUCAUCAAAUUCCCUUACGUUCUCCUGAGACAAAUUUACUGGACGAUGACUGGGAACGCCUUGUUCUGUACUGGUCCCGAACCAAGAAUGUGGUAAGGUCUAUGAGCUCAUUUUUUAUUUUUAAGUAUUUUAUUCUUGCGUCUUACUGUACUCUGUUCAUGUAGAACAAGUGCCUAAACCUGAAGAACAAAUGUUCUAAUUUAAGAUUCCAUUGCUAUCAUAGUUCAAUAAAGCGCUAGGCGUUAAUUGUGCGUGUUGCCACCGCCUUGCGCUUUACUAACCAAAGCGCAUGCUUAUGCGCAGUUAUGCACAGAUUAUGCGUAGUUAUGCGCAAUGCGUUUUGCCAACGCCUAGAGCCUAGGCGCGCUUAAGCGCUCUCUUAGGCACGCCUUUUUUAACUAUGAUUGUUUUGCUCUUGUAUCACUGUAUUUACUGAUACGAACUUAUUUUUAAAUUGAAGGAUCCAAUCGAAGCUCCAAUGGCACAACAGGUAUGUUCACGCAUGUUUCUUUAACAGGUUCGCUCUUAUCAAUAGCUCUGUUGAUUUCAAUUUCAAUUGUGUAUACAGUUGACUUUCAUAUCAUGCACAUUACUAGCAUCACAACAGAGCCAAUAGUGUUGUUGUACAUGUAGACCCGUGGUACCCAUCUGAAAUCUUGUUGUGCCAUGUAGUUUCCCAUGCUUUGUAUUCUUUCACUGCUGCUUUGUCUUGAACUGAUAUGAUUUGAACCGUGUCUCUAUUUUGAUUUGGCAAGAUAAUGCAGUGACCAUAGGACAUAGAUAUAUGUUUGUUUGAUGCUUUUAUUAUGUACUAGUACUUGGCAAUAGAAGACUUGGUAGUUUAAUCCUGUCCACCUUACUAAUGAACUGGUUCACCGAAAUGAGUUUCAUAUACUAGUACAUGCUAAACUUGUUAUGUGUAUGCUUGUUUCUUCUUUUAGAAUGAUGACAGAAUAUUGGGGAAGAGUGCCUUAUUAAGCAAUGGUAAAGGAAGUAAUGCAGAUAAGGUUCAGGAUAGUGACACAUCCUUGUUGGUCUCUAACAAAGCUGAUAAAACAGCUAAGGAAGACUAUCUUGAAGACAGCGAGACAACCCCAAAGUCCUGUCUUGGUUUAGUGUUCGAGUUACUGGCCACUACCGCAUGCACAAGCUAUUCAAACUCACUGUCUGAAUCAGUUCGGUUUCUUGAGUCUCAACUACAAGCUGAAAGACAUCGAUCAGCUGUGCUGCGACAAGAAGCGGAAGGACUGCCGAAGUCCCUGGAGCAUUCAGAUGCAUACUUUCUGGUGCAACAGCAAGCGUUGGAGGAUUUUAGCGCCAAACAGGACAAAGCUAAUUAGCUUGCUAAGCUUAUUGCCAGCAUGGUGGAUACCCAGGAUAACGUUUCUUGAGCUCUUCUGAAGUUGUUUCAGUUAUGCUCUUGUUUUGCUACCGCGUUUAUUUGCACUGGUGGCCAAUUUUGACGGCCAAGUGUAUGUAAUAUGCUGCUUUGUUCCCUAUAUUUGCACUGGUGGCGAACUUUGAUGCCCAGUGGAUGUAAUAUGUGUAAUAGCGGUAAUAGGCUAGCCUUAAUUGCUUGCUUAUUUAUUUCCUUAUUGUCUUGUUUAGUUAUUUGCUUGUAGUCACUGCAGUUCUUUUUCUUUGUUUUUCUAGUGGCCACAAUAGCCUAUUUUUGGUAACUAGGCCAAAAUAAUCAUGACAACACACGGACUGUUGUAACCAUGGGCCUCCUGCAGGCCGUAUGAUCCAUGGGCCUUCGUUCGGCCGUAGGACCAUUGGCCUUCUAUACGGGCCAUAGGAUCCACCGACCUUCUAUACGGGCCUUAGGGAUCAAUGGGUCUUCUACGGGCCGUAGGGUCCAUGGGCCUUCUACGAGUCGUACUGUCCAUGGGCCUCAUACGGGCCGUAGGAUCCAUGGGCCUUCUACGGGGCGUAUCAUCAUUUCGCCAAUCAUGGGUCGUACUAUUUAUGGACCAUAACGGGCCAUUAAUAGGCCGUAUUUGAUAACUCUAUGAAAACAGCCCAACGGGUUUUUUUUGACAUGAAAACGGCCCAACGUAUGAACGGUCCGCAAACGGGCCGACUGUAAUGAAGGGCUAAAUUUGGCCCACUAGCAGAAAAUGACAGCAACGGGCCGUAUGUAACCGAAUGCUGCAAAUGAGCCCAAGAAUCAAUGGGCCCUGAGAAGGCCGAAAGAUAACUUGGGCUGGAAAUGGCCCAAUGGAAUAAUGGGCCUUUAAUGGGUAUAAAGUGAUACACUGUUCAUUACGGGCCAGUUUCACCACGGGCCGUUAAUGGGCCAAGAGUUAGAAAGGUCCUCAUAUGGGCCGAAAGAAGUCAUGGGCCACACAUGGGCCGGAAGUUAAAACGGGCUGAAUCAUAUUGGACGGCCCAGAUGACGCUACUGGGCCUAAUUCGGAUAGGGCGUAACGGGCCCUGGAUUAGCGGGUUGUAAAUGGGCUAUAUGCGAACAGGCCGUUAACAGGCUUUCCGUGGGCCGACCCGCCACCUUUUGACCAAGUCAAACGGGCCGGCCUUUUCACAGGAAUGGGCCUCUGUUGGGCCGUACCAUGUGUCGCCGUAUCAUAGGCGCCUUCGGUCCAAUGAGCGGAUGACAUCUGUCCCAACGGUGAGCCGACAUGUGUUUGCUCCAGCCAAUGAUGAUUUUACACAUGGAAAAUCCCUAUUGGUCUAGGCUGUUAACGGGUUAUCGGAUCCAAAACCCGACCCGAUAGCUUAACGGCGUUCCGUUACGGUGGAUGCCACGUGUCGGUCACCCUUGACGAAAGCAGUGUUGUGACGCGCGAUUUAUCAUCAUGGAAGUGGACACUUCCGUGAUGAUAAUUUUGGUAAUGUCAUGGAACACUUCUACGACAGCACAGGUAUGACUAUCUUGAUUCUGUCAUAAAUUUGUCAUGGAUGUACAUGCAUGAUAAAAAAUGCGACCUACUGUGACAAACACGUAUCAUCACGGAAGUAUAUUUUUUUUGUAGUGGUUGUCAGUGAUGAUGCGAUUGGGUACCCCAAACCGACUCACAAGGCUCCUGAUGAACUUGACUGCUGAGCCAGCCGGGAUGGUGCGGACAACUUCCACUUCUGCCCACUUAGUGAAUUUGUCGAUGGCGACGUAAAGGUAGCGAUAGCCCCCUGGUGCCCGAGGAAAUGGGCCAAGGAUGUCCAGUCCCCAAACAGCGAACGACCACGAGAUGGGAAUGGUCUGAAGGCCCUGAGCUGGCUGGUGAAUUUGCUUGGUGUGGAACUGGCAGGCUUCACAAGCCCUCACCAGCUCGAUUGCAUCGUUGAGUGCUAUUGGCCAAUAGAAACCGCUGCGAAACGCCUUGCCGACGAGUGUGCGCGAAGACAAGUGGUGCCCGCAGUAUCCACCGUGAAUGUCCGCCAGCAGCUAUUUUCCUUGCUCCCUGGAGAUGCAACAUAGAGCAACGUCAUUCGGCCGCUUUCGGUAGAGCUCUCCGUCUUGGAUGAUGUAGGCCGUGGCCUGCUGUACCACGCGCUCCGCGUCCUCCUCCUUCUCCGGCAGGGUCCCUUGCAUCAAGUUAUCCUUGAACUCUGCGGUCCAACAUCCCUCCUGAGGCUCCAGCGCCAAGAGUAAGCGUGCCCCUGAGGUUGGGCCAUAGGGCGGGGCUCCUGAGGCAGGCGGUUGAGGGAGCUCCUCCCUAGGCUGUGCUGUGAUUGAUAGUGACGGCGCCACCGAGGGUAUGAAGAGUCGCUCCUCGAAGACGCCGGGCUCCUGAGGGAGCCGCCUGGACGCCCUCUUGGCGAUGUCAUCAGCCUCUGAAAGGUCGCUCCUGCGUUGCGCAGCCCGAACGGCAUGUAGGUAUAGCAGUACAAUCCGCACGGGGUCAGGAAGGCCGUUUUCUCCACGUCUUCUACCGCCAUCUUGAUCCGGUGAUAGCCCGAGAAGGCAUCCAGGAAGCACAAUAGGUCACACUCAGCAGUGGAGUCGACGAUCUGGUCGAUGCGAGGGAGCGGGAAUGGAUCCUGCGGGCAGGCCUUGUUGAGGUUCGUGAAGUCGACACACAUGCGUUCCUUUCCCCCCUUUUUUGGCACGACAACAGGGUUGGCCAGCCACUCAGGAUAGCGGACCUCGCGAAUGAUGCAUGUUGCCUCUAACUUGCGGGUUUCUUGGACGAUGAAGGCCUGCUUUUCAGUGGACUGCCGCCUUGCCUUCUGCUUCACGGAGCACACGUUGGGGCACACGUUGAGAUGAUGUUCAAUCACAUCCCUUGGGACUCCUGCCAGCUGAUCAGGUUCCCAUGCAAACACCUUCUUGUUUGCAUGCAGGAACUUCACCAAGGCCUCCUCCAGCUCAGGCUCGAGGUUGGCGCCUAUGGUGAAGGUGGCGCCAGUGGAUCCAUCCUCGUCGACCGGUACCUACUUGGUCUCUGCCUUGUCUUGGCAGAAUAGCUACUUCUUCUUAGUCGACGCAGCCCCCUUGGGCUCGAGGACAUCUGCGCUGGCCGGCUUCGCCACCGCGGCCGUCUUGAAAGCAAGCUUGAGCGCCUGCGGCGCAUCCCUUGUGUCUCCAGACACGGUAAGGACGCCGCUGCUCCCGGGCAUCUUCAUGAGGUUGUACGUCGGGUGAGUCGCUGCCAUAAACUGGGCCAAGGCCGGGUAGCCGAGGAUGGCGUUGUACGGGAGGCUGAUGGGGGCGAUGUUGAAGUUGAUCAGCUCCGUGUGGAAGUUGUCGUGGGUGCCGAAGGUCACCGGGAGGCGGAUCUGCCCCAGGGAGCCGGUGGAACCGCCUCCGAUGCCCGAGAAGGGCCUGUUGGGUUGAAGCCGCUCUAGCAGCACGUGGAGGAGGCUGAAGGCCUCCACCGAGAGCACGUUGAGGCCAGCACCACCGUCGAUGAGGGUCCUGGUGACGUCCACCUGGCAGAUGGUGGGGGUGCAUAGCAUCGGGAGUGCGCCCGAACAGGCGGUGUUGGAGGGGUGAUCAUCGAGCUGAAGGUCAAAUCAGCCUUGGGUGCCACCCAGCCCGGGGGGGUUUCUCGGCGCUUGAGGACGGCACCGAUCUGGCGGACGAAUGGCUUGACGUGGCGGCUCAAAGGUGGCGCCUGCGAUCCGCCUAGGAUGGCCGCGACGACUGGGGGUGCCGGCGCAACAUGAUGGGCGAGGAAGAGGUUGCGCAACUCCUCCCAGGAGGCCACAGAAGCCGCUGGCAGGUGGAGCAGCCACAUGCGCGGGACGCUGUUGAGGGCCAUGGGCAGCCAGUUCGCCAUGACCUUGUCGUCGCCUCCGGCCUUGAGGACGGCUUCUUCAUAUGCCAGGAGGAAGGCUAGCGGGUCGGCCGUGCCGUCAUAGCACGGUGGCAUGUCCAUCUUGAACUUGUCCGGCCACUGCACCUGUCGCAAGGUGGGGGCCAGGGCUCGGAGCCCACUGGUUUCCGCGCCGGCGUUGACAGCCGGAGCGGGCGACGCGUUGGCCGCCAUGAGGGUAGAGCGUGGUGCUGAUAGGGAACGGGCCGACGGAAGGGAGAGCUCCGGUGCACCCCUACCCGGCGCACCAAAUGUAGGAUGUUGGGUUCCGGCAGAUCCUGAAGGUUCGAGCACUGGGGUGCGCAUGAAGAUCUCUCCCCUACCGAUCUACGUCCGAUCGCCUCGUGAGAUCUAGGCUGAAAAGGAUGAACAACACAAGGGACACAAGAUUUAUACUGGUUCGAGCCACCGUUGUGGUGUAAUACCCUACUCCAGUGUGUAAUGUGGUGGAUUGAAUCGGGGCUGGUGAUGAACAGUACAAGGGGAGAACGGCCUCGCGAGAGGUGUUCUUGAGCUGGUGCGAUGAACUGCUUGGGUGAGUUCGACCGCCUCUCUCUCUCUCUGAAUAUCUGAUCCCAAAAUCUCCCUUUUCUACUGUGGUGGCUAGACCUAUUUAUAGAGGCCCUGGGCCUCUCCCCAAAUAUUGAGCGGGAAGGACGCCAACAUUGGCCAUUUCGAAGGGGAACAUCUAGUACAAGUUAUCCUGACUAAAGUUGGUCUUCGGCUGCCAAAAGCACUGGUGAUGAUGCUGUCUUGGGCUCCACGGUGACCUCCAUCCUGCUGUUCCACUGGUCUUGGUCUUGUUGCACCGAAAUGGCAACAUUUGCUUGAUGCCUCGGUACUCCACGUCUGUGCUUGCCCCCCUUGCACCAAAGAGGAAACAAGGACACUGCACAGGCCGGCGCCCACCUGGUCUCGAUCGUCAUGGCUUGCGUCACGAGCACCUCGCGAGGUACCCUGCCUUGAUCUCUCCGCCUCCCCGCGAGCCUGCCUGACGAGGUCGUCCCUGAGGAAGCCUUGCAUCGUCUGCCCAGCGAGGCUUGGCCCCUCGCGAGGGUCUUGAGUCUUGUGCUGAUGAAAACGGUCCAUACUGGGCCACCACUUGAGCCACGCCGCAGGCCGCAGGCAGGCAAGUCUGGGGACCCCCGUUCCCAGAACACCGACAAUUGUUGUAUUGUGAAUUACCUUUCAGACCAUUUAUAUUAUAUGUUUAAUUUAUAUUACGAUUCUCAGAUUAUAUAUUGUUGAAAAUCAAGAAUUUGCAAGGCUCCAAAAAAUUGCGGUAUCACGAGGCUUCCGGCGUGGAACAAAUCCUGUAAAUUCGCCCCGCACAUGUUUUGCAGGACGAGUAUACUGGAUCUAUUUUGCGAGAGGCCUAGUGGUGCCACAAUAUUUUACGGGAGACCCUUAAAUGAUAUUUGUAGGGCAAGGUUUUAUCGGGUCUGCUAGAGAUGCUCUUUGGGCAUCAGUAGUAUGUAAAGGCAGCAUUGCCUCUAACAUGGGCCCCACGCAUAUGCCUCCAUCCGUAGCAAAAAUCUACGUGGUGUAUAGGACAACACUCGACAUUUAAGGUGGCCUCCACAACAUAAUUAAAUAUUAUUUCUCCACAAUCGGCUUUUCUUAUGUUUCUAUCCCCAGCCGAAAUGUGUGGUGAUACGUCUCCAAUGUAUCUAUAAUUUAUGAAGUAUUUAUGUCAUGUUUACAACAAUUUUAUAUGGUUUGGGUGUAAUUUUAUAUAAUUUAAAUAGAACUAACCCGAACUGACACUGUUUUCAGCAGAACUACCGUGGUGUCGUUUUUGUGAAAAAAUAAAAGUUCUCAGAAUGGCUGAAACUUUUUGACGAUUUUUUGGGAACAAAAGAGACCACUGAAGCUUCGUGGGAUGACAAGAAGAGAAACAAGGUGCCCGCGAGGCACCAGGGCGCGCCCAAGGGUCGGCUUGCCAUGAUGCCUUGUGGGCCCAUCUUAGCCCAUCUUCGCGUGAGAUGGAUGCCAAAAAAUUCUAUAAUUAGAGAAACCCCCAUAAAUAAUCGUAGAACUUGCACUCCACUACCCCAAGCCUUUAUACCUCUACGAUCUCAUCUACAGCCCUUCUCCGGCACCCUGCUGGAGGGGAAAAUCAUCACCGGAGGCCAUCUUCAUCAUCCCAAUGCUCUCCAUGACGGGGAGGGGGGUAGUUCACGCUCGAGGCUUGGGGUAUGUACAAGUAGCUAUGUGUUUGAUCUCUCUCUCAUGUUCUUGAUUUGGCACGAUCUUGAUGUACCGCGAGCUUUGUUAAUAUAGUUGGAUCAUAUGGUGUUUCUCCCUCUCCAUCUUGUUGUGAUGAAUUGAGUUUUUACCUUUGGGGUUUCACUAUUAUCGGAUUGAAUACUUUUAUGGAUUUGAGAACACUUGAUGUAUGUCUUGCAUGUGGAUACCCGUGGUGACAAUGGGGUGUUCUAUUGAUUCACUUGAUGUAUAUUUUGCCAAUCAACUUGCAGGUUCCCGAGGUGACAUUGGGGUAAACUAUGCAUAGGGGUUGAUGCACGUUUUCGUCCUACUUGCUCUGGUAGAAAUCUUGGGGCACUCAUUGAAGUUCUUUGUGUUGGAUUGAAUAUUAUGAAUCAGAAGCUGUUUGAUGUGUAUCGUAUAAUUGACUCGCGGAUACUUGUGGUGACAUUAGAGUAUCUAGGUGACAUUAGAGUUGGUUGUUGUGUAUCAUAUGGUGUUAUUUUAGUAUGAACUCUAGGGUUGUUUGUGACACUUAUAGUAAUAGCUCAAAAGAUUGAUCGGAAAGAAUAACUUUGAGGUGGUUUUGCACCCUACAAACAAUUUCAUCUUAUGUUCUCCGCUUUAUAAGAACUCUGGAGCAAUUCUUUAUUGCACAUUGAGGGAUGGUUAUAUGAUUCAAUUAUGUUAGCAGUGUUGAGAGAUUGCACUAGCGAAAGUAUGAACCCUAGGCCUUGUUUCUAAGCAUUGCAAUACCGUUUGUGCUCCAUUUUAUCAUUUUCUACCUUGCUAUUUUUAUAUUUUCAGAUUACAAAAACCUAUAUUUACUAUCCAUACUACACUUGUAUCACCAUCUCCUCGCCAAACUAGUGCACCUAUACAAUUUUUCAUUGCAUUGGGUGUGGCAGGGACACGAGAGAUUUCUUGUAUUUGAUUGCAGGGUCAUUCGAGAGAGGCCAUCUUCAUCCUACACCUCACACAGAUUGAUAAACCUUAGGUUAUCCACUUGAGAAAAAAUUGUUACUGUUCUACAAAAAUCUGCACUUGGAGACCCAACAUGAGUCACCAAAAACAAGUUGUGUAGUAGACAUCAUGUGGCCAGACACACAAUGCAUGCUACAAGAGGGGCCCUUAGAUUUUUUUUAAUCAAUGGUGGUGGCCUCUAACGUUGGAGGCGACUCUAACAUAUAUUUGGCUCAAGGAGAUGGAUGCACUGUAUGAAGGCUGCCUCUACGCGUAGAGAGAAUCAUUAGAGGCGGUAAAUUUUAGACACUGCGGGUGCUUUUAAUGGAUUGAUUUCUGAAAAAAGGCCGAAGCCAAAAGAAAUGUUUAUCUUUUUUGUUUUCGGAUUUUCUCUGUUAGACAGAGUGUUAAGUGGCCGCUAUAGGCUUUUAGGGCGGAAUUCAGUUUACGGGACCUUGUAGUUUUAAGUGCACUUUGUGUGUUUUAUGUACUGCUUAAAUAAGGAAAAUAUGCAUAAUAAUACUUCAAAUUAAUGUUAAUGAUGAUGAAUUUGUGAUGGGCAUAUUUGUCUUUAGGCAUUUUUCCUUUUUUUUGUAGUGCACUUUCAAUGAUGUUAUCCAUAUAAUUUUAUGCAUCACUAAUAAGUUUAAAAUUCCCUAAAAUCAUGUUUUAAUUUUGUGAAUAAAAUGAAAUUAACACAAUUUUUUAGAAAGUUUUGAUGUGGUACGGAUAUAAAUGUCAUUUAGACCAUUUUUUAAUGCUAGUCAGAUUAAGUGUCAUUUUAAUGAUGAAUUAAAUUUUUUAUUACAUUUUAUUUGGGAAAGUUAUGAUUUGCCCCUAAAAGAUUCUGAAUAUUUUAUUUCAAAAUUGUAGUUGAGUGUGGCACUUAUGUUGAUGCCAUCCUUAUCCCAUUUUUAUGUGAUCAUUCCUAGUGGACAUAGACUACCUUAAGAAAAAUGAUGAUUACCAUGUGUUUCGGUUUCCCGCACCAUAUCGUACAACAAUGUUUGGCCAAUAUUUAUCAAGGGAAAUGAAAGUAUUAUGUUGGUGCAUUCUUUGUUAUCUAAUGCAACUGGUAGAAUGCCCAUGCGUUACUACAUGCUAGAAGGCAUAUAAAUGAAUUUAAAAAUUGAUUAAAGUCAUCUGAAGGUCAAAUCACAUUUCUUUCUCAUACGUCCGGGCGUGUUCUGACAUCAAACGGGCGUCCAGUGGGCUCCGUGAAGUUCAACCGUCUGGACAGUCCGUCCUCCCCAAAUCCAGCCCAUAUAUGGAUGAAAUAUGGUUUUUCAAACUAUUUCAUACGUUAUCUCCAACAAACGGUUCCAAUACAAAAAAACACCCACGACGCACACUUCCUUUUUCCUAUAGGACCCUCCCUUUCCCCUUCCCGCUCGAUUACCCGCUGUAGCAGGAUACUUCUCGCUGGAGCCCUCUCAUUUAAAACUGGAUGACUGAUGUCUGCUAGACUACAUUGGUAUUUCCCCAGAGAGAAAGGGAUAAUGCAGAACAAUGACGGUAGGUAUUGCCCUCGGUGAUGAGACCAAGGUUAUCGAACCAGUAUGAAAACCAAGCAACACUAUGUAAACAACACCUGCACACAAAUAACAAAUACUCGCAACCCGACGUGUUAAAGGGGUUGUCAAUCCCUUCGGGUAACGACGCUAGAAAUUGGCACGCGGACGUGAGAGAGUUGUAAUAGUUUGAUAGGUCAAACACCAAAUAAAAUAAAGUGCAUCAAUGUAUUUUUGUAUUUUUGGUUUAAUAGAUCUGAAAAUAAAAACAAAGGAAAAUAGAUAGCAAAGGCAAAUAUAUAAAAGAAGAGACCCGGGGGCCGUAGGUUUCACUAGUGGCUUCUCUCAAGAAAAAUACCAAGCGGUGGGUAAACAAAUUACUGUUGGGCAAUUGAUAGAACUUCAAAUAAUCAUGACAAUAUCGAGGCAAUGAUCAUUAUAUAGGCAUCACGUCCAAGAUUAGUAGACCGACUCCUGCCUGCAUCUACUACUAUUACUCCACACAUCGACCGCUAUCCAGCAUGCAUCUAGUGUAUUAAGUUCAUGGAGAAAUGGAGUAAUGCAAUAAGAAUGAUGACAUGAUGUAGACAAGAUCUAUUUAUGUAGAAAUAUAUCCCAUCUUGUUAUCCUUAAUGGCAACGAUACAUAUGUGUCAGUUCCCCUUCUGUCACUGGGAUCAAGCACCGUAAGAUCGAACCCAUCACAACGCACCUCUUCCCAUUGCAAGAUAAAUAGAUCAAGUUGGCCAAACAAAACCCAAAUAUCGAAGAAGAAAUACGAGGCUAUAAGCAAUCAUGCAUAUAAGAGAUCAAAGAAGACUCAAAUAACUUUCAUGGAUAAAAAGAUAGAUCUGAUCAUAAACUCAAAGUUCAUCCGAUCCCAACAAACACAGUGCAAAAAGAGUUACAUCAUAUGGAUCUCUAGGAGACCAUUGUAUCGAGAAUCAAAAGAGAGAGAGGAAGCCAUCUAGCUCCUAACUAUGGACCCGAAGGUCUACAAAAGACUACUCAUGCAUCAUCAGUGAGGCACCAAUGGACAUGAUGAACCCCUCCGUGAUGGUGUCUAGAUUGGAUAAGUUGGUUCUGGAACUUGCGGUGGCUGGAAUUGAUUUCCGUUGAGUCCCCUAGGGUUUCUGGAACAUUGGGGGUAUUUAUAGAGUAAAGAGGCGGUCCGGGUGGCACCCGAGGUGGGCACAACACACCAGGGCGCGCCUGGGCCUCCAGGCGCGCCCUGGUGGGUUGUGUUCCCCUCGAAGCUCCCCCUAGGCGCUUCUUCGGCCCAUUGGAUGUCUUCUGGUCCAAAAAUUAAAUCCACAAAAUGUUUCGCUGCGUUUGGACUCCGUUUGGUAUUGAUUUCCUGUGAUGUAAAAAACAUGCAAAAACAGCAACUGGCACUUGGCACUAUGUCAAUAGGUUAGCACCAAAAAAUGAUAUAAAAUGACUAUAAAAUGAUUAUAAAACAUCCAAGAAUGAUAAUAUAAUAGCAUGGAACAAUCAAAAAUUAUAGAUACGUUGGAGACGUAUCGGCAUCCCCAAGCUUAAUUCCUGGUCGUCCUCGAGUAGGUAAAGGAUAAAAACAGAAUUUUUGAUGUGGAAUGCUGCCUAACAUGUCAUCUCAUAUUAUUUUCUUUGUAGCAUGGACAUUUGGACUCUUUUAUGGUUCAAAGCAAUAGUCUAGUUUUGACAUGAGGACUUAAAUACUCAAGCAUACCAACAAGCAACCAUGUCUUUCAAAAUAUCAACGCUAAAAUAAGUUAUCCCUAGCCCAUCAUGCUCAAUCAUUGAUCCAUUCAUGAAACACACUCGCAUAUUAACUACACCCAAUUCUCAAGUACGAUCAUAGUGCCCCCUAGUUGGUGCUUUAUAAGAGAAGAUGGAGACUCAAAUUAAAAAUAAAAAUUACAUAAAGUAAAAGAAAGGCCCUUCGCGGAGGGAAGUAGGGAUUUGUUGAGGUGCCUGAGCUCAAAGCAAAAAUUGAGAGAUAAAAACAUUUUGAGAGGCAUUAUUUUCCCACCAACAAAGACGACUUAGAGCUCCCAACACUUUGCAUGCUAGAUAUAUCAUAGGCGGUUCCCAAACAGAAAAUAAAGUUUAUUCCUUUUUCAACCAUACUUUCACUUUCCAUGGCUAACCGUAUCCACGGGUGCCCUCCAUACCAACAGUUUCCAAGGAAUUUAUUAUUUGAAAAAAUAAAGUAAAUUCAUUUUUCAUUUCAGGACUAGGCAUCCCUAAUACCUUUGCCUUAAUCUUGUGCAAUAACAAGUGAAUAAACAGUCAUCGUGAGAAUAACACAUCUAGCAUGGAAAAUAUUCGCCACCCCUCACCACCCCGCGAGCGGUACGAGCACACAAAAGAGAAAUUUAUUUUGAAAAUUAGAGAUGGCACAUACAAAUUUUCUUAGAACGGCAAAAGAGUACCGCAUAUAGGUAAGUAUAGUGGACUCAUGUGGCAAAACUAGUUUAAAGGAUGUUGGAUGCACAAGUAGUGAUCAUACUUAGUGCAAGAUGAAGGCUAGCAAAAGAUUGAGAAGCGACCAACCAAGAAACAAAUAAUCUCAUGAGAAAGCAUGAGCAUAAUUAACACCGAAUAAUGCACCACAAGUAGGAUGUAAUUUCAUUGCAUGACUAUUGACUUUCGUGCUUGCAUAGGGAAUCACAAACCUUAACACCAAUAUUCUUACGAAAGCAUAAUUACUCAUCAACAUGACUCACAUAUCACAUCAUCAUAUCUCAAAACUAUUACAAGGAAUAAAGUUUAUUUUGUCCAAUGAUCUUCAUGAAAGUUUUUAUUAUAUCCUUCUUGGAUAUCUAUCACUUUGGGACUAAUUUUCAUGUGUUGCUUUUGAUAAGCUCAAACAAAUAUAAGUGAAGAUCAUGAGCAUAAUAUUUCUUUCUCUCAAAUUAAUUUAAGUGAAGCAAGAGAGAAUUUCUUAAAAAAAUUACUAACUCUCAAAUAGAUAGAAGUGAAGCAAGAGAGCAUUUCUUAAAAAAAUACUAAAGAACACCGUGCUAAAAAUAUAUAAGUGAAGCAUUAGAUCAAUUCCACAGCUCAUAAAAAAUUAAGUGAAGCAUAGAGAGCAAUUCUAACAAGUCAUUACAUAAUUUUGGCUCUCUCAAAUAUGCGUGUCCAGCAAGGAUUCAAGACUUAAAACAAAAAUCAAAACAAGCAAAGACUCAUAUCAUACAAGACGCUCCAAGCAAAACUCAUAGUAUGUGACGAAUAAAAAUAUAGCUUCGAGUAAAAUACCGAUGGUCGUUAGAAGAACGAGGGGAUGCCACUCGGGGCAUCCCCAAGCUUAGUUGCUUGCUUCUAUUUUGAUAAUAGCUUGGGAUGCCAUGGGAAUCCCCACGUUUAGGCUCUUCUUACUCCUUAUUCCUUCAUCCAUUGUAAGAUCACCCAAAACUUGAAAACUUCAAUCACACAAAACUCAACAAAACCUUCGUAAGAUCCGUCAGUAUAAGAAAACAAAUCACUACUAUAAGUACUGUUGAAAACCCAAACAUAUUUUAUACUUGCAUUAUAUCUAAUGUAUUCCAACUUUUCUAUGGCAAAAAAUCUUCAAAGGAAACCAUAGAAUCGUCAAAACAAGCACACAACGCAAAGAAAACAGAAUAUGUCAAAAACAGAACAAUCUGUAACAAUAUGGAUAUUUAGAAUACUUCUGAAACUCCAAAAAUUCUGAAAUAUUAGAACGGCCUGAGAAAUUUGUAUACUAAUCUUCUGCAAAAAGAAUUGGUAUUUUAUCACACUUCUGUUAAAAAUCAAAAUUACUUUCGUGAGCACGAAAGUUUGUGUUUUCAACAAGAUCAAACAACUAUCACCCAAGAAGAUCCUAAAGGCUUUACUUGGCACAAACACUAACUAAAACACAAAAAACACAAUCAUAAUAGUAGCAUAAUUUUGCAAACACUCAAGAACAUAAAGCAAAAGACAAAAAUAAAUUGUAUUCAUUGGGUUGCCUCCCAAUAGGCUCUUCUUUUAUAGCCAAUAAGAUAGGCUGUGAGAUUUCAAUGAUGCUCAAAAGAAAGAUAGUAACUGAAGCAUAAAGAGAGCAUCAUGUAGCAUGUGACAAACACAUUUAAGUCUAAUAUACUCCCUAUGCAUAGGCAUUUUAUAGGAAAACAAAAUAUCAAGACAAGAAACAUCUAACAUAUGCAAAGAAGAGGAAUAAAACAUUGACGAUCUCAACAUAAUGACAGGUAACUUAGUAACAUGAUAAUUUCUACAACAUAUUUUCCUCUCUCAUAAUAAUUACAUGUAGGAUCAUAAUCAAAUUCUACAAUAUAGCUAUCAAAUAAAAUUUCCUCUUCAUGAUCCACAUGCAUGCAAAGUUGACACUCUUCCAAUAUAGUGGGAUUAUCAUCAAAUAAAGUCAUGACCUCUCCGAGCCCACCUUUAUCAAAAAAUUCAUAAGACUGAACACUCUCCAAAUAUGUGGGAUUAAUUUUUGCUAAACUUGACACUCUUCCAAAACCACUUUUAAUAUUAUCGCAAGCAUAUUUCUCAUGAGGUUUAAAUAAAUUUUCAAUAUCAUAAGAAUCAUUAUCACCCCAAUCAUGAUCAUUGCAACAAGUAGUGGACAUAGUAAAAUUAGCAUCCCCAAGCUUGGGGUUUUGCAUAUUAUUAGCACAAUUGACAUUAAUAUAAUUUAUAGUAAAAUCAUUGCAAUCAUGCUUUUCAUUCAAAGAGCUAUCAUGAAUGACUUCAUAAAUUUCUUCAUCACAAUUUUCAGAUUCACGAAUCUCAAGCAAAACUUCAUAAAGAUAAUCUAGUGCACUUGACUCACUAGCAAUUGGUUCAUUGUGAUUGGAUCUUUUGAUAAGAUUAGCAAGUGUAUGGGGAUCCAUAUUGAUAGAUUUUUAGCAAGCGAAGAUGCAAGCAUAUAGAAAGCACAUGGCAACACAAGCAAAUAAAAGAUCUGACAAAAAAAGGCGAACGAAAAAGAAGGCGAAUAAAACGGCACAUUUUUGUGAAGUGGGGGAGAUGAAAACGAGAGGCAAAUGGCAAAUAAUGUAAAUUGUGAGGAGAUGAGAUAUGUCAUUAAAAACCUAGUAUAUGUUGAUGAUGUCUCCCCGGCAAUGGUGCCAAAAAUUGGCACGUGGCCGGGAGACUAUCUUGACGUGAUCCUCCCCGACAAUGGCACCAGAAAUUCCUUUUGAUGUCUGCUAGACUAUGUGGUAUUUUCCCAAAGAGGAAGGGAUGAUGCAGCACAUCGGUGAUAGGUAGUUCCCUCAGUGAUCAGACAAAGGUUAUCGAACCAGUAGGAGAACCAAGCAACAAUACAUAAACAACACCUGCACACAAAUAACAAAUACUCGCAACCCGAUGUGUUAAAGGGGUUGUCAAUCCCUUUUGGGUAACGGCGCCAGAAAUUGGCACGCGGACGUGAGAAAGUUGCAAUAGUUUGAUAGAUCGAAUGCCAAUUAAAAUAAAGUGCAGCAAGGUAUUUUUAUAUUUUUGGUUUAAUAGAUCUGAAAAUAAAAACAAAGGAAAAUAGAUCGCAAAGGCAAAUAUAUUAAAGAAGAGGCCCGGGGGCCAUAGGUUUCACUAGUGGCUUCUCUCGAGAAAAAUAACAAAUGGUGGGUAAACAAAUUACUGUUGGGCAAUUGAUAGAACUUCACAUAAUCAUGACGAUAUCUAGGCAAUGAUCAUUAUAUAGGCAUCACGUCCAAGAUUAGUAGACCGACUCCUGCCUACAUCUACUACUAUUACUCCACACAUCGACCGCUAUACAGCAUGCAUCUAGUGUAUUAAGUUCAUGGCGAAAGGAAGUAAUGCAAUAAGAAAGAUGACAUGAUGUAGACAAGAUCUAUUUAUGUAGAAAUAGACCCACCUUGUUAUCCUUAAUGGCAACGAUACAUACGUGCCGGUUCCCCUUCUGUCACUGGGAUCAAGCACCGUAAGAUCGAACCCAUCACAAAGCACCUCUUCCCAUUGCAGGAUAAAUAGAUCAAGUUGGCCAAACAAAACCCAAAUAUUGGAGAAUAAAUACGAGGCUAUAAGCAAUCAUGCAUAUAAGAGAUCAAAGAAGACUCAAAUAACUUUCAUGGAUAAAAAGAUAGAUCUGAUCAUAAACUCAAAGUUCAUUCGAUCCCAACAAACACACUGCAAAAAGAGUUACAUCAUAUGGAUCUCCAAGAGACCAUUGUAUUGAGAAUCAAAGGAGAGAGAGCAAGCCAUCUAGCUACUAACUACGGACCCGAAGGUCUACAAAAGACUACUCACGCAUCAUCGGAGAGGCACCAAUGGACAUGAUGAACCCCUCUGUGAUGGUGUCUAGAUUGGAUCCGGUGGUUCUGGAACUUGCGGUGGCUGGAAUUGAUUUUCGUUGACUCCCCUAGGGUUUUUGGAAUAUUGGGGUAUUUAUAGAGUAAAGGGGCAGUCCGAGCGGCACCCGAGGUGGGCACAACCCACCAGGGCGCGCAUGGGCCUCCAGGCACGCCCUGGUGGGUUGUGCUCCCCUCAAAGCACCCCCAGGUGCUUCUCCGACCCACUGGAUGUCUUCUGGUCGAAAGAAAAUCCACAAAAAGUUUCACUGCAUUUGGACUCCGUUUGGUAUUGAUUUCCUGCGAUGUAAAAAACAUGCAAAAAACAGCAACUGGCACUUGGCACUAUGUCCAUAGGUUAGUACCAAAAAAAUGAUAUAGAAUGACUAUAAAAUGAUUAUAAAACAUCCAAGAAUGAUAAAUAACAGCAUGGAAUAAUAAAAAAUUAUAGAUACGUUGGAGAUGUAUCAAUGACACGCACCUAACAUUCACCAUGUCGCCAUAUCCCCUUCGCACCGUACUUACAAGGACAACCGGGAGGAGUUACUCGCCAACCGCCCCGCUCUCGCUCUGAUCUCCUCCCGUGUUUGUUCUGAUCUGCCACCGCCAUCAUGUGGGAGGACUUGUGCGCCACCCAUGAAGCCCUCUCGAGCCAAGAAGGAAGAUCCAAUGUCUCGAGUCAUUGCCAUGUUCUAACAUAAAGUUGAAUGUCGUGCAUUUGUCGGUGUUCUGGGAAUGGGGGUACCCAGAAUUGCCUGCCUGCGGCCCACGGCGCAGCUCCACCGACGGCCUGGUAUGACCUAGCUUCGGCAUCAACAACCCAAGACCCUCGCGAGGGACCAAGCCUCGCGAGGCGGAUGACACCAAGACCUCUGCAAGGAGCGGCCACCUAAAGCUGGCCCCCGAGGAGCGGAGAUUUCUAUUCAAGCCUCGCCUCGCGAGGUGCCGAUGACAUGAGCCAUGACGACCAAGUCCAGGCAGGCUCCAGCGGGCACAGAGUACCAGUUUCCUCUUUGGUGCUAAGGAGGCAAGCGUAGGCGCGGAGUCCCGAGGAAUCAGCCAAAGGUUUCCAUUCCGCUGCAACAAGACCAAGACCGCCAGGACGGCAGGACGGAGGUCAUCGUCGAGCCCACCACGGCGUCACGACCAGAGGCUUUUGCUGGCAAAUACUACUUUUGUUAGGAUAGCAUGUAUUAGUUGUCUCCCUUCAAAUUUGGCCAUUGUGGGAUCCCUUCCCGCCUUCAUUUGGGAAGAGGACCGAGGCCACUAUGUAUAGGACGUAGCCACCACCAUAGAGAGAUCCAUUCCACCUCGAUCAGCUGACCAACUCACUUGAGCUCAAGAACACUCCUCCUCGCGAGGUUGUUCUCCCACUGUACUAGUUCAUUCUCAGCCCCAUGAGGCUAAUCCACCACAAAGGAGGAGUAGGGUUUUACCCCGCCAGGUCGCCCGAACCUGGGUAAACUGCCAUGUCCCCUUUCCUUUGAGUUCAUCGAGCUAGGCCGUGGGAUUGGCGAGUAGGCAGACUGGGAAGGUUGAGUUCUUCGCACGCACCCCAGAGUUCAAACCUCACAAGGGUCCAUGGAACCCGAAAUCCGACAUUUGGCGUGCCACGUAGGGGUGCGUCGGAGCCUCUCUUCCGCCAGUCGAUUCACCACCGCUCCACCGCUUCCAUGGCUGACGCUCGUCAAGCUCGUGCUGAGCGUCGGGCCGCUCUCGCUGCACGCGUCGCUCAGACGGCACCAGCGGGUGACGGAUGCCCUCGCCAUCCCCGUCGCCGGUGGCAAACGCUGCCACCAGCCCCGCGGGCCAUGAACAGCAGGCCUUGUUGUUGCAUCCUUCUGUGCGGAGGGACGGGCGCACCACCACUUCGUUGCUGACUCCAACUGCUUCAUCUUCCCAUGCUCAUCGUGGCCCGGCGAACGCGUAGGCCGUGCUGCUCAUGGCAUGCAAGCUCCCGCGCUACCGCCCGGUCGACGACUUCUAUGAGGCUGGCUCGACCACAUUGUCGAGCUCGUCAGUGCCGCCAGAGAAUCCGCUGCACCAUCUCGCUCGCUGCCUCAACCACUGCCUCUUGCGGGUGACAUAGCUCAUGGAGCGCCUCCUCCACCUCCCAGGCAGGACGCCAUCAUCGAUCGGCAGGAGGCUCCGCAGCAUGAUCUGUAGCGCUGGGCACCCGCGCGUGAUGAGGCGAGCUGCCAAGUGGUGCAGCGUCCACAAGAAAAUGCGCGUGCGCUUGAUACGUCCAUUUUGCAUCAUGCUUUUAUAUCAAUAUUUAUUGCAUUAUGGGCUGUUAUUACACAUUAUAUCCCAAUACUUAUGGCUAUUAUCUCUUAUUUUACAAGGUUUACCAUGAAGAGGGGGAAUGCCGGCAGCUGGAAUUCUGGCUGGAAAAGGAGCAAACAUUGGAAACCUAUGUUGCACUACUCCAAAAAUCCUGAAACUCCACGAAACCUAUUUUUGGAAUUAAUAAGAAUUAUUGAGCGGAAGAAAUACAUCAGGGGGCCCACACCCUGUCCAGGAGGGUGGGGGGCGCGCCCACCCCUACUGGACGCGCCCCCUGUCUCCUGGGCCCCCUGGUUGCCCCCCGGUGUCCAUCUUCUGCUAUAUGAGGGCUUUUACCCUAAAAAAAUCGUGGGCAAGCUUACGGGAUGAAACUCUGCCGCCACGAGGCGGAACCUUGGCGGAACCAAUCUAGGGCUCCGGCGGAGCUGUUCUGCCGGGGACACUUCCCUCCGGGAGGGGGAAAUCAUCACCAACGUCAUCACCAACGAUCCUCUCAUCGGGAGGGGGUCAAUCUCCAUCAACACCUUCACCAGCACCAUCUCCUCUCCAAACCCUAGUUCAUAUCUUGUAUCCAAUCUUGUAUCAAAACCACAAAUUGGUACCUGUGGGUUGCUAGUAGUGUUGAUUACUCCUUGUAGUUGAUGCUAAUUGGUUUACUUGGUGGAAGAUCAUAUGUUCAGAUCCUUUAUGCAUAUUAUUACUCCUCUAAUUAUGAACAUGAAUAUGCUUUGUGAAUAGUUACGUUUGUUCCUGAGGACAUGGGUGAAGUCUUGCUAUUAUUAGUCAUGUGAAUUUGGUAUUCGUUCGAUAUUUUGAUGAGAUGUAUGCUGUCUUUUCCUCUAGUGGUGUUAUGCGAACGUCGACUACAUGACACUUCACCAUUAUUUGGGCCUAGAGAAAGGCAUUGGGAAGUAAUAAGUAGAUGAUGGGUUGCUAGAGUGACAAAAGCUUAAACCCUAGUUGAUGUGUUGCUUUGUUAGGGGCUGAUUGGGAUCCAUAUGUUUAAUGUUGUGGUUAGGUUUACCUUAAUACUUCUUUUGUAGUUGCGGACGCUUGCAAUAGGAGUUAAUCAUAAGUGGGAUGCUUGUCCAAGUAAGGGCAAUACCCAAGCACCGGUCCACCCACAUAUCAAAUUAUCAAAGUACCGAACGCGAAUCAUAUGAACGUGAUGAAAACUAGCUUGUCGAUAAUUCACAUGUGUCCUCGGGAGCUUCUUUCUCAUUAUAAGAAACUGUCCAGGCUUAUCCUUUGCUACAUAAAUGAUUGGGCCACCUUGCUGCACUUUAUUUACUUUAUUUACUUGUUACCCGUUACUAUUUAUCUUAUCACAAAACUAUCUAUUACCUACAAUUUCAGUGCUUGCAGAGAAAACCUUACCGAAAACCACUUAUCAUUUCCUUCUGCUCCUUGUUGGGUUUGACACUCUUACUUAUCGAAAGGACUACGAUAGAUCCCCUACACUUGUGGGUCAUCAAGACUCUUUUCUGGCGCCGUUGUCGGGGAGUGUAGCGCUUUUGGUGAGUGGAACUUGUAAGGAAACAUUUAUAUAGUGUGCUGAAAUUUUCUGUUACUUGUCACUAUGGAAACUAAUCCUUUGAGGGGCUUGUUCGGGGUAUCUUCACCCCGACCAGAAGAGAAAAGAGUUUCUCCUCAACCUACUGAACUUUUGGAAAAUAUAUACUUUGAGAUUCCUUCGGGUAUGAUAGAGAAACUGCUAGCUAAUCCAUUUGGAGGAGAUGGAACAUUGCAUCCCGAUUUACACCUUAUCUUUGUGGAUGAAGUUUGUGGAUUAUUUAAGCUUGUAGGUAUUCCCGAUGAUGUUGUCAAAAGGAAGGUCUUCCCUUUAUCUUUUAAGGGAGAUGCAUUGACAUGGUAUAGGCUAUGUGAUGAUACGAGAUCUUGGAAUUAUAAACGAUUGAAGUUGGAAUUUCACCAGAAGUUCUAUCCUAUGCAUCUUGUUCAUCGUGAUCAUAAUUACAUAUAUAAUUUCUGGCCUUGCGAAGGAGAAAGCAUCGCUCAAGCUUGGGGGAGGCUUAAAUCAAUGCUAUAUUCAUGCCCCAAUCAUGAGCUCUCCUGGGAAAUGAUUAUUCAAAAAAUUUAUGUUUGGCUUUCUCUUAAUGAUCGCAACCAGCUCGAUACUUCCUGUUCUGGUUCUUAUAUGCUGAAGACUAUUGAUUUCAAAUGGGACUUAUUGUAAAGAAUUAAGCGCAACUCUGAACAUUGGGGUUCCGAUGAUGGUAAGGAUUUAGGUAUGAAACCUAAGUUCGAUUGUGUUAAAUCUUUUAUGGAUACCGAUGCUUUUCGUGGAUUUAACACUAAGUAUGGACUUGACUCUGAGAUAGUAGCUUAUUUUUGUGAAUCUUUUGCUACUCACAUUGAUCUCCCUAAAGAGAAGUUGUUUAAAUAUAAUCCUCAUGUUGAAGUGAAAGUAGUUGCACCUAUUACAGUUGAAGAAAAGACUAUCACCUAUAGUGAUGCUAUUGUUCCUACUACUUAUGUUGAGAAACCUCCAUUUCCUGUUAGGAUAAAGGAUCAUGCUAAAACUUCGAUUGUUGUUCGUAAGAGUAAUACUAGGACUCAUACACCUCCUGAGCAAAUCAAUGUUGAACCUAGUAUUGCUAUGGUUAAAGAUCUCUUGGAUGAUGAUUUAGAUGGGCAUGUUAUUUAUUUCUGUGACGAGACUGCUAAUAUUGCUAGACCAGAUACUAAGAUACAUAGACCUGUCGUAGGCAUACCUGUUAUUUCUGUUAAAAUAGGAGAUCAUUGUUAUCAUGGUUUAUGUGAUAUGGGUGCUAGUGCUAGUGCGAUACCCUAUGAUCUAUAUAAAGAAAUUAUGCACGACAUUGCACCUGUUGAAUUAGAAGACAUUGAUGUUACCAUUAAGCUUGCUAAUAGGGAUACCAUUAAACCAGUUGGGAUUGUUAGAGAUGUUGAAGUUUUGUGUGGGAAGGUUAAAUACCCUGCUGAUUUUCUUGUUCUUGGCUCCCCACAAGAUGAUUUUUGUCCCAUUAUUUUUGGUAGACCCUUCUUGAAUACCGCUAGUGCUAAGAUUGAUUGUGGAAAAGAUACUGUCACCAUUGGCUUAUGGUAUGUCUCAUGAGUUUAAUUUCGCUAAGUUUCGUAGACAACCUCGUGAUAGGGAACCACCUAGUAAGGAUGAGAUUAUUGGUCUUGCUUCUAUUGCCGUGCCUCCUACUGAUCCGUUAGAACAAUAUUUGCUAGACCAUGAAAACGAUAUGUUUAUGAACGAAAGAAGGGAAAUAGAUGAAGUGUUCCUUAAACAGGAACCUGUGCUGAAACAUAACCUUCCCGUUGAAAUUCUUGGGGAUCCUCCUCCACCCAAGGGUGAUCCCGUGUUUGAACUCAAACCAUUACCUGUUAAUCUUAUGUAUGCUUAUCUUGAUGAAAAGAAAACAUAUCCUGUUAUUAUUAGUGCUAACCUUUCAGAGCAAGAAGAAGAAAGAUUAUUGAAAACUCUGAAGAAGCACCGAGCAGCUAUUGGAUAUACUCUGGAUGAUCUUAAGGGCAUUAGUCCCACAUUAUUCCAACACAAAAUUACAAUGGAGAAAGAUGCCAAACCAGUUAGAGAUCCUCAACGAUGACUAAAUCCCAAGAUGAAGGAAGUGGUAAGAAAGGAGAUACUAAAGCUCCUUGAGGCAGGUAUAAUUUAUCCCGUUGCUGAUAGUGAAUGGGUAAGCCCUGUCCAUUGUGUUCCUAAAAAGGGAGGUAUUACCGUUGUUCCUAAUGAUAAAGAUGAAUUGACCCCGCAAAGAAUUAUUACAGGUUAUAGGAUGGUAAUUGAUUUCCAUAAGUUAAAUAAAGCUACUAAGAAAGAUCAUUGCCCUUUACCUUUCAUUGAUCAAAUGCUAGAAAGACUAUCCAAACACACACAUUUUUGCUCUCUAGAUGGUCAUUCUGGUUUCUCUCAAAUACCUAUGUCAGCGAAGGAUCAAUCUAAAACUACUUUUACUUGCCCUUUUGGUACUUUUGCUUAUAGACGUAUGCCUUUUGGUUUAUGUAAUGCACCUGCUACCUUUCAAAGAUGCAUGAUGGCUAUAUUCUCUGAUUUUUGUGAAAAGAUUUGUGAGGUAUUCAUGGAUGAUUUCUCCGUUUAUGGAUCCUCUUUUGAUGAUUGUUUGAGCAACCUUGAUCGAGUUUUGCAGAGAUACGAAGACACUAGUCUCGUCCUGAAUUGGGAAAAGUGUCACUUUAUGGUUAAUGAAGGCAUUGUCUUGGGGCAUAAGAUUUCCGAGAGAGGUAUUGAAGUUGACAAAGCCAAAGUUGAUUCUAUUGAAAAGAUGCCAUGUCCCAAGGACAUAAAAGGUAUAAGAAGUUUCCUUGGUCAUGCCGGUUUUUAUAGGAGGUUCAUUAAGGACUUUUCUAAAAUCUCUAGGCCUCUGACUAAUUUAUUGCAAAAAGAUAUUCCUUUUGUUUUUGAUGAUGAUUGUGUAGAAGCAUUUGAAAUACUUAAGAAAGCUUUGAUCACCACACCUAUUGUUCAGCUAGCUGAUUGGAAUUUACCUUUUGAAAUUAUGUGCGAUGCUAGUGAUUAUGCUAUAGGUGUUGUUCUAGGGCAAAGAGUCGAUAGGAAAUUGAAUGUUAUCCAGUAUGCUAGUAAGACUCUUGAUACCGCCCAGAGAAAUUAUGCUACUACUGAAAAAGAGUUCUCAGCAGUUGUGUUUGCAUGUGAUAAGUUUAGACCUUAUAUUGUUGAUUCCAAAGUUACUAUUCACACUGAUCAUGCUGCUAUUAAAGAUAUUAUGGAAAAGAAAGAUGCUAAGCCUAGGCUCAUUAGAUGGGUUCUCUUGCUCCAAGAAUUUGACUUGCAUAUUAUUGAUAGAAAGGGAGCUGAGAACCCCGUUGCUGACAACUUGUGUAGGCUAGAGAAUGUUCUUGAUGACCCACUGCCUAUUGAUGAUAGCUUUCCUGAUGAACAAUUAGCGGUCUUUAAUUCUUCUCGUACUGCUCCUUGGUAUGUUGAUUAUGCUAAUUAUAUUGUUGCUAAAUUUAUACCUCCUAGUUUCACAUACCAGCAAAAGAAAAAUUUCUUUUAUGAUUUAAGACAUUACUUCGGGAUGACCCACACCUUUAUAAAGAAGGAGUAGAUGGUGUUAUUAGACGUUGUGUGCCUGAGCAUGAACAGGCACAGAUCCUAUGCAAGUGUCACUCUGAAUCUUAUGGAGGACACCGCGCUGGAGAUAGAACUGCACACAAGGUACUACGAUCUGGUUUUUAUUGGCCUACUCUCUUCAAAGAUGCUCGUAAGUUUGUCUUAUCUUGUGAUGAAUGUCAAAGAAUAGGUAACAUUAGUAGACAUCAAGAAAUGUCUAUGAAUUAUUUUCUUGUUAUUGAACCGUUUGAUGUUUGGGGCUUUGAUUAUAUGGGACCUUUUCCUGGCUCUAAUGGUUAUACACAUAUUUUAGUUGCUGUUGAUUAUGUUACUAAGUGGGUAGAAGCUAUUCCAACUAGUAGUGCUGAUCAUAACACUUCUAUUAAAAUGCUUAAAGAAGUUAUUUUUCCGAGGUUUGGAGUCCCUGGAUAUCUUAUGACUGAUGGUGGUUCACAUUUUAUUCAGGGUGCUUUCUGUAAGAUGCUUGCUAAGUAUGAUGUUAAUCAUAGAAUCGCAUCUCCUUAUCAUCCGCAGUCUAGUGGCCAAGUAGAGUUGAGCAAUAGAGAGCUCAAAUUAAUUUUGCAAAAGACUGUGAAUAGAUCUAGAAAGAAUUGGUCCAAAAAACUUGAUGAUGCAUUAUGGGCCUAUAGAACUGCAUAUAAAAAUCCUAUGGGUAUGUCUCCUUAUAAGAUGGUUUAUGGAGAAGCUUGUCAUUUACCCCUUGAACUUGAACAUAAAGCAUAUUGGGCUAUCAAAGAGCUCAAUUAUGACUUCAAACUUGCCGGUGAGAAGAGGUUGUUUGACAUUAGCUCACUCGAUGAAUGGAGAACCCAAGCAUAUGAGAAUGCCAAGCUAUUCAAAGAAAAAGUCAAACGCUGGCAUGACAAAAGGAUACAAAAGCGUGAGUUUAACAUAGGAGAUUAUGUGUUAUUAUUCAACUCUCGUUUAAGACUUUUUGUAGGAAAACUUCUCUCUAAAAGGGAAGGUCCCUACGUUAUCGAGAAGGUCUAUUGUUCUGGUGCCAUAAAAAUCAACAACUUCGAAGGCACAAGUCCAAGGGUGGUAAACGGUCAAAGAAUUAAACAUUAUAUUUUAGUUAAUCCUAUCAAUGUUGAAACUAAUAUUGUUGAAACCGUAACCCCGGAGGAAUACAUAAGGGACACUUUCCAGAACGUUGCAGACUCCGAAAAGGAAUAGGUAUGUGGUACGGUAAGUAAACCGACUCCAAAACAACUCCAAUGGCAAUUUUUAUUAGUUUUGGAAUAUUUAAGAAUUUUAGGAAGAAAGAAGUAGUCCGAAAGGGACACGAGGCCCCCACGAGAGUGGAGGGCGCGCCCACCCUUACUGGGCGCGCCCCCCUGUCUCAUGGGCACCUUGUGUGCCUCCCAGACUCCAUUUUCUUGCACAUUACGUAUUUUGGUCGGUAAAAAUUCAUUAUAUAUACUCCUGAAGGUUCUGACCACUGUAUCAUGCAAAUAUCCUCUGUUUUUGUUUCGUGUUGUUCCUGCUGCAGAUUAGAGCAAGAUGUCUUCUCAAGAGUCCGUCGGGGAGAGUCGGGUGUCCCACCCAACACCAGGUCCAGGAGCAAAUAGCGAUGCCUAUCACUUUGGACCAUCAACGGAGGAUGAGAUGGAGGCUGAUUUGAAAAGGAUAGAUGUCAUGGAGGAAGAUCAAGAAGUUACCUCUCAUCUCCAAGCAGAAUGCAUGAUGGGGGAACUACCUAACUUGGCUAUUCCAACUUUCGGUCAUCCCUUCCAACUUUAGAUUCCUUUCUUAUGAAAAUAUGAAAAAGAGCUUUACUUGUUCUCCAGAAGCUAUGCAUCAUCCUUGGGUAAAGGGAGCUUUGGCCGUUACGGGCAAGCUUCAUAAAGAAAUGAUGGACCUCAAACAACAAGUCAAUAAGCUCAAGGAGGAGAACUUUAUCCUAAGGGGCAUCAUCGCCAAGAAUAUCAUAACGCCGACUGUGAAGAAGGAGACAUAAUUACAUGGGUAUGCGCACUCCCCUUGGCAACUGCUAAGCUUGGGGGAGGUGCCCCGGUAUCGUAUCACCAUCACACUCCUAUCUUUACCAUUUUAUUUAGUUCGAUCCUUUUAGUAGUAUCUUGAUCUAGUAGAUUGAAGUUUUUCUAUCAAGUAGUUUUGAGUUUUGCUUUGUGAUCUCUUUUUGUAAUCGAGUCCGUGAGCUAUCUAUAAUAAAGAUUAGUGUUGAGUCAAGGGCUUUGCUAUUGCUAUGAUCUUGAGAAAGUAGAAAGAAUAAAAGAGUUCAUAUUGAUCUUAUGGUUAGUGAUGACUUCACACAUAGAAAGUAUGAGGCAUAAAAGUUGUUGAGAGUUGACAAACGUAGUUUUGGUCAUCGUUGCAAUUAAUAGGAAAUGAUAAGGAAAGAGGGGUCCACAUACAAAUAUAUUAUCUUGGACACCUUUUAUGAUUGGGAGCACUCAUUAGGUAUGACAUGCUAAAAGAGUUGACGUUGGACAAGGAAGAAAACAUAAUGGUUUAUGUUUUCUCACAUCUCAGUUAAAGUAUAUUUUCAUUGACCUUCCAAACAUGUUGAGCUUGCCUUUCCCCUCAUGCUAGCCAAAUUCCUUGCACCAAGUAGAGAUACUACUUGUGCUUCCAAAUAUACCUAAACCCAGUUUUGCCAUGAGAGUCCACCGUACCUACCUAUGGAUUGAGUAAGAUCCUUCAAGUAAGUUGUCAUGUUGCAGACAAUAAAAAUUGCUAUCUAAAUAUGUAUGACUUAUUAGUGCGGAGAAAAUAAGCUUUGUACGAUCUUGUUGUGGAAGUAAUAAAAGCGACGGACUGCAUAAUAAAGGUCCACAUACAAGGGGCAAUAUAAAGUGACAUUCUUUUGCAUUAAGAUUUUGUGCAUCCAACCCUAAACAAUUGGAUGUAAGUUAGCAUGGGCUAUUAUUCUUGACAUCACCUAAAGGUGAAUACGUUGGGAGGCAACACAAUAAGCCCCUAUCUUUCUCAGUGUCCGGCUGAUACUGCAUAACCACAAGUAUUGCGUGAGUGUUAGCAAUUAUAGAAGACUACAAGAUAGUUGAGUAUGUGAACUUGCUGAAAAGCUCUAUAGUUGACUCUUUCUGAUGUUAUGAAAAUUGCAAUUGCUUCAGUGACUGAGAUUAUAGUUUGUUAGUUCUCAAUGAAGUUUUUGAACCAUACUUGACAUUGUGAAUUGAUCAUUACUUAAGCAUAAGAAACCGUAUGAUGAAAUCUAUUUAUGUUGUUGUUAUAAGAAUGAUCAUGAUGCCCUCAUGUCCGUAUUUUAUUUUUAUCAACACCUCUAUCUCUAAACAUGUGGACAUGUUUUUUGAUUUCGGCUUCCGCUUGAGGACAAGCGAGGUCUAAGCUUGGAGGAGUUGAUACGUCCAUUUUGCAUCAUGCUUUUAUAUCAAUAUUUAUUGCAUUAUGGGCUGUUAUUACACAUUAUAUCUCAAUACUUAUGGCUAUUCUCUCUUAUUUUACAAGGUUUACCAUGAAGAGGGGGAAUGUCGGCAGCUGGAAUUCUGGCUGGAAAAGGAGCAAACAUUGGAAACCUAUUUUGCACUGCUCCAAAAAUCCUGAAACUCCACGAAACCUAUUUUUGGAAUUAAUAAGAAUUAUUGAGCAGAAGAAAUACAUCAGGGGGCCCACACCCUGUCUAGGAGGGUGGGGGGCACGCCCCCUGUCUCCUGGGCCCCCUGGUGGCCCCCCGGUGUCCAUCUUCUACUAUAUGAGGGCUGUUACCCUGGAAAAAAAUCAUGGGCAAGCUUACGGGAUGAAACUCCGCCGCCACGAGGUGGAACCUUGGCGGAACCAAUCUAGGGCUCCGGCGAAACUGUUCUGCUGGGGACACUUCCCUCCAGGAGGGGGAAAUCAUCACCAACGUCACCACCAACGAUCCUCUCAUCGGGAGGGGGUCAAUCUCCAUCAACAUCUUCACCAGCACCAUCUCCUCUCCAAACCCUAGUUCAUCUCUUGUAUCCAAUCUUGUAUCAAAACCACAAAUUGGUACCUGUGGGUUGCUAGUAGUGUUGAUUACUCCUUUUAGUUGAUGCUAAUUGGUUUACUUGGUGGAAGAUCAUAUGUUCAGAUCCUUUAUGCAUAUCAUUACUCCUCUGAUUAUGAACAUGAAUAUGCUUUGUGAGUAGUUACGUUUGUUCCUGAGGACAUGGGUGAAGUCUUGCUAUUAGGACUCAUGUGAAUUUGGUAUUCGUUCGAUAUUUUGAUGAGAUGUAUGUUGUCUUUUCCUCUAGUGGUGUUAUGUGAAUGUCGACUACAUGACACUUCACCGUUAUUUGGGCCUAUAGGAAGGCAUUGGGAAGUAAUAAGUAGAUGAUGGGUUGCUAGAGUGACAUAAGCUUAAACCCUAGUUUAUGCGUUGCUUCGUUAGGGGCUGAUUGGGAUCCAUAUGUUUAAUGUUAUGGUUAUGUUUACCUUAAUACUUCUUUUGUAGUUGCAGACGCUUGCAAUAGGGGUUAAUCAUAAGUGGGAUGCUUGUACAAGUAAGGGCAGUACCCAAGCAUCGGUCCACCCACAUAUCAAAUUAUCAAAGUACCGAACGCGAAUCAUAUGAACGUGAUGAAAACUAGCUUGACGAUAAUUCCCAUGUGUCCUCGGGAGCUCCUUUCUCAUUAUAAGAAAUUGUCAAGGCUUAUCCUUUGCUACAUAAAGGAUUGGUCCACCUUGCUGCACUUUAUUUACUUUAUUUACUUGUUACCCGUUACUAUUUAUCUUAUCACAAAACUAUCUAUUACCUACAAUUUUAGUGCUUGCAGAGAAAACCUUACCGAAAACCGCUUAUCAUUUCCUUCUGCUCCUCGUUGGGUUCGACACUCUUACUUAUCGAAAGGACUACGAUAGAUCCCCUACACUUGUGGGUCAUCAGCGCUCCCAGGAUCGCCACGCCAAGACCGUGUCCCGCCUGCAGCAUUGGCGUAUGGACAUCAAGACCAGGCUCCACCUCCACGGCGGGCCCCCGAGACCACUGCUAGAUGCCGCGCAUUCACUUCGGAGUUGCGCAACAUCGUCUGGCCAGGGAAGUUCAAGCCCGAACCUGCCGCCACGCUAUGAUGGCACCCCCGACCCUGCUGAGUUCUUGCAGCUCUAGGAGUUGAGCAUUGAGGAGGCCAACAACGACGAGAAGGUUAUGGCGACCUGGUUCCCCAUGGCCCUCAAGGACGACGCUUGCUCGUGACUCCCGAACCUCCCCGCUGGACUGAUCUCCUCCAGGAGGAGAUGCGGGAGCGCUUCGUCGCCAACUUCCAGGGAACUAUGAUCGCACUUGAGCAUUGGGUGUAUCUAAUAUGCGAGCGUGUUUCAUGAAUGGAUCAAUGAUUGAGCAUAAUGGGCCAGGGAUAACUUGCCUUAGUAUUGAUAUUUUGAAAGACAUGGUUGCUUGUUGAUAUGCUUGAGUAUUGAAAUCUUCAUCUGAAAACUAGACUAUUGCUUUGAAUCAUAUAAAAGUCCAAAUGUCCAUGCUACAAAGAAAAGAAUAUGUGAUGAACAUGUUAUGUAGCAUUCCACAUAAAAAAAAUCUGUUUUUAUCAUUUACCUACUCGAGGAUGAGCAUGAAUUAAGCUUGGGGAUGCUGAUACGUCUCCAAGUAUCUAUAAUUUUUGAUUGUUCCAUAUUUUAUAUUAUCAUUCUUGGAUGUUUUACAAUCAUUCUAUAGCAACUUUAUAUCAUUUUUGGGAGUAACCUAUUGACAUAGUGCCCAGUGCCAAUUGCUAUUUUUGCUUAUUUUUUACUUUGCAGGAAAUCAAUACCAAACGGAGUCCAAACGCAGCUAAACUUUUUGGAGAAUUUUUAUGGACCAGAAGACACAAGAUGGGCCAAAGAAGUACAAGAGGGGUGCCCCAAGGGGGGCACAGCCCACCUGGGCGCGCCUGGGGGCCCAGGCGCGCCCUGGUGGGGUGUGCCCACCUUGGUGGCCACCCGCACCGCCUCAUUGCUUUAUAAAUAGCCCAAUAUUCCAUAAACCCUAGGGGAGACGACGAAAAUCAAUUCCAACCUCCGCAAGCUCUAGAACCACCAGAUCCAAUCUAGACACCUCCGCGGAGGGGUUCAUCAUCCUCAUUGGCGCCUCUCCGAUGAUGCGUGAGUAGUUCAUUGUGGACCUACGGGUCCGUAGUUAGUAGAUAGAUGGCUUCCUCUCUUUCUUUUGAUUCUCAAUACAAUGGUCUCUUGGAGAUCUAUUUGAUGCAACUCUUUUUGUGGUGUGUUUGUUGAGAUCCGAUGAACUCUGAGUUUAUGAUCAGAUCUAUUUUAUCCCUAAAAUUUAUUUGAGUUUUGAUCUCUUAUAUACAGGAUUACUUAUAGCCUCAUAUUUCUUCUUCCAAUCUUUUGUUUAGUUAGGCUUACUAGAUCAAUUUUCUUGCCAUGGGAAGAGGUGCUUUGUGAUGGGUUCGAUCUUACGGUGCUCUAUCCAAGUGACAGAAGGGGAAAUGACACAUAUGUAUCAUUGCUAUUAAGGAUAAUAAGAUGGGGUCUAUUCCUACAUGAAUAGAUCUUGUCUACAUCAUGUCAUUGUUCUUAUUGCAUUACUCUGUUUCUCCAUGAACUUAAUACACUAGAUGCAUGCUGGAUAGCGGUCGAUGUGUGGAGUAAUAGUAGUAUAUGCAGGCAGGAGUCGGUCUACUAAUCUUGGAUGUGAUGCCUAUAUAAUGAUCAUUGCCUGGAUAUCAUCAUGAUUAUUUGAAGUUCUAUCAAUUGCCCAACAGUAAUUCGUUUACCUACCAUAUGCUAUUUUUCUCAAGAGAAGCCACUAGUGAAAUCUACGGCCUCUGGGUCUCUUCUUUAUUAUAUUUGCCUUCAAGAGCUAUUUUUAUUUGCUUUUAUUUUCAGAUCUAUUAAUCCAAAAACACAAAAAUACCUUGCUGCAAUUUAUUUUUAUUUAUUUUAUCUCGCGUUCCCGCGAGAUCUAUUUAUCCAAUCUACUACAAUUUUACCUAUCUUUUUACCCGUGAGGGAUUAACAACCCCUAUCUUACGUGGGGUUGCAAGUAUUUGUUCUUUGUGUGCGGGAGCCGUUUACGUGGUGUUGCAUGGUUCUCCUACUAGUUCGAUAACCUUGGUCUCAUCACUGUGGGAAAUACCUACCGUAGUUGUGCUGCAUCAUCCCUUCCUCUUUGUGGAAAUACCUAUGUAGUUCAAGCCGCAUCACUAAUGAUAUGCAAAGCCACAAGCUUGGGGAUGCUAUGUUUGAUGGAGAUGAUAGUUUUAGUCCCCCAUGUUUUGAUGUGCAAAUUUGUUAUAAUGAUUGCAUGCAUCCUAUUUAUGAUGAGUAUAUUGAUGAAAGUGGGCUUAGAAGAGUGUCAACUCUAGGUAAUGAUCCCACUAUUUUGGAGGGUGUUGAAUCUUAUUGUUGUAAUGAUGAAAGUGGAUUUGGGGAGGUCAUGACUUUAUUUAGUGAUGAAUCCACGAGUCCUGGGCAAUCCAGUGAUAAAAUCCAUGCCAAGCUUCUCCCACUUCCAUUCGGGUAUCGGCAAUGGCUGUAGCAAUCCAGCUGGCUUCUGAUGCUCUACCUUAACUCUGUGACAUACAUCACAUACUGCUACAUACUCGGCAAUAUCCUUCUUCAUUCCUAUCCACCAGAAACUUUCCUUCAAAUCCAGAUACAUCUUUGUGACACCCGGAUAAUUAGGCUACAGUAAUUCCACUCUAAUGAUACCACAUCACCUCGGUUACUGUUGUUAAUCUCGCGAUGGUUCAAAAACGAUUCAAAUUCAAAUUUAAAAUCAAGUCAAAUAAUUGAAGUUUUCAAAAGUCAAAACUAAAAUGUUGUUAAUGUGACAAAUAAAUCAUGGAUAUUAUUGGUGGAGUAACAACAUCUUUAUAAAAUAAUUAAAUACCCUAAAGUGAUUAAAACAACAGCAAAACAAUUAGUUAUACUCCUAAUAUAUUUUACCAAAUACUAAACUAUUUUUAUUAUGAGGUAAAACUUCUUAGAAUAGUGGAUUAUUUUGAAACACUAUUUUUGGAGCUAUUGUCAUAAUUUACUAAACCAAAAAUAAAGUGUAACUAAAAUAAAACAAAAAAGAAGAAUAAUAAAAAAACAAAACAACAACAAAAGAAAAUAAAAGCCCCCCCCCUCGUUGGGCCUCGGCCCAGCUGGCCAUUGGGCUAGCCAGGACAGCCCAGCCGGCGCCCCACUCCCCUCCUCCAUAUCCCCACUUCAGGGAAACCCUAACCCGUAACCCCCCUCCCACUCGCCCCCACUACUCUUUCCUCCCCCAUCCCGAUUCUGGAUCGGGGCGCACCUCUACNNNNNNNNNNNNNNNNNNNNNNNNNNNNNNNNNNNNNNNNNNNNNNNNNNNNNNNNNNNNNNNNNNNNNNNNNNNNNNNNNNNNNNNNNNNNNNNNNNNNNNNNNNNNNNNNNNNNNNNNNNNNNNNNNNNNNNNNNNNNNNNNNNNNNNNNNNNNNNNNNNNNNNNNNNNNNNNNNNNNNNNNNNNNNNNNNNNNNNNNNNNNNNNNNNNNNNNNNNNNNNNNNNNNNNNNNNNNNNNNNNNNNNNNNNNNNNNNNNNNNNNNNNNNNNNNNNNNNNNNNNNNNNNNNNNNNNNNNNNNNNNNNNNNCGUCGCUCGUCGCUGUCACCCCGCGGCGCCGCUCGGACCCGCCCUUGUUGGACCGCCCUCCCCACCGAACCUCCUCGUCUCCUCCCCGAAUGGCUUCUCCGAUCCUCGCCGCCCGAAGCUCGACGCGCCUUCGCCUCGCCGUCCUCUCCGUCUUCGCUGUCGUCCCCACCUUCAUCCCCAAGCCCCACUGCCUUGUACCCUACAACUACCUCAUGAGGCCCUCCCUCCUUCUCCUCGGCCUUGCUCCCGCCGCACACCGGGCGCGCCCACGGCCAGGCACCCACGCCGCACGCGCCUGCGCCCGCGCACGUCGUCGCCCCGCAGCCAUGCUUGUCGUUGCUCCUGUGCGCCAUCAAGCACAUCGCCGCACCCGGCCGAGGCGGCUUCCGCCCUGCUCCAUCCGGCCGGACCCGCCGUCAUGCCUUGCUUGCCUCCCACCGCUGCUGGCGUCGGCGGCAGCCUCUGCCCGCAACCACACGUGUCGCUCCGUCCCUGGCCACCGGCCCUAUGCCGCUCCGCCACCGCCGCGCCCCGAUGCUCCUCCGUCGCCGCCGCUGGCGGUCACCUGCCAUGGGGCUGCCACCGGCUGUGGCCUCGCCCCCUUCUGGGCGGGUGCCCGAUCGGUCCGCCCUGCUUUGCGCCCAGUGCCCGCUAAGGCCUCUGGCCGAUGACACGUGGGGUCCACCCAAAAACGAAAAAUAAAUAAAUGAAAAGAUAUAAUAAUUAAAACAAUUAGUUAAUUAAUUAACCAAAUGAAUUAAUUAAUCUUGUUAAUUAAUCUGUUAACUACCUAAUUAGUCUAACUAAAACUGUUAGUUAACUAGGCAGUCAAUGACCCAAAUGACUGGUCAACUUGGUCCCCCUGGCCCACAUGUUAGCCCCUGUGUACACAUGGUAGGGUACAUUUAACUUUUUCUAUUUAAUUUAGAAUUAAUAAUAAUUUAAAAAAAUGAUUUAGGACUUUAAAAAUUAAUAUAAAAUAAUCUGUAACUCGGUUGGGAAAACUUUGUACAUGAAAGUUGUUCAGAACGACGAGACGAAUCCGAAUACGUAGCCCAUUCAUCAGCCACACGUCCCUAGCAUAGAGAACAUGCAAUAUUUCACCUUUGUUUCUUCUGUCUGAAAAUGCGAAACACCGGGGAUACUUUCCCGGAUGUUUUCCCCCUCCGCCGGUACCCCCUAUCCCUGCGUUAGAUCACCCCUGGCACCGCGUAUUGCCUUGUUAUAUUUUGUGAUGCUUUGUUUGCUCCAUAUUUACUGUUUCUUCCCCCCUCUUCUUCUCCGGUAGACCCCGAGACCGGCGUUGAUGCGAUUGAGUACGACUACCUCACCGACGACCCCUCCUGCUUGCCAAAGCAACCAGGCAAGCCCCCCCACCCUUGAUCACCAGAUAUCGCCUAUUCUACCCUCUACUGCUUGCAUUAGAGUAGUGUAGCAUGUUACUGUUUCGAUUAAUCCUAUUCUGUUGCAUAGCUUGUCAUUGUUGCUACAUUUGUUGAUACCUUACCUGCAAUCCUAAAUGCUUAGUAUAGGAUGCUAGUUUACCAUUAGUGGCCCUACAUUCUUGUUAGUCCGCCAUGCUAUACUAUCGGGCCAUGAUCACUCGGGAGGUGAUCACGGGUAUAUGCUAUAUAUACAUAUACUAUAGAGAUGGUGACUAAAGUCGGAUCAGCUUGUUGAGUACCCGCAGGUGAUUCCGAUGUGGGGGCUGGAAGGACAGGUGGCUCCAUCCCGGUAGAGGUGGGCCUGGGUUCCCGACGGCCCUCAACUGUUACUUUGUGGCGGAGCGACAGGGCAGGUUGAGACCACCUAGGAGAGAGGUGGGCCUGGCCCUGGUCGGCGUCCGUGGUUACUUCAAAAUAACACGCUUAACGAGAUCUUGGUAUUUGAUCUGAGUCUGGCCACUGGCCUAUACGCACUAACCAACUACGCGGGAAAGAUACGGGCACUCGACGUCGUGGUAUCAGCCGAAGCCUUCAUGACAUCAGCUACUGAGUAGCGCGCGCCGGAUUGGAACAUAAGCCUGCUCUUGUAUUAAGGGGGCUAGUUCUGCUUCCGGCCGCCCUCGCAACGUGCAGGUGUGCAAUGGGCGAUGGGCCCAGACCCCUGCGCCAUAGGAUUUAGACCGGCGUGCUGACCUCUCUGUUGUGCCUAGGUAGGGUUGCAAUGUGUUGAUCUUCCGAGGCCGGGCAUGACCCAGGAAAGUGUGUCCGGCCAAAUGGGAUCGAGCGUGUUGGGUUAUGUGGUGCACCCCAGCAGGGAAGUUUACCUAUUCGAAUAGCCGUGUCCCUCGGUAAAAGGACGACUCGGAGUUGUACCUUGACCUUAUGACAACUAGAACCGGAUACUUAACAAAACACACCCAGACAAGUUCCACAGACAACCCGGUGAUCGCUUUUCCACGGGGCGACGAGGGGAGGAUCGCCGGGUAGGAUUAUGCUAUGCGAUGCUACUUGGAGGACUUCAAUCUACUCUCUUCUACAUGCUGCAAGAUGGAGGCUGCCAGAAGCAUAGUCUUCGAUAGGACUAGCUAUCCCCCUCUUAUUCUGGCAUUCUGCAGUUCAGUCCACCGAUAUUGCCUCUUUACACAUAUACCCAUGCAUAUGUAGUGUAGAUCCUUGCUUGCGAGUACUUUGGAUGAGUACUCACGGUUGCUUUUCUUCCCCUUUCCCCCCCUUUCCCCCCCUUUCCUUUCUUCCUGGUUGUCGCAACCAGAUGCUGGAGCCCAGGAGCCAAACGCCACCGUCGACGACGACUCCUACUACACUGGAGGUGCCUAUUACUAUGUGCAGGCCACUGACGACGACUAGGAGUAGUUUAGGAGGAUCCCAGGCAGGAGGCCUGCGCCUCUUUUGAUCUGUAUCCUAGUUUGUGCUAGCCAUCUUAUGGAAACUUGUUUAACUUAUGUCUGUACUCAGAUAUUGUUGCUUCCACUGACUUGUUUAUGUCGAGCACUUGUAUUCGAGCCCUCGAGGCCCCUGGCUUGUAAUAUGAUGCUUAUAUGACUUGUUUUACUUUUAGAGUUGUGUUGUGAUAUCUUCCCAUGAGUCCCUGAUCUUGAUCAUACACGUUUGCGUGCAUGAUUAGUGUUCGAUUGGAUCGGGGGCGUCACAAGUUGGUAUUAGAGCCGACUGCCUGUAGGAAUCCCCCUACCAUACUCCUUGGCCGAAGUCGAGUCUAGACAUUGCAAAAGUUUUUACUAAUAUGGCUGUGUGUCUUACGGGCCCACGUCGCCAUUUGGGUGGUAUUAGGAUCUUUUACUCCUCGUCUAUACUCUGGGACUCUGAUCUCUCUUCUAUUUGGGUAAAAUGAUUUUACUAAAUCUAAUUCUAGGUUCUAGUAACUACUUCCUCCCGGAGAGCCAUUCGAUACAGGUGAUCACCUGAUGCAAUAGAAGAUUCCAAAGUUACUCUCCGAUGUUCGCUCGAUACUUUGUGCCAUCUCUUUCACAAUUCCAUUCCAUCGAUAAACCCCAAUGGAAGUAUACUUGCCAUUCAUUCAAUCAUUCCCCGUUGAUCUUGUUAUUACAAGAUACCCCGAAAUUCUCCCUAAUGUUCUGAGAAUACUUGGUGCCUACUGCCUUGCUGUUCUUUGCCACAUGAAUACCCCUACGGAUAAUUUCUCGCACUUACCGAGUAUCCACUCAUCCCCAGUUGAUUCAUGUAUGUCACCAAUCUUCGAAAUACCAUCCGAUCUUCCGAAAAUCCUUAGCAGCCUAUUGCUCUUGAAAUUCUUGCUUGCUUACAUUAUGGUUAAUCUCAUAAGUCUAGUAAUCUUAUUUGCAUCCUUUGUCACUAUCAUUUUGAGUCCGUUGAUUCAAUAUGCUGCGGAUGCUUACAAUCCUCAGGAUUUUAUCCUUCCGGCUCAGACAUCAUUUUAAACAUGAGCUGGAUCUUGACCAAUCAAAUUGCCAUCGAUUGUGCUCCUAAGCCUACUCAACUUAUCCAUCCUUAAUCAGAGUGUUUGCUCCUACUCUCUUCAUUUGGAAAUCAUAAUUCCUUUGCAAUUGAGCUUUGAAUUAGUUACUUGUUUCUAUAAUCCAAUGUCCAUGCAUUGUUUUCUUCCUCUGUUGUGUGCCGAUGCUCACAUUAGCUUUGUUAUGGAACAUCAGAUCCUUUGUUGAAUUAUCAUCUGACAGUGUCCUUCGUAUACAAAAACCUCGAGAAGUUCUUUCCCUAAUAUAUAAUGCCGUUGGUAAAUCCUAUUCUCUGAUUUGGCCAACCAUGCUCUACUUUUGAGCUGGUGUUAUUUGCUCCUAAAGUUUGUGGUAUAUGUUUCUAUGAUGCCUCGAUGGGUUGAACCUAUGCCUUCCUUAAUCUAUGUGAACCCGAAAGAUUUCACGGGUAAUACUUAUCUGGUAUUGCACCAGGUAAAACUUUCAACAACUAAUGUCAUUUUCGAAAAGCGAGAGGUGAAUGGAAGGUUAUACAUUGAAGAAGUGGGAGUCGACCUUGAACUUGUGUUCAUGCCCAUGGACCUGAUGUGGAACUUAUCAUGGAAGCUUCUUGCAAAAUAUUUAAUCAUUUGGGUAAUUGUUUCGGUGUCAUUAAAUUGGAUCCCCUGCAGCUAUGGUUCCGACCAUAUUAUUCUUCUUUGAUCCCAUUUCUCAGACAAGUUAAAUCGCUUGUCUUCUGCAGAUCAAUAUGCCUGCCCAACCUCGAUUCUGCUCUACCUUCGAGUAUUCCCCUAUGGUAUCUCAAGAAUAUCACGGAACUACAUAACUUCUUAUGAUUUCUUCCUCAACUAUUAUUUCUCACUGAUUCCAAUUUUCCACGGGUUCUGAGUUGUUAGACACUCAAGGACACUAAUAGCUGAAUCGAGUCCGUCAUGCGAUUCAACAACACUUAGUAAACUUCAUUGCUUACGAGUUUGUACUCGAUCAUGUCAUUCCCAGCCGAUUCACUACAUCAUCAUCAUCAUCAUCAUGCUAAACCUUGACUGUGUUACCUGGUCCUUAUUCUCGGAACACAACUUUCGACGAUUAGCUAAGCUUUCGCCAAUUUCCUUGUCUUAUCGUUUCACCUUGAACAAUAAACUUGACCCCGAGUUUGUGCCAUAUCUGUGGCUCCAAUAAUCUUUUGCUGCAUAAGUCCUUUUGCUUGAUGCAGUCGAUGUUCAAUUGCUUCUUUGUGGAGCCUCUCGACAAAAUGUGUCAUGAUCAUCAUCAACAUUUUGACUCCUUUUAGAAUAUCAAUCGAAUUCAUGAUGAAAAAUACCAUCCUUGCCCUCGAUGAUUUGUGUUAUCAUCAGCCACUUUAUUGCCUUCCCUCCAACACAAACUUGUUCGUGUUUUGUGUUAUACCUUGAGUUCCUUGCUAUCCAACAUUUGUUCUUUACCUUGGAAUGUUACCACCUUUCAUGUCAAGAAUGUCAUGGGAAUUUUACCACCUCUUGAGAAUUCUUGAUACAAGUAAGACUUCUCACCAUCACCAUUCCUUCUUGGUCCCCGUGUUGUUUCCAACCAAAAAACCGUCAAUUGAACUUGGAUGUGCAAAUUCAAAACUUCUAGUGAUCCUAUUGUUUUGAAGUUAAUGGUCGAUAUUUCAUUCUUAGACCAUUGGUUAUCGAAUCACCAUUCUAACACUGAUCAUGCUACCUAAGCCCAUAUUUUGGUGCACCUUUCAACCAAUGUUUAACUGUGUAUGCAUUCCUCGAGCAUACACCAUUAUAUCAUUUGAUCUGACAAAUGUUAUCUCCUUGUUCACAUAAUUGUGGAAAUCCAUCCUUUGGAACUCUCGAUGAAUUGUUGUUGAGUUCAUCAGCCACCUCCUCAUCCUCUCCUUGGUUUACUGGUGAACUCUUGUUUUGGAACUCGCUUCCAAAGUUCAUUUCCCGAAAAUCUUGCAACUCCAUCUCAUCAAAUUGUGUUGCACCCCUUCCUUCUCACGCAUCAUGAGUCUGAGGUAUCCUGACACCAAUCAGAACUGAAUCUCGGUCAGAUAUGAUGGUUGGGACAUUUUCCAAAAGCCGUAACAUUGGACUUUGUACAAACCAGUAAGGUGAUGUCAUGCCUAGCCCACCGGGCUGGAGGACCCAUUGAUAUAGUUUCCUUUUUAACAAGGUUAACCAUUUUUCCAUGAGGAAAUUGAAUGCCUUGUUUAAUAAGUUUAUCCUGCUGGAUCCUUUGUGCAUCCGAAGUCCGACCUUUGCUUGAAGACCAUGUCAAUGCUAUCUCGAAGCAUGUAUGUGGUACUCCUAUCAUCAAUAAGAACACUUGAAGCAUAAUGCUAAAUUUUCUUAAUCAAAUUAUCCAAACAUCAUUGUAUGGGUAACAUCUUGAUUAAUCCUUGCCUCUUAUCUGAAUGGUUGGGUACUUGCUAUCCUACCCUGUAUGCCAUGUUCUGCUUGUACAUGGGAAGGAUAUACUCCUAAUAAUUGUGUGUAAUCACAAGUUUUCUUUCCGUUGUUCUGUUUAAUCUGAAAAUCACGUUUUCCUUUCCAUUCUUUUGUUUAACCUUUCCUGAAUCUGACUUAACUGAGCAGAGAUAAUUCCCUGCUUAGGUAGGCACCUUGUUGUACCACUCUGUUUGUAAGAUCCUGUUACUAUUAUUGAUGACAUUCCGGUAACCACCUAUGGGUGAUAACUUUGCCAAUUGGUUCGGCUCGUUCAACAAGCAGGAAAAUUGUUGUCUUUGUUCCCCGUCCUUGGUACCGACAUUGUUGCCGGCAUAGCUGACAAUCUAUUCAUUGACAUGCCUCCCUGUCGCGUGUGUGCAAGAUGUCACCACCCUUCCUACUUUCAACCCACAUGGUGGGCCCAUAACCCACAAGUCCACUGGAUCGAAACCUGACUCUUCUUUAUAACCCGGAUUCUAAGGUAGCCUUUGCACCUGGCUUCGUAUGUGAUUCGAGAGCUGAAUGCUAUACCAUUAUUCAUCCUGGAAUCAAAACCCCAUGUUAUUCUCGUUGUUCAACCCCCCAUUCCAACUUCUGUCUAGUCAUCGAAUGACUGCCUACCCAUUUGAAACUUUGGUACCAUCGUAUGUUGCACUCAACGAAUUCACUGAAAUACAACUCAUGGGGUACCUUGCGUAUUUCCCAUUGAGUUCACCAUCAGAUGCCCAGCUUUGUGGAGAUGCAUUCUUCCGGAGUUUUUCCCCUUGGUCGCGUUCGUAGGACAAUGGAGAUCCCGAGGAAAGGAUGACGACUUGAUCAUGGUGACUUGAAGCAGAGAAAUAAAGACAUCAAUGUAUUGGAUCGGCCUCUUCGAGAAGAGCAAGCCAGAAUGAGAAGACCCACUAGAUUCGUUACCAAACCUUCCCCCCUUUCGCUACCUCUUAAAUCUCGGGACGAGAUUUCUUGUAGUGGAGGAGAAUUGUGACGCCCGGAUAAUUAGGCUAUAGUAAUUCCAUGCUAAUGAUACCACAUCACCUCGGUUACUGUUGUUAAUCUCGUGAUGGUUCAAAAAUGAUUCAAAUUCAAAUUUAAAAUCAAGUCAAACAAUUAAAGUUUUCAAAAGUCAAAACUAAAAUGUUCUUAAUGUGACAAAUAAAUCAUGGAUAUUAUUGGUGGAGUAACAACAUCUUUAUAAAAUAAUUAAAUACCCUAAAGUGAUUAAAACAACAGCAAAACAAUUAUUUAUACUCCUAAUAUAUUUUACCAAAUACUAAACUAUUUUUAUUUUGAGGUAAUACUUCUUAGAAUAGUGGAUUAUUUUGAAACACUAUUUUUGGAGCUAUUGUCAUAAUUUACUAAACCAAAAAUAAAGUGUAACUAAAAUAAAAUAGAAAAGAAUAAUAAUAAAAAAACAACAACAACAAAAGAAAAUAAAAGCCCCCCCCUCGCUGGGCCUCGGCCCAGCUGGCUAUUGGGCUAGCCAGGCCGGCCCUGCCGGCGCCCCACUCCCCUCCUCCAUAUCCCCACUUCAGGGAAACCCUAACCCGGACCCCCCCCCACUCGCCCCCACUACUCUCUCCUGCCCCAUCCCGAUUNNNNNNNNNNNNNNNNNNNNNNNNNNNNNNNNNNNNNNNNNNNNNNNNNNNNNNNNNNNNNNNNNNNNNNNNNNNNNNNNNNNNNNNNNNNNNNNNNNNNNNNNNNNNNNNNNNNNNNNNNNNNNNNNNNNNNNNNNNNNNNNNNNNNNNNNNNNNNNNNNNNNNNNNNNNNNNNNNNNNNNNNNNNNNNNNNNNNNNNNNNNNNNNNNNNNNNNNNNNNGAACGGCUUCUCCGAUCCUCGCCGCCCGAAGCUCGACGCGUCUUCGCCUCGCCGUCCUCUCCAUCGUCGCCGUCGUCCCCAUCUUCCUCCUCGAGCCCCACUGCCCCGUACCCUACAGCUACCUCAUGAGGCCCCCCCUCCUUCUCCUCGGCCUUGCUCCCCCCGCACACCGGGCGCGCCCACGGCCAGGCACCCACGCCGCACGCGCCUGCGCCCGCGCAUGUCGUCGCCCCGCAGCAAUGCUCGUCGUUGCUCCUGUGCGCCAUCAAGCGCAUCGCUGCACCCGGCCGAGGCGGCUUCCGCCCUGCUCCAUCCGGCCGGACCCGCCAUCGUGCCUUGCUUGCCUCCCGCCGCUGCUGGCGUCGGCGGCAGCCUCUACCCAUGACCGCACGUGUCGCUCCGUCCAUGGCCACCGGCCCUAUGCCGCUCCGCCACCGCCGCGCCUCGAUGCUCCUCCGUCGCCGCCGCUGGCGGUCACCUGCCAUGGGGCCGCUGUCGGUGUCAAAACCGGCGGAUCUCGGUUAGGGGGUCCCGAACUGUGCGUCUAGGCGGAUGGUAACAGGAGACAAGGGACACGAUGUUUUUAUCCAGGUUCGGGCCCUCUCGGUGGAGGUAAAACCCUACUCCUACUUGAUUAACAUUGAUGAUAUGGGUAGUACAAGAGUAGAUCUACCACGAGAUCAAGGAGGCUAAACCCUAGAAGCUAGUCUAUGGUAUGAUUGUUGUUCGUCCUACGGACUAAAACCCUCCAGUUUAUAUAGACACCGGAGAGGGCUAGGGUUACACAGAGUCGGUUAUAAUGGUAGGAGAUCUACAUAUCCGUAUCGCCAAGCUUGCCUUCCACGCCAAGGAAAGUCCCAUCCGGACACGGGACGAAGUCUUCAAUCUUGUCUCUUCAUAGUCAUGGAGUUCGGCCAAAGAUGAUAGUUCGGCUAUCCGGACACCCCCUAGUCGAGGACUCCCUCAGUAUCCCCUGAACCAAGCUUCAAUGACGACGAGUCCGGCGCGCAUGUUGUCUUCGGCAUUGCAAGCCGGGUUCCUCCUCCGAAUAAUUCAUAGAAGAUUUCGAACACUAGGAUAGUGUCCGGCUCUGCAAAAUAAAUUCCACAUACCACCGUAGAGAGAAUAAUAUUUACACAAGUUCAAUCUGCUAACGUAUUUUGUGGUAUGACGUCACACCAUGGCCAAGCCUUUAUUCGAAUUGUUUUUAUUGUUCCACCUCAGUGCAUUUAGAGAAGCGGUUUCCUUGGCACGUCUUGUCAAAGCAGAGAUCGUGUCCCCUUAUUCCGGGAUUCUCAUUAAUACGGGCGUGGGUAACCCAACCGCGCCUAUUGGCACGCCCCCUCUAUCAAAGGCGAGUCCCAAACGGUCACGAGGAGGGCUCUUGGUAUUCAACCUUUUUAUAACGAGACCAAGGCCAGAUCCUUUCUUUCAAUCUCAAUCGAAUCCACCCCUCGCCUCGAGUUCCAACACCCAAGGCUCCAGAUUUAGGCGCUUCGGACUUCCAACAAUGUCCGGCUCUGACCUGCAAGGCCGGUGGAUGCCUUCUUCUGUCACGGAGGAAGACGUGCUAAAGCUGAGAGACGCCAGGUAUCUAACCGGCAAAAUUUCGCAUAGGCUGCCUACCCAAGGGCAAGUUAUUCCUACUCCCGAGCCUGGUGAGAGCGUGGUGUUCGUGUCUCACUUCCGUCGGGGUUUAGGCUUCCCGACGGACCCCUUCGUGAGGGGGCUCAUGUUUUAUUAUGGGCUGGAAUUCCACGACUUGAUCCGGAGUCCAUCCUCCACAUCUCAUCGUUCAUUGUUGUAUGCGAAGCCUUCCUCCGCACUACCCCUCACUUUGGAUUGUGGCUCAAGACCUUCAAUGUGGAGCCGAAGAUGAUCGAGGGGCAGCAUGCAGAGUGCGGAGGGGCUGUUAUAAGCAAGAGUGCUAACGCUCCCUGGCCCGAGGGCUCUUUCCAAGAGGAUCUUAGUUUGUGGCAACAGGAGUGGUUCUAUAUCACCGCUCCCAGGGGCAGCAGAUGGGUGGCGCCGCCUGCCUUUCGCUCGGCCCUCCACAACGGCUGGCAUCAUGGGUUAACAAAGGGCUUGACUGGGGACCGUCCAAGGACGUACCACUGUUGGAGGGCCGUAUUCGAGACCUCCAAGAGAGGAAGAUCAAUCUGGUUGUAGUGGCGCAGGUCAUGCUGAUUCGGUGCCUUCUGCCCUGCAAACAUCGCCCCCUUUGCCUGUGGGAAUUCAAUCCGGAGGGACCGCGAGCUCUCCAACACUUCAUGGGUGCGACGCCCGUGGAGAUGUAUAAAUUGUUCUUCGAAUCACAAGAGAUGUGUCCGGACUUGAUCGAGGACGCAGCUCUGAGCUGCAAUCGCCCGAAUACUCAAGUAAGUAGUCCUAUGCCCGGACAUGCUAUCCGUACAUUUAUCAUAAACUUGCCCUUUAAAGAGUUGUCCCUUGAACAGGAAUGGAUAGCAAAAGGAAAACUAAUAAGGUGUCCGGCCCCCCUCCCUGAGACCACGCCGGAUCCUGUGUUAACCAAGAUGCUGGAGGCUGCGCCUUCGGAAGAGGGCGAAGGGGGGAACAGGAAAGCUACCGCCUCUGCUAAGGAGGCUCUCAAGAAAGGGGGUAUCGAGAAUCCCUCCCUCCAGGGGGGAGAAGAGGACCGCUUCUGUAGAUCCGUAGGCCAAGGCCUCAAAGCGGGGGAAGAAAUCUUCACCAAAGGGUCCUGCGCCGGGAGGAGCCCCGACCGCACUAUUUCCCCAAGGAAAUCAGCCCUCUAGCGAGCCGUAAGUAGAAAGGGGAGUUUUGUAAUAAGGGACAUCCCUGUUUUUAUUUCUGAAGAUAAACGAAGUUAUUACCUUGUAGUUCGGAUCUCAGCCCUUCUCAGCAGAGCUCAUCUUCGGGGGAUCUACGUCCGGAGAUGAUGGAGAGUGAAACGCCUCCAUCUUCCGCACUAUCAGGCGGGGCGGACGACCCUGAGGUGUCGUCGUGGAGGGUUUCCCCGAGUCCAGCGGGGCCGGAAGGUUCAGCACCAACUGGUGUACGGUCGGAGGAGCUGGAGGAUCUGCUCGGGCGAGCGUCUAUCUCAGAAGAUCACCGUACGUUAAUGGGUACGGUGAUUGAAAGGAUUUCAUCCGCUGAGAGCGGAUUGCAUGAAGCCGUCAGAAGUUUACUGACGGGGUUUGAGGUACGCAAAAAUGAUAUACCUUCUGACAGUUUUGCAUAUAGAAUGUGCCAUGUAUAGAUAGUAGCCCCUGAGACUCGGUACGUUGUCAAGAGCGACAGCGUGCCGAGGAUCAUAAUCUCAGUUGUAAGAUGUCGCCCUUCCUAUAUAGGUGGUGGAGCGUUCGGUGGCCAGCCGGACUGAUAGAUUUGCCGAACUGAAGUGGCAACUUGACAUUGCAGAUGCGGACAUCACGCUGGUCAAUAAGCGACUUGACGAGUCACAAGGUAUGUGGCUUCUCCGCGGACACCUGGUAAGGGAGCUUGAUGCCCGUGCCUUACAACAUGUAUGCUUAAUGCAGAUGGUGCCGCUGCUAUGGAGGACCUUCGGGCGGAGCUCGCCCGACCCAAGGAGCAAGCCAGAAAAAGUAAUGUGGUUGCCUUGAAGGCGGCCGAAGAGCUAAAAGCCGAACAGGCUGCUCACUGCCGAAGCAGGGAGGAAAUGGCCGAAAUGGUCGUGAAGCUGAAGGAUGCUACCGACCGCUGCGAGUUUCUUGAAAGAGAACGCCGAGCAGAGCAAGAGGACCUGAAGAAGGCCACCGCCGAAGCCAAGGAUGCCCGCUCUGCGAUGAGAGCUAUAAAGGAGGAGCUACAUCAAGCCGGGGAUAUUGCGGCUGGAAAGCCCUUUCUGCUGCGGAAGAAGUUCACGGAUCCGAAGUAUGCUUAGUUGGGCCAGCUGUGGGGUGCAGAUGAUGCUUAUCUGAAUUUGGCGGCGAGUGCCGCAGACGCGGUCGCACACUUCCGAGGCCAAAAGGAUCACGGAAUGGAAGAGCUUUUUUGGUCGCAGUUCCAUAGUCCAGAGCAUCCACUUCCAUUAACCGAUCGGUUAGCCGAAUGGGCUGAGCUAAAUAGGUUGUCCAUACUUGCCAUGAAGGAUGUCGUGAUUCAUUUGUGGCCAAAAAGGCCCAAGCCGAAGAGUUAUUUUGGCUUGGUGCAGCAGUUCCUUGAUGCGGUGCCGCAUAUCGAUGCAAUGAAACGGUCGGCAUGCAUAGAGGGUGCACGGAUGGCUCUCGCCCGUGUCAAAGCAUAUUGGGCAGAGAUGAAGGCCACCGAUGUUGCAUCCCAGGAUUCGGACAGAAGCCGAUUACCUGCCGAGCACUAUUUUGAGGAAGUCCUGCAGGGCGCUCGUUUAAUAGAGACACAGUGCUCGAAAAAUGUUAUGUUCAAAUGACAUGUAUGAUUUGUGAAACCAUGUUUUAAAUAUAAUAUAAGGGCUUUUUAUACUUGUGCGUUCAAGUAUUGAAAUAUCUCCUGUGCGGCCGUUAAUGUAUAUGUGUAUAUAACCUGAAAGAUGGCAGUCUUCGGCUUCAGCCCCCACGCACAUAGUGCGGGGGUGUUUGCAAAAAAAGCGCAUUUUCACACUUAAUCCAAUGUCUUGGUCCUGUGAAGGAGUUGAUAGCGUAGCAAACUAGGCAACCGGACUAUAAUGCUUUAUCACUUUCACUUAGCCACAGGAGUUCGAUGGUGGGGCUACUAUAUAGCCCCUAGGGGCACCGCGAUCUCCGAAUUUCGGGGCGCGUAUGUGCCUAACCGAGAAACGGUCCUUCGUUAAAGAGGAGGAAUUCUAAACAUUCCGGUGGUCGAUCGAGUGGUUGACCAGUCUCUCGCUAUAUCAUGACAGUCAGUUUUCGGCUUUCUCUACUGAGGUGCUCACCUGGACGAACCGGGGCACAAUCGCAGUAGUUCUCCUAGUGUCGCGUUAGCCGAUAGAGCAGAACGUAAGGCAGCAAAACACAGGAGCCGGGCAAACCCAACAUUUGACCAAAGACAUGAUUCGGAGCUGAUGCAUAUAAGGCCUAACUCGAGACGCCGAACACUCCCUAAGGUAUUCGGUCUUUAUGAAAACGGGCAGAACAAUGCCCUAAGCCCCUAAUGUCCAGGUACGCGCAAAAAUUUCUGAUGCGGCCGAUGCCAAAACGCCAGCCUCCUCCUCGGUUAUAGUGAGAAACCGGGGGAUGUGUAUCAACAAGAGACAAUAAGAAAGGUUUACGCAGGGUCUUAAUCUGAAAAGAAUCCUUGCAACGGGUCCCUACUGCACGUCUGCGCCUGUGUCUCCGUUGUGCCGUAUCCUGGACGGGUGUAGCACGGUGUUCAUCUGUAAAAGAGAAUAACUUAGUUGGAAAAAAGGAUCGUGCGAAAAGUGUAUAAACAGAGUAUAAUUCAAAAAAUGAAUAAAAUUGAGCUUUAUUGUCUCUUAUUGUACAUGCGUGCAACCCCUUGUAAGGGGGUACGCGGCUAGUAAGCCCCUUGUUUAUUUAUGCCGGACUCGCCUAACCGUGUCCGGGAUCUGAAUGACCUGUUUAGGUGCUUUGAUCAGCAAAGUCGGAUUAGUAUGUGGUUGUCAAGGCAGUCUCACUUUCUUCCGUAUUCAAGGAACACUCGAGGUUUCCCUUUAAUGAGAUGAUGCCGCGUGGACCGGGCAUUUUAAGUGUAAGGGAUGCAUAAUGCGGUAUUGCAUUAAAGCGGGCGAAAGCUUCGCGUCCCAAUAGUGCUUGAUAGCUACUUUUAAAUGGGGCGAUGUGGAAGACUAACUUUUCAUGAUGGAAGUUGUCGGAUGAACCGAACACAACUUCUAGUGGUAGAGAGCCCGUACAAUGGGCAUAUGGGCCUGGCAUCACUCCUUUAAAGGAAGCGUUGCUAUGGCGUAUUUUGGUUGGGUCUAUCCCCAUUCUGCGGAUUGUAUCCUGAUAUAGCAGGUUUAGAUCACUGCCGCCGUCCAUUAGGACUUGUGUAAAUUGUAGUCCGUCGAUUAUAGGAUCUAAUAUCAGAGCGGUCCAUCGUGCGUUCCGGAUACUUCCGGAGUAAUCCUGAUGGUCGAAAGUGAUUUGUUUUGACAUCCAGUGUCGGGACUCCGCUGGGGUGGACCGUGCGGUGCGUACUUUAAUGGGCGCCGCUCUGUUUUUGCCUGUUGUCACUUGAAGUGAGUUUACUGUUUUGACCUCUUGUGGGAAAUUCCUUUGUUUUCCGGUGCUUUGCUUGUGGGGUUCGUCAUCGUCCUCACUUGAUGUGUCGAGCCCCUUGUGUUCGGCAUUAAGUCGGCCGGACUGUUUGAAGACCCAACAAUCUCUGUGGGUGUGGUUUGCAGGCUUCCCGGAGGUACUGUGGAUUUGGCAUAUCUUGUCCAAGAUUUUGUUUAGGUUGGAUAGCUCGUCGAUGUUGUCCUUGAGAGGCAGUGUUUUGUUGUUCUGCCAAGAGCUUUUGAAUCCGGCGUUGACUGUCGUGCUCUUUGGGCCAUUUCUCUUAGUCCGGCGCUGGUCCUUGCUGCGUCGUGGUUUCCCAUUUCCAUCCCUAACCUCGGAUGUACUUGGGUCGCUGGUGCUGCAUCUUGCCAACCAGCUAUCCUCUCCUGCGCAAAAGCGGGUCAUGAGGCUUGUUAGUGCGGCCAUUGUUCUUGGCUUUUCCUGGCCAAGGUGUUUGGCGAGCCAUUUGUCUCGGACGUUAUGUUUGAAGGCUGCUAAGGCUUCGGCGUCCGGACAGUCGACUAUUUGGUUCUUUUUGGUGAGGAACCUAUUCCAGAAUUUGCGGGCUGACUCUCCGGGCUGUUGAGUUAUGUGACUUAAAUCGUCUGCAUCUGGAGGGCGGACAUAAGUCCCCUGAAAAUUUGCCCGAAACGCAUCCUCGAGCUCUUCCCAACUUCCAAUGGUAUUUUUUGGGAGGCUUUUAAGCCAAUGCCGGGUUGGCCCUUUGAGCUUGAGGGGUAAGUAUUUUAUGGCGUGGAGGUCGUCUCCUCUAGCCAUAUGUAUGUGCAGGAUGUAAUCCUCAAUCCAGACUCUAGGGUCUGUUGUUCCGUCGUAUGCCUCUAUGUUUACGGGCUUGAAUCCCACUGGAAAUUCAUGAUCCAGCACCUCAGCGGUGAAACAUAGGGGGUGUGCGGCGCCCCUGUAUUGGGGUGUGCCAUGAUGUUCAAGUACUCGACGUGUUGUAUUGCUUUCUAGAGCUUGCUUUCUUGGCCCAUAGAUGGACCUGACCGGGCCAUCCUUUUUGUGAGGAUCCUUAUGUGGAUCGCGUGCCGGCUUAUGUGCGGCGCCGCUUGCCGCUCUUUGUUUGUCAUGUGGUCGUCUAUCCGACCGGGCGGCCUCUUUGUUCUUUGAUUGUGGGGGCUCUAUGGCCUCCUCGUCAAAUUCGGGCAGUAGUUUGUGCCUCGGGUAGCUCUUUGCUUGGCGACUAUCGCCGUAUUUGUCUGCGGUCUUGAGUACUUUGCUCCAUCUCAUUCUGAGUACGUCUUCCGCUGUUUUGAGCUUCCGCUUCUGCUUCUUCAGACUUCAUGCAGUCGCAACGAGCCUUUUGUGGAGGUUCUUCUGCUCCAACGGUGUGUCCGGCGUGAGAUCGUCCGGACUGUUGUUUUCGCCGAGGACGGAUUGCUUAUCCAAUUUAUCCUGUUCGGAUGGUUGCUCGGGGGCAUGUUCGUCGUCCACCGGUUCGCCCUGCUCUAUGGCUGGGUCUGUAUGGGUGCUGUCGUUGUCGAGGCGGGACUUUGAGCGGUGCUUACGUUGCCGUUUUGACUGUUUUUCGAGGGAAUUAUCCUUCGCAGUGUCCCGUUGUUCCUCGUUAUCGCUUCCUUUAGGUGUAUCCACCAUAUAUACAUCAUGAGUUGAGGUGGCCUUCCAGUGCCCUGUAGGCGCUGGUUCUUGGUUGUCUCCGGCAUCAUCGUCCAUACCGUCGAUGUCUUCGGAGUCGAAGUCUAGGAUAUCGGUUAAGUCAUCGACAGUGGCUACAAAGUGGGUGGUGGGUGGGCGCUGAAUUUCUUCGUCGUCCGCAUCCCAACCUACGUGACCAUAGUUUGGCCAGGGCUCUCCUGAUAAAGAGAGACACUUUAGCGAAUUCAGGAUGUCGCCAAAAGGCGAGUGCUGAAAGAUGUCCGCAGCGGUGAACUCCGUGAUCGGCGCCCAAUCGGGUUCGAUUGGCAGGGGCGCGGAAGGUUCGGGGUUCGAAGAGGAGUCCGGCACCUUGGAGUCACGAGCUUCACAACGGACAGGGUUGGUAUUCGGCUCUAUCGCCGUAGAGGUAGCAGCCCCCGAGGCAGUGUCUAGCCACCCAUCCUCGAUCCGCGCAGUUGGCUCCGAGCUAAGGGUCGGAGCGGACUCUUGUGCAGCCUCCAGGGCACUAUCCGGCAGCAGAGCUAAAUCAUGCCCAACGUGACAGUGUGGCGCGCUCGGCUGUGGCUUGAAUCCGUCGAAGAUCAAGUCUCCGCGGAUAUCAGCCGUAUAGUUCAAACUUCCAAAUCUGACCUGAUGGCCAGGGGCAUAGCUUUCGAUCUGCCCCAGAUGGCCAAGUGAAUUGGCCCGCAGUGCAAAGCCGCCGAAUACGAAGAUCUGUCCGGGGAGAAAAGUCUCACCCUGGACCGCGUUGUUGUUGAUGAUCGAAGGAGCCAUCGGGCCUACAGGUGACGACACAGAGGAACUCUCAAUGAAAGCACCAAUGUCGGUGUCAAAACCGGCGGAUCUCGGGUAGGGGGUCCCGAACUGUGCAUCUAGGCGGAUGGUAACAGGAGACAAGGGACACGAUGUUUUUACCCAGGUUCGGGCCCUCUCGGUGGAGGUAAAACCCUACUCCUACUUGAAUAUUGAUGAUAUGGGUAGUACAAGAGUAGAUCUACCACGAGAUCAAGGAGGCUAAACCCUAGAAGCUAGCCUAUGGUAUGAUUGUUGUUCGUCCUACGGACUAAAACCCUCCGGUUUAUAUAGACACCGGAGAGGGCUAGGGUUACACAGAGUCGGUUACAAUUGUAGGAGAACUACAUAUCCGUAUCGCCAAGCUUGCCUUCCACGCCAAGGAAAGUCCCAUCCGGACACGGGACGAAGUCUUCAAUCUUGUCUCUUCAUAGUCUUGGAGUCCAGCCAAAGAUGAUAGUUCGGCUAUCCGGACACCCCCUAGUCCAGGACUCCCUCAGCCGCCACCGGCCGUGGCCUCGCCCCCUUUUGGGCGGGUGCCCGAUCGGUCCACCCCGCUUUGCGCCCUGCACCCGCUAAGGCCUCUGGCCAAUGACACGCGGGGUCCACCCGAAAAUGAAAAAUAAAUAAAUGAAAAGAUAUAAUAAUUAAAACAAUUAGUUAAUUAAUUAACCAAAUGAAUUAAUUAAUCUAAUAAAUUUUGUUAAUUAACCUGUUAACUACCUAAUUAGUCUAACUAAAACUGUUAGUUAACUAGGCAGUCAAUGACAGGAGGGCCCCCAACUUCUGUUGACCAGUCAAACUUUGACUGGUCAACUGGGUCCCCCCUGGCCCACAUGUCAGCCCCUAUGUACACUGCUGUGUACACAUGGCUGGGUACAUUUAGCAUUUUCUAUUUAAUUUCGAAUUAAUAAUAAUUUAAACAAAUGAUUUAGAACUUUAAAAAUUAAUAUAAAAUAAUCUAUUACUCGGUUGGAAAAACUUUGUACAUGAAAGUUGCUCAGAACGAUGAGACGAAUCCGAAUACGCAGCCCAUUCGUCAGCCAUACGUCCCUAGCAUAGAGAACAUGCAAUAUUUCACCUUCGUUUCUUCUGUCUGAUGCUUUGUUUGCUCCAUAUUUAUUGUUUCUUCCCGGAUGUUUUCCCCCUUCGCCGGUACCCCCUAUCCCUGCGUUAGAUCACCCCUGGCACCGCGUAUUGCCUUGUUAUAUUUUGUGAUGCUUUGUUUGCUCCAUAUUUAUUGUUUCUUCCCCCCUCUUCUUCUCUAGUAGACCCCGAGACCGGCGUUGAUGCGAUUGAGUACGACUACGUCACCGACGACCCCUCCUUCUUGCCAAAGCAACCAGGCAAGCCCCCCCUUUGAUCACUAGAUAUCGCCUAUUCUACCCUCUAUUGCUUGCAUUAGAGUAGUGUAGCAUGUUACUGUUUUGAUUAAUCCUGUUCUGCUGCAUAGCCUGUCAUUGUUGCCACAUCUGUUGAUACCUUGCCUGCAAUCCUAAAUGCUUAGUAUAGGAUGCUAGUUUACCAUUAGUGGCCCUACAUUCUUGUCAGUCUGCCAUGCUAUACUAUCGGGCCGUGAUCACUCGGGAGGUGAUCACGGGUAUAUGCUAUAUAUACAUAUACUAUAUAGAUGGUGACUAAAGUCGGGUCAGCUCGUUGAGUACCCACAGGUGAUUCCGAUGUGGGGGCUGGAAGGACAGGUGGCUCCAUCCCGGUAGGGGUGGGCCUGGGUUCCCGACAGCCCCCGACUGUUACUUUGUGGAAGAGCGACAGGGCAGGUUGAGACCACCUAGGAGAGAGGUGGGCCUGGCCCUGGUCGGCGUCCGCGGUUACUUCAAAAUAACAUGCUUAUAGAGAUCUUGGUAUUUGAUUUGAGUCUGGCCACUGUCCUAUACGCACUAACCAACUACGCAGGAAAGAUAUGGGCACUCGACGUCGUGGUAUCAGCCGAAGCCUUCGUGAUGUCAGCUACAGAACGGCGCGCGCCGGAUUGGAACGUAAGCCUGCUCUUGUAUUAAGGGGGCUAGUUCUGCUUCCGGCCGCCCUCACAACGUGCAGGUGUGCGAUGGGCCCAGACCCCUGCGCCAUAGGAUUUAUACCGACUAGCUGACCUCUCUGUUGUGCCUAGGUAGGGCUGCGACGUGUUGAUCUUCCGAGGCUGGGCAUGACCCAGGAAAGUGUGUCCGGCCAAAUGGGAUCGAGUGUGUUGGGUUAUGUGGUGCACCCCUGCAGGGAAGUUUAUCUAUUCGAAUAGCCGUGUCCCUCGGUAAAAGGACGACCCGGAGUUGUACCUUGACCUUAUGACAACUAGAACCAGAUACUUAAUAAAACACACCUAGACAAGUUCCACAGACAAUCCGGUGAUCGCUUUUCCACAGGGCGAUGAGGGGAGGAUCGCCGGGUAGGAUUAUGCUAUGCGAUGCUACUUGGAGGACUUCAAUCUACUCUCUUCUACAUGCUGCAAGACAGAGGCUGCCAGAAGCGUAGUCUUCCAUAGGACUAGCUAUCCCCCUCUUAUUCUGGCAUUCUGCAGUUCAGUCCAUCGACAUUGCCUCUUUACACAUAUACCCAUGCAUAUGUAGUGUAGAUCCUUGCUUGCGAGUACUUUGGAUGAGUACUCACGGUUUCUUUUCUUCCCCUUUUCCCCCCUUUCCCCCCCUUUCCUUUCUUCCUGGUUGUCGCAACCAGAUGCUGGAGCCCAGGAGCCAGACGCCACCGUCAAUGACGACUCCUACUACACUGGAGGUGCCUACUACUACGUGCAGGCCGCUGACGACGACUAGGAGUAGUUGAGGAGGAUCCCAGGCAGGAGGCCUGCGCCUCUUUCGAUCUGUAUCCUAGUUUGUGCUAGCCAUCUUAUGGCAACUUGUUUAACUUAUGUCUGUACUCAGAUAUUGUUGCUUCUGCUGACUUGUUUAUGUCGACCACUUGUAUUCGAGCCCUCGAGGCCCCUGGCUUGUAAUAUGAUGCUUAUAUGACUUGUUUUACUUUUAGAGUUGUGUUGUGAUAUCUUCCCGUGAGUCCCUGAUCUUGAUCAUACACGUUUGCGUGCAUGAUUAGUGUACGAUUGGAUUAGGGGCGUCACAAUCUUAGUGUUUCCUAGGUGAAUCGAAUACGGCGAAUCAUGGGCCUCCUGCAGAAUCAACUUCCUGAUCUCGUGGUCAUUGGGCACAUAUACGCGAUCCUCAAACCAUAAAGUAUCAUGCUCAUCCUCACGAAAUCCUUUAGCCUUUCCUUUACUCAUCCUUUCCUUUAUCUCGGCAAUCUCCUAGUCAGUCUUCUGGGAUUCUCUGAUCUUACUCAUCGAUGUGGACUGAAUUUCCAAUGCUGCUACAUAACCUCUCGGAACUAUUUCCAAACAUAGUUCGCGAAGAUCUUCCGCUAACUCCUUGGGUAAUCCUCCGGUCAUGAGCGUAUUAACAUAACUCUUGCGGCUCAACUCAUCUGCUACUACAUUAGCCUUUUCGGGAUGAUAGUGCAGUUUCAUAUCAUAAUCCUUAAUGAGCUCCAACCAUCUCCUCCACCUGAGGUUCAAUUCCUUCUGCGUGAAGAUAUAUUUCAACUCUUAUGAUCCGUGUAUACCUCACAAUGGUUUCCGAUGAGAAAAUGUCUCCAUGUCUUCAGCGCAUGCACAAGGGCUACUAACUCCAAAUCAUGUGUAGCAUAAUUCAUCUCAUGGGGUUUAAGCUGUCGUGAGGCAUAUGAAACAACUCUUCCUUCCUGCAUAAGUACUGCUCCAAGUCCUCGACGUGAAGCGUCGCAAUAUACUUGAUAAUCAUUUUGUUGGUCUGGAAGAAUCAGCACUGGGGCUGCAACCAAACAUUUCUUCAACUCCUGAAAACUGGCUUCACACUCCUCGGUCCAUUUAAACUUGGUGUCCUUCUUCAAUAACUCCGUCAUGGGCUUUGCAAUCCUAGAGAAAUUCUCUAUGAACCUCCGAUAAUAUCCUGCGAGUCCAAGAAAACUCCUGAUCUCUCCAACUGAUGUGGGUGCCACCCAUUUAGUCACAGAAACAACCUUGGUGGGGUCUGCUGCUAUUCCUUCUCCGGAUAUGACAUGUCCGAGAAAACCAACUUCGUUUAACCAAAACUCACACUUGCUGAACUUGGCAUGUAGCUGAUGUUCUCUGAGCUUCUCAAGAACCAAACGCAAAUGCUCCUUAUGCUCCUCUUCGUUCUUCGAGUAGACCAAUAUAUCAUCAAUGAACACCACGACAAACUUAUACAAGAACUCCAUAAACACCUUGUUAAUCAUGUUCAUGAAAUAGGCAGGCGCGUUAGUCAGACCAAAUGACAUAACGGUAUACUCAUAUAGCCCAUACCUUGUGGUAAAAGUUGUCUUAGGUAUAUCCUGCUCUCGAAUCUUCAACUGGUGAUAACCUGAUCGAAGAUCUAUCUUAGAGAAAACUUUAGCUCCUUGCAACUGGUUAAACAGAUCAUUGAUCAUCGGCAAAGGGUAUUUGUUCUUGAUCGUCACUUCAUUCAACGCACGAUAAUCAACAACCAUCCUUAAUGAUCCAUCCUUCUUCUACACUAGAAGCACUGGGGCUUCCCAAGGUGAUGAACUUGGUCGAAUGUAACCUUUAUCCAGUAACUCCUUAAUCUGCUUCUUAAUUUCCUCCAAAUCCUGUGCGGGCAUCUGAUACGGUCUCUUUGAUAUUGGCCCGGUGCCUGGCAAUAGCUCAAUCAAAAACUCAAUGUCUCGAUCCGGUGGCAUGCCUGGUAUCUCCUCCGGAAAUACGUCGGGGUAAUCCUUCACCACUGGUACUUCCUCCUGUAUAACUCCUGAUAUGGAACUCAAUUGAGUCCUCUUUGGCACAUGCCGGGAUACAUACUUAAUCCUUCUUCCUUCUGGGGUGGUGAGCAUAAUUGACUUACUGGCGCAAUCGAUGUUUCCUCCAUACAACGAUAACCAAUCCAUACCCAAAAUCACAUCCAACCCUUGCGACUCCAGAAUUAUAAAAUCCAAGGGGAAAACAUGCCUACCUAUGGUCAAUGGCAUAUGAAAACAUCCUUGGGUUGCCAUAUGCUCCGCUCCUGGCGAGCUUACUAACAUAGGUGUCCUAAGAACUUUGGUGGGCAACUUAUACUUAUCCACAAAUCCCCUUGAUAUGUAUGAAUGUGAUGCACCAGUAUAAAAAAGAACGAGUGUAGUAAAUGCAUUAAUCAAAAACUUACCGACAACUAGGUCGGGUUGAUCCUCAAUCUCCUCCACGCUGAUGUGGUUCACCUGACCUUUGGUGAAGGGGUUGGGCUUCUUGGCAGAACUUCCAUUGCCAUUUCCAUUCUUUGCUUCAGGACAUUCAGUGGCAUAGUGUCCAUUCUUCCCGCACUUGAAACAAGUAAUGUGACUUAGAUCCUUCUUAGCGGGCGUUGCCGGGUUGGAAUGGUUCUGGCUGCUGCUUCCUCCAUUCCUAUUCCCAUUCUUGGGGCCACUAUGGUUAUGCGAACUUCCUCCAUUGGAAUUAUGGCCUCCAUGGUUAUGGUGAAUGUGUCCUCCCGAGUUCGGGGUAAAACGAGGUCUGUGUUGAGCUCCUAAAUUGUACUUCCCUUGUCCAUACUUCCUCUUGCGGCUCUCUAUCUGCUGCUGCUUCCCUUCAAUCAUAAGAGCUCUAUCUACCAACUCCUGGUAGUUGUUGAAUGUUUCCACCAUGAACUUCAUGCUCAGCUCAUCAUUCAGUCCUUCCAGAAACUUCUCCUGCUUAGCAGCAUUAGUUGCUACGUCAUCAGGGGCAUAGCGCGCUAACUUAGUAAACUCAUCCACAUACUGGCCCACUAUGCGUCCUCCUUGGUGCAAGUUGUGAAACUCGCGCUUCUUCAUGUUCAUAGCUCCUGCUGAGACAUGGGUAGUGCGGAAAGCCUGCUGAAACUGAUCCCAUGUAACAGUGUUAAUGGGGUAAGUGGCUGUGAAAUUCUCCCACCAUGAUGUUGUGGGUCCAUCAAACUUAUGUGCGGCAAAAUGCACACUCUCCGCAUCUGUGCAUCCUGUAGUGGUCAUCUCCCUUCCAAUCUUGCGGAGCCAAUCAUCUGCAACAAUUGGCUCGGUGCUACUAGAGAACACCGGCGGAUUCAACCUUAGGAAACGGGCUAAGUGAUCAAUAGGUGGUGGUGGUGGGUUGUUGUUAUUAUUGCCUUGGUUCUGAUUCUGAACUAGCAGCUGCAUCAGGAUAUUCUGCUGCUGGAUCAACUGAGUGAGCUCCGGCGGGAAAGCAAAUCCAUUAUCACGUCUCGGAGGCAUCUGAUGGGUUUAGAAGGGGUGAGAAAAACAGAAUAGAAUGAGGUCUAAAGGGAAAACACUACCCAUAUGCACAUGAGACAAACACAUUCAUAUCACACCAAUCAAUUCAAACAAGGACAUACAAUCGGUCUCACUAUCGUUACAAAAGUGCUCGGACUAUUACUAUAUACAUGGGGGAAUACUACUAAUAAUAUGGUGGUCGACUAGAAGUUUUGAUUGGUGGAAGACACCAUGAUAUCCGCUCCAGCUUAGUCUUUGUAGUCAUCAUCGCUAUCGUCGGGGUUAGAAUCGGUGUCGUCGAUGAUGAUGUAGUCCUCCGAAUGAAUGUCCUUGGAAUGGUCGUCAUCUCCUCCUGGCGCGGGGUCUCCCAUGAACACUCCUAGCUUCCUCGUUAGGUCGUCAUUCUUCUCCACUAGUAUCAUCAUUUUCUCCUCAUAUUCGUCGCAUGUAGACUUGAGUUCCUCUUCUAGCUCCAUAAUCCUGGUCAUCACCUUCUUCAGAUCUAUCAUGCCUGCGCACAUCUGGUUCUCCUGGCGACGAAGGUGCUGGUUUAACUCCUGGAUGAAAGCUGCAAUGGACCUGUCCCUCCUGGUGCUGAUCAUCUCCCAUUGCUCAUCUCGGCGCCCACAUAUCUGAUAGAUAGUGUCCUUAAGAUCCUUGUGAUAAACUUCUCUGAUGCGUCCCAUGACGAAGUGGGCUGCCAUGCUCUUUCCUAGACUCCAGGUUGGUGCAUCAAAGGAAAACUCUAUGGGCUCAGUAACUGGCAUGAAUGUCCUUCCUGGAACUUGAACUCGAAUCAUCCAACCCUCCUCUUUUGGUUAAGUGGCGAUGUAGGUCCUGGUGAAGCUUGGUAUUCCGAUGUUCAGGUACCUAGUGACUUCCUUCAAGUGUCGCCCAAAAGGUGUGUCUUCAUCCGGUUGUGUAAACUUGUUCCUUGAGUCCGCCAUCCUAUAGAGUGGAAAAGGGAGAGGAGUCAGAAAUGAGUAGAGAAGAGUGACCUAUGGUUGAACUUAGUGGUCGUGUCCUACAACCAGCGUUUUCUCUGAUACCAUCUUGUAGCGACCAGACCUCAAACGGUUAAGUCUCUAUGCAUCAGUGUCAUCCCUGGAUCGGUAAUGCUGACACGCACAGUACUCAAGGAUUUAUAACAGAGAUUCAAUCACACACUUAUUAUAUGUCUCAAAAGAGAACUUAUUACAAUAAUAUGGCUUAAGGCCAUCUAAAUAAGAUAACAGCGGAAGGCUUGAAAGAUAAAGUGAGUCCAUCAACUCCAACAGCAUAGCUGAGUGAACGACAACGACCUAGCGCACCUUACUCUUCGUCUAAAAAGUCUGCAACAUGAUAUGUUGCAGCCCGAAACGGGUCAGCACAUGGAAUAUGCUGGCAAUGUAACACAAAAGAGCAUGAAUAGAAUAAAUGCUAUCACUACAUGCAUAUAUGGCUGGAGGAGAGCUCUAUGGUUAAUAUUUUGCAUAAAGCCAUUUUUUCCCUACAACAAAGGAAUAUAUUUUAUUUAACUAUCAUGGUGGUUGUUAAACAUUGAGAAGGUUCCUCCAACUCAAUCCCAAAUAAACAUGUAUCAAUUAACCCAACAAAUUAAUUUAGAGUGAUGAGAUCAAUAUGAUAAUCCAAGAACCAGAUACUCAAGAUGUCCAUAACCGGGGACACGGCUAACCAUGAUUAGUCUGUACACUCUCCAGAGGUUUGCGCACUUUUCCCCACAAGGCUCGAUCUCCUCCAUAGAUUUCUCGCACUACAUGGUGUUUGAGAAACGGAUGACCAAGACACAAUCUUUCAGAAACAUUAACUCUUUACUCUGGAUGGACAGUUACACCUACUUUUCCCUACAUCUGCUAGUCCACCUCUUCAAGAGCUCACAUAACUUACUCAACUAUGCCAGAGCCCAUAAUGGCUUGUGGCUUCACAUGGAAGUUUCUAGCAUGAAUAAUCUUAUGAUCCCUUUGAGCCUGGGUGGCGAACCAUAGGAUGAUCACACGGGUACUCCGGGAUAUCCUAGGACAACACUGGAUUCUCUAGGUGCCCGCAACCAAUCCACCCAAAUGUAUAUUUAAGUAGCCACCUUAAGUUAACCAUUAAUUUAACAAUUCUCACAUCUGUCAUGGAUACACUCAACCAAUCCACGUCUACGAGCAUAGCAUAGCAAUCUAAGCAUAACGUAGAAGUAACUCCCAAAGGUUUGAUAAUAAAAGGCAAUAGGUUCUACCUCAUCAUCUACUUCCCAAUACCCACAAGUUGAUCACAUCCUAAUCAUGCAGUGUUUGAGGAUUUGUAACUAAUGCAUAAAAACUGGGUAUGAAAAGAGUAUGAUCAAUGUGUUACUUGCCUUGCUGACGAUCUGCAAACCCUAGAGACUCGUAGUAGCACGCUUCACACUCUGGGAAUUCUAUCAAAAACAACAAUAGCAUACAUAAGUACUCAAGCAAAGAUGCAUAGGUAAAACUCAAAUAAGAAGAUCCAAUCUGAAAGUUCAACUGAAGAGCUUUGAUUUGCAAAAAGAAUCAAUCGAAUCGGAGCUACGAGACUCAAACUACGAUCAAAAGAAGAUCGAAAUCAAAUCUGCUUGAAGCCAAAUUUUAAUUUGUCAAAAUCAUGUUCAAGUUGAUUAACCAGAAAGAGGGGUUCCAGACGAAGAUUUUGACGUUGGUUUCACUGGAUUUCGACUAACGGUUAAAAAGUUGCGAGGGUUUGAAGAUCAGGGGCUAAUCUGCGGUAAAAAUAAUCGCGGAUAGGUCCCUGAUGAAAAAUAAAAGAAAAAGAAAAAGACUACGGCGCGAACGUUCGUUAACAAAGACAAACGGACGAACGCGUUCGCUAAAAACGAACUAACGAGCGGACGCUCGCUAAAUAACGAAACCGAAAAAACGAAACGAAACGAACCGAACCGAUGUGAAAAAAACGAAACUGGAAUUUUAAAUAAAACCGGCGUUUUUUUUACCUAAAACCAAAAAAACACCGACGGCGGCGGGUCCGACGGCGGCAGCGGGAUUUCGGCGGGACGGGGCGGCGGGGCUGCGCGGGACGGCAAGGCGAGGUGCGGCGCGGGCNNNNNNNNNNNNNNNNNNNNNNNNNNNNNNNNNNNNNNNNNNNNNNNNNNNNNNNNNNNNNNNNNNNNNNNNNNNNNNNNNNNNNNNNNNNNNNNNNNNNNNNNNNNNNNNNNNNNNNNNNNNNNNNNNNNNNNNNNNNNNNNNNNNNNNNNNNNNNNNNNNNNNNNNNNNNNNNNNNNNNNNNNNNNNNNNNNNNNNNNNNNNNNNNNNNNNNNNNNNNNNNNNNNNNNNNNNNNNNNNNNNNNNNNNNNNNNNNNNNNNNNNNNNNNNNNNNNNNNNNNNNNNNNNNNNNNNNNNNNNNNNNNNNNNNNNNNNNNNNNNNNNNNNNNNNNNNNNNNNNNNNNNNNNNNNNNNNNNNNNNNNNNNNNNNNNNNNNNNNNNNNNNNNNNNNNNNNNNNNNNNNNNNNNNNNNNNNNNNNNNNNNNNNNNNNNNNNNNNNNNNNNNNNNNNNNNNNNNNNNGCUGGGCCGGCUGGGCUUCGGCCAAGUCAGUCCGAAGACUUUAAAAAAAAUCCGUCGAAAGAAAAAUCCUAAAGAAAUAUAAAAAAAUUCUAAAAAUGCCAAAAAAAAAAAUUCUCCGUCUAAAUAAAAUAUUUAGAACAAAGUGAACAUUUUUCUGGCCUAAAAAUGCAAUUUUGAAAAAUGCAUAUUUUUCUAAUUCAAAUAAAAUAGCAAUAAAAAUCCAAAAUAAAUAUUUAUUUGAUUUUAACAUUUUUCCUCCAAUAUUUCUUUUAUUUUGGAGAAGUCAUUUUAUCCCCUCUCUUUGUUUUAAUAUUGGAAAUAUUCGAAGAGAAAAACAAUAAAACCAAAAUGAUCCUCUUUCCAAAUUUUAGAAAAUUCAAAUACUAAAAUAAAUGAAAUCCCCAACUCUCUCCGUGGGUCCUUGAGUUGCUUAGAAUUUCUAGGAUCAAACCAAAAUGCAAUUAAAAUAUGAUGUGCAUUUGAUGACCUAUGUAUAACAUUCCAAAUUGAAAAUUUGGGAUGUUACAACCAUCUUUGAUUAACGAGCUAGUCUAGUAGAGGCAUACUAGGAACAUUCUGUUUGUCUAUGUAUUCACACAUGUAUUAAGUUUCCGGUUAAUACAAUUCUAGCAUGAAUAAUAAACAUUUAUCAUGAUAUAAGGAAAUAUAAAUAUGAACUUUAUUAUUGCCUCUAAGGCUUAUUUCCUUCACUUAAUACACUUGAUGCAUGCUGGAUAACGGUCGAUUUGUGGAGUAAUAGUAGUAGAUGCAAGCAGGAGUCGGUCUACUAAUAUUGGAUGUGAUGCCUAUAUAAUGAUAAUUGCUUGGAUAUCGUCAUAAUUAUUUGAAGUUCUAUCAAUUGCCCGACAAUAAUUUGUUUACCCGCCGUAUGCUAUUUUUCUCAAGUGAAGCCACUAGUGAAAUCUACGGCCCCCCAGGUCUCUUCUUUAUCAUAUUUGCCUUCAAGAUCUAUUUUUAUUAGCUUUUUUCUGUCUGAUACUUUCCCGGAUGUUUUCCCCCUUCGCCGGUACCCCCUAUCCCUGCGUUAGAUCACCCCUGGCACCGCGUAUUGCCUUGUUAUAUUUUGUGAUGCUUUGUUUGCUCCAUAUUUAUUGUUUCUUCCCCCUCUUCUUCUCUAGUAGACCCCGAGACCGGCGUUGAUGCGAUUGAGUACGACUACGCACCGACGACCCCUCCUUCUUGCCAAAGCAACCAGGCAAGCCCCCCCUUUGAUCACCAGAUAUCGCCUAUUCUACCCUCUAUUGCUUGCAUUAGAGUAGUGUAGCAUGUUACUGUUUUGAUUAAUCCUAUUCUGCUGCAUAGCCUGUCAUUGUUGCCACAUCUGUUGAUACCUUGCCUGCAAUCCUAAAUGCUUAAUAUAGGAUGCUAGUUUACCAUUAGUGGCCCUACAUUCUUGUCAGUCUGCCAUGCUAUACUAUCGGGCCGUGAUCACUCGGGAGGUGAUCACGGGUAUAUGCUAUAUAUACAUAUACUAUAUAGAUGGUGACUAAAGUCGGGUCAGCUCAUUGAGUACCCACAGGUGAUUCCGAUGUGGGGGCUGGAAGGACAGGUGGCUCCAUCCCGGUAGGGGUGGGCCUGGGUUCCCGACGGCCCCCGACUGUUACUUUGUGGAAGAGCAACAGGGCAGGUUGAGACCACCUAGGAGAGAGGUGGGCCUGGCCCUGGUCGGGGUCCGCUGUUACUUCAAAAUAACACGCUUAUAGAGAUCUUGGUAUUUGAUUUGAGUCUGGCCACUGUCCUAUACGCACUAACCAACUACGCAGGAAAGAUAUGGGCACUCGACGUCGUGGUAUCAGCCGAAGCCUUCGUGACGUCAGCUACAGAACGGCGCGUGCCGGAUUGGAACGUAAGCCUGCUCUUGUAUUAAGGGGGCUAGUUCUGCUUCCGGCCGCCCUCGCAACGUGCAGGUGUGCGAUGGGCCCAGACCCCUGCGCCAUAGGAUUUAUACCAGCUAGCUGACCUCUCUGUUGUGCCUAGGUAGGGCUGCGACGUGUUGAUCUUCCGAGGCUGGGCAUGACCCAGGAAAGUGUGUCCGGCCAAAUGGGAUCGAGUGUGUUGGGUUAUGUGGUGCACCCCUGCAGGGAAGUUUAUCUAUUCGAAUAGCCGUGUCCCUCGGUAAAAGGACGACCCGGAGUUGUACCUUGACCUUAUGACAACUAGAACUGGAUACUUAAUAAAACACACCUAGACAAGUUCCACAGACAAUCCGGUGAUCGCUUUUCCACAGGGCGAUGAGGGGAGGAUCGCCGGGUAGGAUUAUGCUAUGCGAUGCUACUUGGAGGACUUCAAUCUACUCUCUUCUACAUGCUGCAAGACAGAGGCUGCCAGAAGUGUAGUCUUCCAUAGGACUAGCUAUCCCCCUCUUAUUCUGGCAUUCUGCAGUUCAUGGCAUCCAGACUCACCAUGGCAUGACGUUUUAAUCAUUGAGCCAUACUUUUUUGCAGUCCGGCAAGGUUCCGUACCAAACAAUCCGCAUUGGAGGAUUUACUGGGCUCGGAUGCUAUGGACAGCGGGACACCCCCGAGGGCCCCUUCCCCAAAACACAUGCACGACACCAAUGUAUCGUCCUAGAGGGACCCAGGCCAAGGAGGUUGAACUUCAGGGGCCGGACGCACGGAAGAAAAGGCUCCCAUGGACGUUGACGGUGGGGGCUAUCUCGAAUUCGACCCCCAACCGGACACAAUUCCGAAGACCUAUAUGGCUCCAGAAUCAGGCAGGCAGCCUCCCUCGGCUGAGGGGGUGCACCUAUUCCACCGGCAACCUCUAUCCAACCAGAGGUGCCGGAUACUUUAUCGGCGACGCUGAAGAGCGCCUCCAUCGUUGAAGAACACCGUGCCCUUAUGGGUACGGUGAUUGAGAAGAUUCAGUCUGCUGAAAGUGGACUGAAUGAAGCUUGCAUCAGCCAUAUAACGGGCUUUGAGGUAUGUUUUGUGAGGUUUCGAAGAGUGUCAUAGUAUAGGUAGUAGCCCCUGAUGCACUGUUUGGUGAAAGAAAGAACUGAACAGAGGAUCAAAUACAUGUUCGCAAGAGACUCACUUUAUGACAUCUCUCCUUUUUUUCAAAAGCAGGCGUCUGUAGCGACUGUCGCCUCUCAAACUGCAGAAGUCUCCGGACUGAAGCAGAGUCUGGAGCGGGCCGAAGGAGAACUCGGCCGAGUGAAGAAGUAGUUGGAGGAUAACCAAGGUAUGCAAAAACCUUGUUCGCAUUCAGCGUGAAUGAAUAAGUUAGUAUGAUAAACAUAUAUUCAUGGUGUGCUCUAGGGGUGAUGACCGAAGUCGAGGCUCUUAAGAAGGUCGUGGCCGAGGCCGAGAAGAAGGCAGCCACAGAGCAGGCUCUUCGUGAGAAGCACGAGGCCAGGGUUAUUGAAGCGGGGCAAGAGCUCCAAGAGGAUGUGAAGAAAUGCGAGACCUUGGAGCAGAGCUUAAUGGAGAAAGAGUCUGAACUCACCAAGGCUCAUCAAGCCGCAUGUGAUGCCCGCGGGGAAACCCAAGGCGCCCUGUAGGAAAUCUAGGAGGCGAGGAAGAUCGCGGCGGGUAAGGAUGUUUCUAUGCAAAGCAAGUAUUUGAGGAGAAAAUCAAGUUGCUAAUUUGAAUUAUGAUUUCUUCAGGGGUGUUUGCGGAGCUGCCAUGCAGCAUAUCUAAUGCCGCCCUAUUCUACCGAGCCGAAGAAAGGAGCAUUGCGGAAAAGCUCUUCUGGUCGCACUAUCUGGCGCCAAAUUAUCCAGUGCCAUUUGCCGAUCAGCUGAAACAGCUGAUCGAACUGCAUAAGGCGGCCAAACUAGCCAUGAAGGAUUUAAUUAUCCAGCUAUGGCCCGCCGAGCCGAUUCCAAGCAGCUACUUCGGGCUCAUGAAGCGGCUUGUGAGUGCCUACCCUCGACUUGAAGUCAUCAAGCGGUCGGUCUGUAUGGAGGGUGCGCGAAUGGCCUUCGCCCGCACAAAGGUGCACUGGGGGAAGAUGUAUGCUGAAAAGUUGAUGACUGUGGGGCCGCCAGAGGGGAAGAAGCACCACAAGCCUGAGUUAUAUUAUGACAGUGUCCUGGAAGGAUCCCGCCUUGCGGCGGAGCAAUGCACCAAGGACAUUAUAUUUCCAUGAGUACAGUCAUGUUGUCCUUUGUAAUGUUGAACAAGGUCAUUUCUAUUAUUUACUGCCUGAUAUUUGAAAAAAAUUCCUCCUGCGUGGUCGUUUUAUAUAUUAAUCCUGAGAGUUGGCUAGUCGUCGGCUUCUGCCCCCACGUAGGAAGUACGGGGUGUUCGGGAUAAACCCGAGCACUCUUUAUCCCAGUUUUGGGUCCUUGAAGGAGGUGUUCAGCGCAACGAACCAGGCAAUCGGACUAUAAGGCUUUAUCACUCUCACUUAGCCAUAGGAGUUUGACAAAAGGAAGGUAGGCGCAGCCCCUGGUGUUCGGAAGACCGCACGAGGGGCUUUAUAAGCACCUGAUCGGAAGAAAAGCCGAUCCAUCGCAUGCUGCAUUAGUUACCGCAUAAUGCGGAAGAAAUCCUUAAAGAUUUUACAACCUCUCGAACAGCUAACCAGCUCUCGCCGUAUCAUGACAGUCAAUUUUCGGCUUUCUCUACUGAGGUGCUUGUCCAGAAGAACCGGGACACAAUCGCAGUAGUUCUCCCUGUGCCGCCUUAGCCGAUAUAGAGGAACGUAAGGCAGCAAAACAUGGGAGCCAGGCAAACACAACUAUUGACCCAAGACAUGAUUCGGAGCUAAUGCAUAUAAUGCUAUAAGUUCGGGGUGCCGAACAACCACGAAGGUGUUCGGACUUUAUUGCCGCAUUAUGGGUACAAUGAAGCCCCUGGCAUAUUAAGGCAUAUUGCGGUGUACGGAUGCCAUUUGACAAAGAGUGUCAAUAAGAAACAACAACAGAUAAGCGUCAUAUAAAGCCACAUGUUGUAAUUGAAUAACACGUCGAUGCGUUCGAAUACAAGUAAUGUGAUAAACAGAAAUAUGACUUCGGAACCUGCUGAGAUCAGGCGGGAGGAGGCUCUGUGUGGAUCUGGAGUGUAAUCGGAUGGUCAUCAAGGGGAAUAUCUAAGGAUUCCCUUACGCAUUCGAGCUGUUUCCAUGUCGCCAGUCCUGGCCUACGCAAAAGUGGACCUGCAAAGAAAGUGCAAAGAGAUAUUUGUGUGCCACGGAGCGGUUAAGCCGCGUUGUGUGGCCUAUCCUAGUCGUGCCUCCGUUUACUGCCGGAGUGUUUUAAUUGAGCUCCGGACGAGCCGGGCUAUCCUGCCGCGAAGUACUUUGGACUCCCUUGACGGUGUCCGGGAGCUUGGCCGUUGACUUGAGGUUCGAUUGAAAGAUGCCACUCGUUGCUUCUGCUGUUAAGGCGGCGGUAUACUCUUCGGCACACAGGGGGAGUUCGGCCUUGCCAUUAACUGUUAUGACGCCGUGCAGACCGGGCAUCUUGAGCUUACGAUAGGCGUAAUGUGGCACUGCGUUGAAUCGAGCAAACGUGGUUCGUUCAAGCAGUGCAUGAUAAUUACUGCGAAAAGGGACGAUGUCAAAGAUUAACUCUUCGGUACGGUAAUUGUCUGGUGAUCCGAAAACUACCUCCAGAGUGAUGGAGCAUGUACAACGGACCUCCACACCUGGUAUAACACCUUUAAAGGUGGUUUUAGUGGGUUUGAUUAUCGAAAGAUCAAUACCCAUCUUGCACACUGUGUCCUGAUACAGCGGGUUUAGACAGCUGCCUCCGUCCAUAAGGACUCGUGUGAGGUGGAACCCGUCAAUUAUUGGGUCAAAGACUAGUGCGGCUAAAUUUCCCUGAUUGGUAUUGGCCGGACGAUCCAUACGGUCUAAGGUGAUCGGCCAUAGUUUAUAUUGUGGGGCGACUGGCUCCGUUAAGUCGACAUCCCUAAGAGUGCACAUCCGUUCCAGCUUGGGAAUGUGGGUGGCAUUUAUCAUGUUCACCGUUUUGAUUUGCGGGGGAAAUUUCUUUUGUCCUCCUGUGUUCGGUGAUCGGGGCUCCUCGUCGUUGUCAUCGCUUUGAGACCCCUUCUCCUUGUUUUCGGCACCUGACCUGCCGGCUUGUUUGAAGACCCAGCAUUCAUUGUUGGUAUGAUUAGCUGGUGUUCCUGGGGUGCCAUGAAUUUGGCAUGGAUGGUCGAGUAUGCGGUCCAGACUGGACGGGCCCGAAUUGUUCUUUUUGAAUGGCUUUUUCCGCUGACCGAACUCAGAGCCACUGAAUCCGGCAUUGACGGCCGUGUCUUUGGCAUCAUUGCCAUUUUUGCGACGCUUUUGUUUGUUGCGUCGGGGCUUGCCGUUGCUAUCUCUGGCCGCUGAUGUGCCAGGAUUGCUUGCGGUGCUGUUGCUACGAGCCAACCAGCUAUCCUCGCCCGCACGAAAGCAGGUCAUGAGUGUCGUGAGAGCUGCCAUGGACUUCGGCUUUUCUUGGUCGAGAUGUCGGGCAAGCCACUCAUCACGGAUGUUGUGCUUAAAGGCCGCUAGGGCUUCGGCAUCCGGACAGUCAACAAUUUGGUUCUAUUUAGUUAGGAACCGAGUCCAGAAUUUCCUGGCUGACUCUCUGGGCUGUUGGGUUAUGUGACUUAAAUCAUCAGCAUCUGGUGGUCGCACAUAAGUGCCCUGGUAGUUAUCCAGGAAUGCGUCUACCAGGUUCUCCCAACUUCCAAUGGAGUUUGCCGGCAAACUAUUCAGCCAAUGCCGAGCCGGUCCCUUGAGUUUUAGUGGGAGGUAUUUGAUGGCGUGUAGAUCAUCUCCACGAGCCAUGUGAAUGUGGAGAAAGAAAUCUUCUGUCCAUACCGCGGGGUCUGUUGUGCCAUUGUAUGAUUCAAUAUUCACGGGUUUAAACCCUUCUGGGAAUUCAUGAUCCAUUACUUCGUCAGUGAAGCAUAGGGGGUGUGCGGCGUCUCUAUGUCGGGCUACAUCACGACGCAGUUCAAAUGAGUCUGGCCUAUUGUAUUCGGCCCAGCUGGAUUUGUUUUUAGUAUAUCCGGCGUGACGGUCAUCAUCACGCAUUGGGGCGCGCCCCCGUGAUCCGUAGAUCAAUCUUGAUUGUCCUUCUUUGUUCUCCAAUUUGUCUCACAGCUCAUGCGUGUAGCCCCAGGCCUUCGUGUUUUUGCUUGUUUGGCGACGGGGUGCGGGCUGGACUUUGGGCUGAUAUGCCGCUUUGUCUCGGCCACGAGGUGGCCGGCCAGCCGCAUCCUGCGCUGGUAGUGUAGGUUUUAAUGCCUCCUCCUCUAGUUGAGGUAGCAACCUGCGCUUUGGGUAACUUUUGGUUGGGUGCUCGAGACAGUAUUCCUCGGCUGCCAGGACCUCGGUCCAUCUAUCAGUUAGCAGAACUUGAUCAGCUUGAAGCUGCUGUUGCUUUUUCUUCAGGCUUUUUGCAGUGGCUAUAAGCCGGCGCUUGAAGCGCUCCUGCUCGACGGGAUCCUCAGGCACGAUGAAUUCUUCGUCGCCGAGGCUUACCUCGUUGUCGGAGAGAGGCAUGUAAUGGUUGUCCUCCGAAUCUCCAUCCAUUGCCUGUUCAUCAGGGCUAGCUUGCCCAUCCUCCCGUCUGGCUUUCUCGAAGCUUGGCUGGGCGGCAUUGUUUUCGUCUUCGGUAUUAUCCAGAGUGCUAUUGUCUCCUGUGCCGGUAUCACUAUUUUUGCUAUGGCGGGGCUUAGAGCGGCGCCGCUGACGUCAGCGCUUAGAUUGUUUAUCAAGGGGGUUAUCCUCCAUUGCCUCAUCGCCAUUGCUUUCUUUGGGUGUGCCUACCAUAUAUAUAUCAUAUGAUGAGGUGGUUGUCCAGCGCCCUGUGGGCGGUGGUUCCUGUUCUUCUCCGGCGUCGUCGUCCAUACCGUCGAUGUCUUCGGAGUCGAAAUCAUCGACAGUGGCUAUCAAGUGGGUGGUGGGUGGGUAAUGAAUUUCUUCGUCGUCCGCUUCCCACUCAAGCCGGACAUAGUUCGGCCAAGAGUCUCCUGAUAGGGAGAAGGAUUUUAAUGAAUUGAGCACGUCGCCCAAGGGCAAGUGCUAAAAGAUAUCCGUGGAGGUAAACUCCAUGAUCGGUGCCCAAUCAAGUUCGAUGGGCAUAGAUGUACGCGGUUCGGAGCCUGCGGCCGGAGACGAGUCUAGGGGUCCGACGAUGUCGGCCUCAUCGGAGGCGAAGUCUGUGUUUGGCUCUACGGCCGCUGAGUGUGCGACCUCUGUGGUGGGGUCCAUCCACCCGUCCUUGGAUGGCAUGAUCUGCUCCGGAUUAAGAGUUGGGGCAGCUACAGGUGUGAUCUCCUGAACACCGUGCGAUGGCAGAUCUAAGUCAUGCUCAUCGUAACUAUUCGGCACACCUAUCAUGGGCUCGAAUCCGUCGAAGAUCAAGUCUCCGCGGUUGUCGGUGGUGUAGUUCAGGCUUCCAAACCUGACCUGAUGACCAGGGGCGUGGCUAUCGAUCUGCUCCAGAUGGCCAACCAAGUUGACCCAUAGUGCGAAGCCGCCGAAUACAAAGAUCUGUCCGGGGAGGAAAACCUCGCCCUGGAUCGCAUCGUUGUAGAUGAUUGAAGGAGCCAUCAAGCCUUACCGUGAUGACACAGUGGAACUCUCAAUGAAAGCACCAAUGUCGGUGUCAAAACCGGCGGAUCUCGGGUAGGGGGUCCCGAACUGUGCGUCUCAAGCUAAUGGUAAUAGGAGGCGGGAGACACAAUGUUUACCCAGGUUCGGGCCCUCUCUAUGGAGGUAAUACCCUACUUCCUGCUUGAUUGAUCUUGAUGAUAUGAGUAUUACAAGAGUUGAUCUACCACGAGAUCAUAGAGGCUAAACCCUAGAAGCUAGCCUAUGAUUAUGAUUGUUCUUGUCCUACGGACUAAACCCUCCGGUUUGUAUAGACACGGAGGGGGCUAGGGUUACACAGAGUCGGUUACAGAGAAGGAAAUCUUCAUAUCCGAACUGCCAAGCUUGCCUUCCACACAAAGGAGAGUCCCACCCGGACACGGGAUGAAGUCUUCAAUCUUGUAUCUUCAUAGUCCAAUAAUCCGGCACAAGUACAUAGUCCAACUAUCCGAGGACCCCCUAGUCCAGGACUCCCUCAGCGACCCUACUCUCCUCGGCUUCAUCCAGAGUUGUGGUCAAUGGGUAUGCAGAGCCAAAAAUUCAUGCAUGCUCAAGGUCAUAGGCAGGGUGACCCACUGUCACCACUACUAUUCAUCAUCGUCAUGGACGUGCUCACAUCUCUCAUAUCUAGAGUGCAUGAGUGUGAUGUUCUCAGCAGGAUGUCGAGAUGUUCCCUGAUGCAGCGGACCUCCAUAUAUGCUGAUGAUGUGGUCCUAAUCAUAAGGCCAACAUAUUUUGACCAUAGAUAUUGUCUGGGAGGCGAUGCAUAUUUUUGGGAGAGCAUUAGGACUCCACGUCAACUAUGCAAAAUCUGCGGUGAUCAUGAUCCGUGAUGAAGGAGAUAAGGAGUUGGUGGUCGCACCUCUUCCGUGGAAGAUGAAAAAUUUCCCUGUAAAUACUUUUUUUUAGAAAAGUAGGAUGACCUCCGGCCUCUGCAUCUGGGCGAUGCAUACGACCACUUUAUUAAUUAUUCUCACAAGACCUUACAAAAUCAAUACAACAGUAAGACUAAAGCCACCGUCUAAGCAACAAACUGUCGCUACACCUAUCCAGUUGAUGAAGGGGCGCAGAUAGUCUGGGUCUAAUACCAAACAGACAUCGCAGCCAAGCCUAACAUCUAAGACCUGAGACCCCAACCUAGCCACUUGCCAGGUCUGGGGCACACGCUGGUCCGGCGUGCUCUCAGAGGCCGCCGCCGCCAACUGCCACCGCUCCAUCUUCAGAACUGUACUUAUGCAUCAACCUUGCUCGGUCCAGCUAUCAUCGAUUCCACCACGGCACCCAACGACACCUCCUCCCUGCACGCAAAUAGCUGAACACGUCGCGGUCGCCACUGAUACACCUCAGCGCCAUGCUGCCAAGUAUCACCAGCCGACACAGCUUGAAGUCCUUGGAGGAUCUGUCGUGCGUAGCACCUGCCGACCAGGCAUGACCAAGCGUAGCACCUGUCGGUCAGACAUGACUUGACAUCUCCACCGAAGCUCCGUGCAAGACUAAGCCGCUCCACCUCCUGCCUCUGACUUCCAGCGCUACUCCACAAACGAUGCUCCCAAGAGAGAAACGACACAGCAGUGCCACCAUCGUCCGAUCUGGAACACCAGAUCCUAGGGUUUCCCCCGGAGCAGCACGAGUGAGUUGACAUUAGUUACAUGACGAUGCCUUCAUCAAGGUAACGGCAUAGAACGCCGCCAUCGCAUGCCGUCGGCUCGGUUUUCACCGGCAACCAUGUCUCCCCAACUCGCAGCCGGGACUAGAUGAUGGAUCUCGAGAUCCGAUUACCAAGCAUCUGGCCAGCCACCACCGACGAAGAAGAUGACCACCACCACUGGCUACACCGGCCAGAAUAGAUCUGCCAUGGGUGCCGCCAAGCAGUCCACCAGGCCCUCGACGCCGCCGCCGAUCUAAAGCCAGAUGACAUGCCGCCGAAGACCGCAUCGCGCCGCCGCCUGAUCCAGGCCAGCCGUCGCAGCAACCGCCCGUGGCCCGAGGCAAGGCCGACCGCCGCCGCCGUCGAAGCCACCGUCGCUUCUAGAUCGGCCGCACCUCCAUGCAUGUUGGGGUCCCGCCACCCCUGAGACACGGGAGGGAGGAAGAACCCCCGCCACCGCCGUCGGCCUCCGGGCGCAAGCCGGCGGCGUCCUCUGACGGCGACAGGAGGAGGGGAGGAGGAUGGGCUAGGCCCCGGCGGCGGCUAGGGUUGGGGAGCCCGAGUCGCCCGAGCGGGGGGCGACCCAUGCGAGUAAUAAAACUUGACCUCCCUGCAAAUACUUGGGUCUUCAACUUUCCAUUUGGCAAUUCCCACGCUCUGAAUGGCAGCCUAUUAUGGACAGCGCACUCAACUUCAUGUCGGGAAGGCAAAAAGGUCCCAUUACUCGUGUAGGACGACUGAUAUUGGUUCACGAUGUGGUUAUGGCGAUGCCAUGCACCACCUACUGGUUGCCAAUGCUCCAAAAUGGGCACUUGAGUGUGUUAACAAUAGAUGUCGUGCUUUCUUCUGGGAGGGGGCAGAUGUAAUCCAUGGAGGGAAGUGUUUAGUAGCAUGACAGAGGGUAUGCAGACACAAAGAGCUUGGCGGGCUAGGAGUUAUGGACCUCGGGAGACAUGAGCUCGCUUUGCGACUAGGUUGGGAAUGGCUCAAGCCUACUGACACAACUAGACCGUGGUAGGGCCUAAAGAUGGCACAUGAUCCAUAAGUAUAGAUGGCAUUCAACAACCUGGUUCACUGGCAGCUGGGGUCAGGUGAGAAUGUGUUGUUUUGGAAAGAUAAAUGGAUUAGAGGAGCUACGAUAGAGGAGAUUGCCCCGAACAUCAUGGCCCAUAUCUGCACCCAAACCAUAAAUUGAAGACUAGUUAAGGAGGGCUUACCUAAUCAUCGAUGGCCUUCCGACAUUUCAGGAGAUCUCUCCACCAACGGACCGGUCUAGCUCAUUAGACUGUGGGAAAUUAUUCUCUUAGUUUAGCUUGAACCCAACCGAUAGUAUGUGGCAAUAUGGCCUUGGAAUGAGCGAGGGGUGUACACUCCUGCUUCGGCUUAUCAUAUGCUCUUCAUGGGUGAGAUGAAGGUGGCUUUUGCUAGCUGGAUAUGGAAGUGUUGGGGGCCACUAACUUGCAAAAUGUUCUUAUGGUUGGCCAUUCAAUAACUAAUCUAGACAUACGACCGGAGGCUCAAACAUGGUCUUCAAGAGGAGAGAUCGCCAUGCUUUCUUUGCGACCAAGAGGAAGAUAAUGUCGGCCAUAUCCUGCUCAAGUGCGUCUACUUGAGGAAAGUAUGGCAUUUGACAUUCGUCAAGACUAGGAUGGAUCCAUCACCGGUUCCCGCGGUGGCCGAUAGACUGAAGCAAUGGUGGGGAAACUCUUGCAAGCGCAUAGCAAGAUGCACCGAAAGGCGUUUGACUCUCUAGUCAUGUUGGUUUGCUGGAGCCUUUGGAAGCAAAUGAACAUUCGAUAGUUUCGUAAUGCUACAACAACGGUCAGUACGUCGGACUUAGUAACAAAGAUAUUAGAUGAGCUCUGUGUGGGCUCUGGGCUCUAGAAGGAGGGAGAGGAGUGAAUUAUCUAUGUGUGUAGUAGCAUAUGAGAGUUGGAGUUGGGGUGGCGCGUUGCUUCAGCCGAGUUGUGGCUGUGAGGCUAUUUUCUCUUGUACAUUAUCUCUCUAUCUUCUGGAAAGCUUUUAUUUACAAACUCUUCUAUAAAGUUAUGGUAGCAAUUUGCACAUUCUCAAAAAAAACAUUGUUUCAUUCUCAAGGCCCAACCCAACUAGCAUCUUUUAGAUUAGGCCCAACCCAAUUAGGAAAUUCAUCAAACCCUUACUUUUCCUCACCCAUGCGGGCGCUGGCGGUGCUGCAUCCAGUCAAAUCGGUGGCGGUGCGGCGCCUGCACGUUGACGGCUGCAUUCUCAAGCGCGGAGCCUGCACACCGGCGUCUAGCUUGACCCACACACACCCCACCUUCCUAGCUUCUCCUGCCCCGCUUCAUCUACCUCGCUGCUCAGCUGCACUAGCCUGCCCCGCGAUGCCGGAGAACGCCGGCGGUUGCCUCUCUUGCCCCCGCACGCCGCACCAGCCUAAGCUCUGUCGGCUGACUGAGGUGAGCUGGACAGGGAUUAAUUGCUUCUUCGAGUUUUUUCGGAUACCCUUCCGGUCCGAAGGCCUGCAACUGAAAGAGAAGCCUCUUCUUCCUCUUCUGUCUCGUCAGGCAAGCCUUCCCUCCCGGAAAAGAAUUCUAUGAGACCAGGUCUCAUGGGUUAGCAGGUGAUCAUGCUAAGUCCUCGUUAAUCAAGUUCAUAUUUUAAUUACGUGUAUGUGAUUUGAUUAACUAGCACCGUGGCCCCCUCCCCUGUCCGGCCCUCCUCCACCCUCCUCUCUCCCUCGCGGUCGAGGGCCACCGCCGAACAAAGCCCAGGCAGUGCCGGUGGCGGCGGGGCCUCUCCCUGGUGCGGCCCUCUCUCUCCUCUAGCGGCGGCGUGAGGCCUCCUGGCGGUGUGGUGCGAUGAAGCUCCGGCGUCGGCUUGGUUCUGUUGCAGGGGUGAAGGCCAGGACUCCGUCUGGUGGUGCUGCCUCUGUGGCGGCUGCGGCAUGGGGCUCUUGACCCCCGUUCUCGAUCUGCAUCUGGGUGGUGCUCGGGCAUGUGCCGUAGCGGCAUGACAUGCGUGGUGUUCAUCGGAUCUCAGCGGCCUCUGGGCACCGUGGCAGUGCCAGCAGCGGUGUAUACUCCGCGUGGUGGUGCUGACGAAGGCGGUGUGCACUCAGAGUGGUGGUUCGGGCUGCUAUGGCGUCGCUUGGCAGUGCUACCUCGGCGGCGGCAACUGUCUGGAGCUCUGCUUCUGCCUGCGUUGAUGAUGGUGGAGCGUGACGAUGCGGCUCAACGACGAGGUGUUGUGGCCACGGCGGAGUGUACCAAUUUGGGCGGUGUUCGCCCAUGCCAUGCCGGUGGGCAGGGAUGUAGGUGUGUGACGAGAUAGAUGAAAGUCCUACAUGGCUUCAGCCGAUGCCAGCGGUGACAACGCCCAUGGAUGCCAUUCACCUCCUUGGUGGCAGCGUUGUGGUGCGUCGGCACCUCACUCUUUCUCACUUGGUGUGGUUGUCCUCCAGGUGAAAGCUUAUAUUCGAAUCCGGAUUGACUAUGGAGGCGUCCUUGGCAUCGUUGCUCUAUUGGGAGCAUCGUUUUGGAGACAUGGCUUGGAGGUCCUUUUGAGUUCCUUUGGUGCUCGCCGCAGUUUCGGCUUGGUCUUCUGGAGCGCUAUGCACACCGUCGAGAAUGAUUCCAAGAUGACGACUUUCUCGAGGCUAUCCGAGUCGCCCCACCCACCUGCCGACUCGUUUAGGCCAUCAAGGGUGGUCGGUGCGUAGGCAGAUGGUUUCUUUUGGAGUUGUUGCUCUUUGGAGGUGAACGGCGUUGGUGGAGACGCGGCUUGGUUUGGCACUUUGGUCAAGUUAGGAACAGCCUCUCUUGCGUUGUGGUUGUAUUGUGUGCGUUUGUGGCGGAGUUCAUCUUGCUUCUCACAGGGAUGUGGUGAGAGCUCUUUCUUGUGUUCAACCCUCUGCCUUAUACGUGUAAAGCUAAGGCACACAAUUUGCGGGCUCUCGAUUUUUUUUUAACUAGCACCGUUAAUCCAGUAUUAAGUUUUGAUAUUGUUCCACUAAGCAUGUUUAUGUUAAUGACAUUCUAUAAGUUCUAAUGAUCCAUGUUUAGUUUUUCUUUGCCGUCAAUGGUGUUAGGUGAUUAUCCCGUUUAUUUGCCCCAAAUAAGGUGAUGAUCCCGUUUAUUCCGUAAAUGCCACGGCUGGUGCUAAUUAACAAUCAUUUUUUAGUUAAUUUCUGUUAAUAAGAUAACGUUAAUGAUUCGAAUAUUAGCAAGCCAUUGGCCCGAAAAGAAUUUAGAAGAGGGAAACUGCAUGUUGGCGAACCCUAAACAAAAUUCCCCGAUUUCAAGAACAAUAACACUAGCACAAUGCCCAAAUUCCCGAACCACUGAUGAAAUCAACCAAAUGUCGGCUCAGGAUAGUCACCUAAUGAUGCCGGGUCGUUCACUUCCUCCGGGAUCCCGCACGGCCGCCGCCGCGCGAGGGCACCGACUCCGCGACGCCGUGGUCUCUCUGGACGACGGGCGGAAUGUUGGCGCCGCCGUGUCGCAUAAAUGGACGAGGACGCUCCUCGUCACCAAAACGAAGCCCGGCACCGGCGCCCCCAUCUCUCCACCGCGCCACCGCAACCGUCAUCGCGCCGACGCAGGAAGCCACGUUCGACCGAGCAGCGCGCGGGAUCUCUUCUCUGCACGCUGAUCCGGCGAACGGAGCCGCCGCGCCGCCUUUGGCCGGGUUGCCGUGCACCUCCUGGACCGGCGGUCGCUGCGCCGCCGCUCGCCGGUUUUGCCUCGUUCGUGGCCCGUAGCAACCGUCCGAUCAGAGCAUGUGUAACAGAGCUCUCAACCUGGUCAAACCCUCAAAAUAACAGUCAGUUUGAGGGUUGAGCAAAAAAAAGCGCAUCCUCAAAUCUCUAAACCCUCAAAAAGAAAAUAGGCCCAACCCUUAACUUCGAGUCCAACCUGCACUAGUGAGGGUUCGGGUCAAUUUUCCACGCCGAACCCUCACUCGGUCAACGUCCGCGCGGGAGAGAAAUUUCCCCCACCUUCCUCCCUCCUCCUCCACCCGACCUCGACCNNNNNNNNNNNNNNNNNNNNNNNNNNNNNNNNNNNNNNNNNNNNNNNNNNNNNNNNNNNNNNNNNNNNNNNNNNNNNNNNNNNNNNNNNNNNNNNNNNNNNNNNNNNNNNNNNNNNNNNNNNNNNNNNNNNNNNNNNNNNNNNNNNNNNNNNNNNNNNNNNNNNNNNNNNNNNNNNNNNNNNNNNNNNNNNNNNNNNNNNNNNNNNNNNNNNNNNNNNNNNNNNNNNNNNNNNNNNNNNNNNNNNNNNNNNNNNNNNNNNNNNNNNNNNNNNNNNNNNNNNNNNNNNNNNNNNNNNNNNNNNNNNNNNNNNNNNNNNNNNNNNNNNNNNNNNNNNNNNNNNNNNNNNNAGCCCCGCUGCGUCACCGCCCGCCCCCACCGCCGCAGUUUGCUGUCCAGUUUUGAGGGUUUGAAGGUCGGGGCGCAGAUCAGUGCCCUCAAACCAACCCUCAAAACAGAAUAGGGCACUGAUCUGCGCCAGCGAUAUUCUGUUUUGAGGGUUGGUUUGAGGGCACUGAUCCGCGCCAGCGAUUUUCGGCCUUCAAAACGACAAUUUCUCAACCCUCAAACUGGUUUUGAAGGUUGAAUUUUUGAGGGUUCUGUUAGACAUGCUCUCAGCAGCGAGGAACGCGGGUGGGCCUUUGGUCGAAAGUCCUAUUCCCCUCCCGAGCUCAAACGCUUAUUAUGAACAGUAAAUUUGUUUCUUAAAAAAUGAACAGUAAAAUCGAACAAACUAGAAAUAUUUUAAAAAAUCAUGAAUUAUCUUUGUGAUAAACUUUGACAAUUGUUUUGUAUGCUUGCAAAAUUUCAGUACAAAAUGACAUUCGUGGCGUGGCAAAAUAAAAAACCAGCACUCCAAAAUGUUUUAAAAACUAGCAUUUUUAGAAUAUUGAUUUUGUUUUUUUUUACCACGACUUUCACGAAUGUCAUUCCAUGCUGAAAUUUUACGAGGGUAUAAAAUAUUUAUCAAAGUUUAUCUAAGAAUUCAAAACUUUUAUUUUUUAAAAAGAGAUUACUAUUCAUAAGGGAGCAUUUGAGCUCAGGAGUAGAUACUCCAUGUCCGCCUUCGGGUGCCUUCAUGCAUCCACCGAUGGGCUUUGUGAAAAUCAACACAGAUGAGAUGGUAGUCAUGAUGCGGUUGCUGUUGUUUGUAGGGACCAUGGAGGGAUUUUUCUUGGCGCUUCUUGCAUCACUUUCAGGUUUAUGUCAGAUCACCAAACAAGUGGUGGAUGAUCUUUAUGAGCACAACAUUCACGUGGCCUCAGAUUGCAAGAUAGUGGUGGACGACGUGACCGACGUAUGGAACGAUCAUGCAUGAAAUUAUAGAACACUCAAACAACUUUAUUACUUGUAAUAUAGUCCAUGAAUUUAAGAGCUCGAAUGCCGAGGCUCACAAUCUCGCUAAGUAUGAACUUUAAUACUAGGGUUUGGCUGUCAUGUUUGGUUUGGACAUCCCGACGAGUUGCUUCUCAUUCAUGUAAACAUUAUGGUGACAUAAAUAAAGCUAGGCGAGGUUGUCAAAAAAAAUGUAAAACACUCCGUCCGUUAAAAUAACCGUCGAUAUAGCGGACGGGACGUUUUCCCACCUAAACAAAUACUGUAAAAUCGGUCGCCCGCUAUUUUUUUGCCAGAUACUGCAAAGUCUGGGCCGAUUCCACCAUAUCUACGGUUUCCCUUCCUCUUUCUGCUGGUUCCAAUAUCUCUCCCGCUCCAUGGCACGAAAAAAGUUUCAAGUCGCACGCCCUUCCCCUCCACCAUCGUCGCCGCAUCUCCCUGCCAUAUAUUGCUACUCUGCCAUCAAGUACCUUCGUCGUCCUCCGUCGCACCUUCUCCACCAAUUUUAUAGGUUGGGGUGCCCAUUUUUUCAGAGGGCGAGCGGCCACCGCCGACACCAUGGAUCCGCCUCGGAACUUGCUGUGCGACCUUGUAGUGGCGAAUCCAGCUGGUUCCGACGCCAGCGAGCCUCCGAUCACACGAGGGACAGCCUCAUGCGCUGAUGUCGUGGAUUUGGGGCCGUGGUGAAGGAGGGGUUUCGUCGAUUUGCUUCGGCCGAUGUCAGAGAAGAAAGGGGUGGCUCACUUGAUUUUGGCCAGUGGAAUUGCAUCCGAGGAAGGUAAGUUCAAUGCAAUUUGUUGAUUCAAUUUAGGCCAACGACAUUUAGGAAAAAAAUCAUAGGCGUGCAUUUUCUUAGAUGGAUGCUUGGAGUUCGUCGUCGUCGUCUUCGUCGGAUGAUUCCGACAUAGAGAGAGAUGAUUUUGGAUGAUGAUAUUGACAAUCUAGUGUUGAGCCUAAGUUUUUGCUUCUUCACAUGAGUUGUGCUAUCCUUGCAAUGUAGUUUUCUUUAGCUUUGCUUGCUGUUUGAAUAAAGUAUCAAGACCUGAAAUUAUUAAAUGGGAGAGUCUUCACAUAGUUGUAUAAUUAUUCGACUACUCAUUGAUCUUCACUUAUAUCUUUCGGAGUAGUUUGUCAUUUGCUCUAGUGCAUCACUUAUAUCUUUUAUAGCAUGGUGGUAGUUUUAUUUUUAAGAAAUAGAUGAACUCUCAUGCUUCACUUAUAUUAUUUUGAGAGUCUUAAAUAGCAUGGUAAUUUGCUUAAAAUCCUAAUAUGCUAAGCAUAAAAGAUUUGUAAUAAUUCUUAUGAGUGUGUUGAAUACUAAGAAAAGUUCGAUACUUGAUAAUUGUUUUGAGAUAUGGAGGUAGUGAUAUUAAAGUCAUGCUAGUUGGGUGAUUAUGAAUUUAAAGAAUGCUUGUGUUGAAGUUAGUAAGUCCCUUAGCAUGCACGUAUGGUUAAAGUUGUGUAACAAAUUUGAAACAUGAAGUGUACCUGACUUGUGCAUCCUUAUGAGUGGCGGUCGGGGACGAGCGAUGGUCUUUUCCUACCAAUCUAUCACCCUAGGAGCAUGUGCGUAGUACUUGGUUUUUGAUGACUUCUAAAUUUUUGCAUAAGUAUAUGAGUUCUUUUGACUAAUGUUGAGUCCAUGGAUUAUACGCACUUUUACCUUUCCACCUUUGCUAGCCUCUUAGGUACCGUGCAUUGCCCUUUCUCACCUUGAGAGUUGGUGCAAACUUCGCCGGUGCAUCCAAACCCUGUGAUACGAUACGCUCUAUCACACCUAAACCUCCCUAUAUCUUCCUCAAAACAGCCACCAUACCUACCUAUUAUGGCAUUUCUAUAGCCAUUCCGAGAUAUAUUGCCAUGCAAUUUCCAUCAUCAUCAUCAUGACAUACAUUACUUUUGUCAUAUUGCCAUUGCAUGAUCAUGUAGUUGACAUCGUAUUUGUGGCAAAGCCACCAUGCAUUAUUUUUCAUACAUGUCACCCUUGAUUCAUUGCACCAUCCCGGUACACCGCCGGAGGCAUUCAUAUAGAGUCAUAUCUUGUUCUAAGUUUCGAGUUGUAAUCCUUAUGUUGUAAUCAAUAGAAGUGUGAUGAUCAUCAUUAUUAGAGCAUUGCCCAAAAAGAAAAAGAAAAGAAGAAAGGCCAAAAGAAAAAAAGGCCCAAAAAAGGAAAAAAAGAAAAUAAAUAAAAAGGGCAAUGCUACUGUCUUUUUUUCCACACUUGUGCUUCAAAGUAGCACCUUGUUCUUCAUAUAGUGAGUCUCAUAUAUUGUGCUUCAAAGUAGCACCUUGUUCUUCAUGUAGUGAGUCUCAUAAGUUGUCUUUUUAUACUAGUGGGAAUUUUUUAUUAUAGAACUUGGCUUGUGUAUUCCUACGAUGGGCUUCCUCAAAUGCCCUAGGUCUUCGUGAGCAAGCAAGUUGGAUGCACACCCACUAGUUUUCUUUUGUUGAGCAUUCAUAGCUCUAGUGCAUCCGUUGCAUGGCAAUCCCUACUCCUCAUGUUGACAUCAAUUGAUGGGCAUCUCCAUAGCCCGUUGAUUAUCCUCGUCAAUGUGAGACUUUCUACCUUUUUGUCUUCUCCACACAAUCCCCAUCAUCAUAUUCUAUUCCACCCAUAGUGUUAUAUCCAUGGCUCACGCUCAUGUAUUGCGUGAAGGUUGAAAAAGUUUGAGAUUAUUUAAGUAUGAAACAAUUGCUUGGCUUGUCAUCGGGGGUAUAGAAGUUGGGAACAUCUUUGUGUGACGAAAAUGAAGCAUAGCCUAACUAUAUGAUUUUGUAGGGAUGAACUUUCUUUUGCCAUGUUAUUUUGAGAAGACAUGAUUACUUUGAUUAGUAUGCUUGAAGUAUUACUAUUUCUUUUAUCAAUAUGAACUUUUGUCUUGAAUCUUUCGGAUCUGAAUAUUCAUAUCACAAGUAAGAAGAAUUACAUUGAAAUUAUGCCCACUAGCAUUUCACAUCAAAAAUUAUCUUUUUAUCAUUUACCUACUCGAGGACAAGCAGGAAUUAAGCUUGGGGAUGCUUGAUAUGUCUCCAACGUAUCUAUAAUUUUUGAUUGCUCCAUGCUAUAUUAUCUACUAUUUUAGGCAAUAUUGGGCUUUAUUAUCCACUUUUAUAUUAUUUUUGGGACUAACAUAUUAACCGGAGGCCCAGCCCAGAUUUGCUAUUUUUAUGCCUAUUUCAGUGUUUCGAGGAAAAGGAAUAUCAGACGGAGUCAAAACGGAACGAAAUCAACUAGAGAAGUUAUUUUUGGAAGGAAACCCACCUGAUGGACUUGGACCCCACGUCAGAAGAUACGAGAGGUGCUCACGAGGGUGGGGGCGCGCCCACCCCCCUAGGGCGCGCCCCCCUGCCUCGUGGGGCCCCCGUAGCUCCAUCGACGUACCCCGUGCACCCAUAUAUACCUACGUAUCGUAAAACUUCCAGAAAAUAAGAUAGAUCAGGAGUUCCGCCGCUGCAAGCCUCUGUAGCCACCAAAAACCUCUCGGGAGCCCGUUCCGGCACCCUGACGGAGGGGGAACCCAUCACCGGUGGCCAUCUUCAUCAUCCCGGCGCUAUCCAUGACGAGGAGGGAGUAGUUAACCCUCGAGGCUGAGGGUAUGUACUAGUAGCUAUGUGUUUGAUCUCUCUCUCUCGCGCGUUCCCUCUAUGGCACGAUCUUGAUGUAUCCCAAGCUUUGCUAUUGUAGUUGGAUCUUAUGAUGUUUCUCCCCCUCUACUCUCUUGUGAUGAAUUGAGUUUCCCCUUUGAAGUCAUCUUAUCGGAUUGAGUCUUUUAUGAGAACACUUGAUGUAUGUCUUGCCGUGAUUAUCUGUGGUGACAAUGGGAUAUCAUGUGCCACUUGAUGUAUGUUUUGGUGAUCAACUUGCGGGUUUUGUGACACCGGGAACCUAUGCAUAGGGGUCGGCACACGUUCUUGACUCUCAGGUAGAAACUUUGGGGCAUUCUUUGAAGUACUUUGUGUUGGUUGGAUGAAUCUGAGAUUGUGUGAUGCAUAUCGUAUAAUCAUGCCCACGGAUACUUGAGGUGACAAUGGAGUAUCUAGGUGACAUUAGGGUUUUGGUUGAUUUGUGUCUUAAGGUGUUAUUCUAGUACGAACACUUUUAUAGAUCGAUCCGAGAGAAUAACUUUGAGGUGGUUUCGUACCCUACCAUAAUCUCUAUGUUUGUUCUCCGCUAUUAGUGGCUUCGCAGUGACUCUUUGUUGCAUGUUGAGGGCUUGCACUAGUGAAAGUAUGAACCCUAGGCCUUGUUUCCUAUCAUUGCAAUACCGUUUACGCUCACUUUUAUCAUUAGUUACCUUGCUGUUUUUAUUAUUUCAGAUUACAAAAACCUAUAUCUACUAUCUAUUUUGCACUUGUAUCACCAUCUCUUCGCCAAAUUAGUGCACCUAUACAAUUUACCAUUGUAUUGGGUGUGUUGGGGACACAAGAGACUCUUUGUUAUUUGGUUGCAGGGUUGCUUGAGAGAGACCAUCUUCAUCCUACGCCUCCCAUGGAUCGAUAAACCUUAGGUCAUCCACUUGAGGGAAAUUUGCUACUGUCCUACAAACCUGUGCACUUGCAGGCCCAACAACGUCUACAAGAAGAAGGUUGUGUAGUAGACAUCACUUCCCCUCGCGGCCGACUCCGCCGCCACGGGCUCUUGGGGAGGAGCGGCGUGUUGUCGAGCAGAGACCCUCGCCACCACCAUCGAAGCAUCAGAGCGCCCUCUCGCCAUGGCAGAAGAGAGGAAGGAGCAGGGAUGGGGAGAGGCGGAUGGCGAAGGACUGAGAGGCGCCAUCCCUCCCGCUCCCCACCUUAUAAAGGGAUGGGGUCAGGGCUCGGCCGCCCUUCUCAGCCAAUCCGGCUCAUUAAGGUGACAGCGGGCGAGGCCGUCAACCGCCCUCCCCGCCCAAUUAAAGGCGCGUGGGUAUCGACCCACACGCGCAUGUCUUCCCGUAUUCCGCGCGCCUGUCAUUCACCCUGCAUCGUGCAUGCGGCGUACGUGGUGUAAGGGACGGGUGUAAUGGGACGCGUGGAGCGACGGUUCCCAGGUAAGGAGAGUAAAUGAGUAGCGGCCCUGCAGUCUCAAAGGGAUACGCAAGCUGCCUCUUUACUGUUCACCGCGGGAUGACGCAAGCAUGCUUCGAUCACCCACGCGCGCGACCCCCACGUCACGCGUGCAACGCAGAUCGUGGGAGAGUGCAGCGGGCGGAAAAAUCACCUCAGUUAAUACCGCCCCGCCUGCUCGCGCACUGUUUUGGGCCUAUCCCAACAACGCAUUGCGCUUAUGUAUGGCCCAGGCCCCGGGGCUCCUGUCGGUGUACUAAAGUAGGGGCGAUCCUUUGUACCACUUACUUGUGCAUGGGCAGUCAGAGCCACACCUGUGGCCAUGUUUAAGCAGAGCAGGGACAGGGAAUCAAAACCGCAAGAUGAUCAAAGCAACGCCAAGACAGAGGCAUAAAGAGCAAGAAGGCGAGGUGAUUUCCCCCGGCAAGACCCUUGCCGGGGCAGCCUCCACAGCCCCGGCAAGGACCUUGUCGGGGCAUCUUACCCAACGCUAGUAGGGCGUGCCACCCUUGAGCCCCAGGUUUUCCAACGCCACCAACCACGUUGAGACCAAGGCUCGGGAGGCGCCUCCUUGAUGGCAUGCAAAUCUUUGUGAAGACAAGAAACACUCCAAAUCAGAUGAGGAUUAGAAGAUGACGAACCUCAGCGAGAUCCUCGCCAAGGAAAUCCACGAGACCCCCGACAAGAUCCUUGCCGGCGACGACCACAACGCGAUGGCAAGACCCUUGCUGGGGCCCCGGCAAGGCCCUUGCCGAGGACAUACGCGAGGCCACAGCCAGGCCCGCACCCUCCCAGUUUUUUGCACUGCUCCCAUGCAGGUGUCAGCCCACCAGAUAGGCAGACACCUGUGUGUCGACGUGAGGUUUCCAAGCCAACUCAGCGCAUGCCUACGUGGUGGCAUGCAACUCUUUGUGAAGGCCCUACCACCACGCCACCUCAGCAGCCUGCCAGCCUACAUGGCGCUGACCGCCUCGCUGGACCGGGCGCGUGUCGAAGCAGGGCGAGGCGGCGGUAAAGCAAGCGGACACAUCAGAUGGCGCAUUAAAUGCAUCUUGUCCCGUAAUGGCUAAGCGAUAAGCUUAGCCACAGUACCCCGAUGCCACCUCCUAUGUGCCACUGUGGCGAUCCCCUUGCCUAUAAAAGGAGGCCCAAGGCAUCCAGGAGGAGGAUUUGGACCCUUGGACAAGUUACACUCGCUGUAGCUAGCUCAAGAACUCCAAGAACACAGAUAUACACAUCAAAGCAGGACUAGGGUACUACGCAUCCUUGUGGCCCGAACCUGGGUAAACGACCCGUGUGUUUGUGCUGACUGCUGAUCCUGCUCUUCUCACGACCCCACGCCCCGCAACCGUAGUAGGGAUUCUUGUGAUCCCAUAGGUGUCGUUUUCCAUCGACACCAAUUUAGAUAGCAUCAUAUUCUCACGAACAUUAGAAUCAUUACCAAGAAACAAAAGUACCUGAUAAUUUAAUUGGCGUGUGCGAGCACUAGUAAUUGGUCCAGUAUAUGUAGUAGUAGGGGAUGUGGGUGUAACAAUGGUAUUGAUGUCCUCAUCAUCCUCCCCAUCUUGAAAUGAAGUCGUCCUCGGCGGAAGCUCAUCUUCCUCACCCAAAUAAGGUUUCAACUCUGCAAUGUUAAAAGUGGGACUAAUCCCAAAAUCUGCAGGCAGCUCAAGUUUAUAUGCAUUAUCACUUAUUUUCUCUAACACCUUAAAAGGACCAUCAGCAUGUGGCAUUAGCUUUGAUUUGUGCAAAUCAGAAAAUCUAUCCUUACGCAAAUGUAACCAAACAAGAUCUCUAGGUGCAAACACAACACGUUCUCUACCCUUAUCUCCAGCAAGUUUAUAUUUAGCAUUCAUACGCUCAAUGUUUUCCUUAGUUAACUCAUGCAUUUUUAAGAUCAAUUCAGCAUGUUGUUUAGCAUCAAAAUUAACCUUCUCCGAAGAUGGAAGAGGCAACAAAUCAAUAGGUGCACGAGGUAGGAAACCAUACACAAUUUCAAAAGGGCACAUCUUAGUAGUAGAUUGCAACGAACGAUUAUAAGCAAAUUCAAUAUGAGGCAAGCAUUCUUCGCACAUUUUCUUAUUAUUCUUCAAAACAGCCCUAAGCAUAGUAGACAAUUUUCUAUUGACUACUUCAGUUUGACCAUCAGUUUGGGGGUGGCAAGUAGUACUAAAAAGCAGUUUAGUCCCCAACUUAGCCCAUAAACAUCUCCAAAAGUGGCUAAGAAAUUUAGUAUCACGAUCUGAAACAAUAGUAUUUGGCACACCAUGCAAGCGUAUAAUUUCACGAAAGAACAAAUCAACAACAUUAAUGGCAUCAUCGCUUUUAUGACAUGGUAUAAAGUGUGCCAUUUUCAAGAAUCUAUCCACGACAACAAAUAUGCUAUCCCUCCCCUUAUUUGUUCUUGGUAAACCCGAAACAAAGUCCAUAGAUAUAUCCUCCCAAGGAACACUAGGUAUAGGCAAAGGCAUAUAUAAACCAUGAGGAUUGAGUCGUGACUUAGCUUUUUGACAUGUAGUGCAACGAGCAACAAAACGCUCAACAUCCUGUCUCAUCUUUCGCCAAAAGAAAUGUGUAGCAAGUACGUCCUCCGUCUUCUUCAUGCCAAAGUGUCCCAUUAAUCCUCCUCCAUGCACCUCCUGCAACAACAAAAGACAAACGAAGCUAGCUGGAAUGCAUAGCUUGUUAGCACGGAACACAAAUUCAUCAUCGACGACGAACUUGUUCCAUGUCCUUCCUUCUUUACAAUUCUGCAUUACAUCUAUAAAAUCAGCAUCAUGUACAUAUUGAUCUUUGAUGGUCUCCAAACCAAAUAUUUUGAAGUCAAGUUGUGAAAGCAUAGUAUAGCGACGAGACAAUGCAUCAACAAUAACAUUUUCUUUACCCUUGUGUUUAAUGACAUAAGGGAAAGUCUCAAUGAAUUCAACCCAUUUAGCAUGUCUAUGAUUUAGUUUAGCUUGACAUUUAAUAUGUUUCAAAGAUUCAUGAUCAGAAUGUAUAACAAAUUCUUUAGGCCAUAAAUAAUGUUGCCAUGUCUCUAAAGUCCGCACAAGAGCAUAUAAUUCUUUAUCAUAAGUAGAAUAACUCAAACUAGGCCUACUCAUUUUUUCAGAAAAGUAUGCAACAGGUUUUCCAUCUUGUAAUAACACACCUCCUAAUCCAAUUCCACUAGCAUCACAUUCAAGCUCAAAAGUCUUAUUAAAAUCAGGAAGUUGGAGUAAAGGAGCAUGUGUCAACUUAUCUUUCAAUACCGUGAAGGCUUCUUCCUGUGCGGUACCCCAAACAAAAGGCACAUCCUUCUUUGUAAGCUCGUUGAGAGGUGCAGCACUGGUGCUGAAAUCUCUCACAAAACGCCUAUAGAAACCAGCGAGGCCAAGGAAACUCCUCACUUGCGUGACUGUUUUGGGCUGCGGCCAACUCUCAACAGCUUCAAUCUUGGCUUUAUCAACUUCAAUUCCCUGUGGAGUAACAACAUAGCCAAGAAAAGAUACUCGGUCGGUGCAAAAGGUGCACUUCCCAAGGUUACCAAAGAAACGUGCAUCACAUAAAGCAAUAAAAACAACACAUAAAUGUUCCAAAUGUUACUCCAAAGAUCUGUUAUGAAUCAGUAUAUCAUCAAAAUAGACUACCACAAAUUGUCCAAUUAAAGCACGCAAAACCUCGUUCGUUAAUAUCAUGAAAGUACUAGGUGCAUUAGUUAACCCAAAAGGCAUGACUAACCACUCAUAUAAUCCAAACUUAGUUCUAAAUGUUGUUUUCCAUUCAUCCCCCAAUUUCAUAUGAAUUUAAUGGUAUCCACUACACAAAUGAACUUUGGAGAAUAUUGUAGAGCCACUCAAUUCAUCAAGCAUAUCAUCUAGCCUAGGAAUAGGAUGACGAUAACGAAUAGUAAUAUUAUUAAUGCCUCUACAAUCAACACACAUACGUGAUGUACAAUCCUUUUUCGGCACUAGAAUAAUAGGAAUAGCACAAGGACUAAGGGAUUCGCGUAUAUAACCUUUGUCGAGCAGCUCCUGGACUUGACGCAUAAUCUCCUUCGUCUCCUCUGGAUUGGUAUGGUAUGGUGCACGGUUAGGUAGAGAUGCACCGGGAAUUAAGUCAAUCUGGUGCUCAAUCCCUCGAAUAGGUGGUAAUCCCGGUGGCACGUAUUGUGGAAAGACGCCAGCGAACUCCUACAAAAUGUUAGUAACAGUAGGAGGCAAAGAGGAAGGCACGUCCCCGAAUGAAAAUAAUGCCUCUUUGCACACAAAAGCAUAGCAAACAGAUUUGCUAAAAUCUAGCUCAUCAAUAUGCGUUUUUGAAUUUAAUUUCAGAAGCAACACUAGAUGGUUUAUUAUUAGGCUUCAUUUGUCGCUCAAAUUCUUUUGCCACAAUCUGAUUUUCACUCUUAUUUGUCUCCUGUUUUGCUUUAUUAGCUCUAUUAAUAUCAUCUUUCAAAACGGAAUCAGGAGACAUAGGAUGCAAAGUAAUAUGUUUAUCCUUAUGAACAAGAGUAUACUGAUUGUUUCUACCAUGAUGUACAAUUUUUUUAUCAAAUUUCCAUGGUCUACCAAGUAAUAAGGACACGCUUGCAUGGGUACCACAUCACAAUCAACAUAAUCAGCAUAUGUAGAGAUACUAAAAUGCACAAGAAUAGUAUGUGUUACCUUAACCUUGCCGCUGUUGUUGAACCAUUGGAUGUAGUAAGCAUGUGGAUGUGGUCUUGUGGUAAGAGAUAGCUUCUCCACCAUCUCCAUGCUAGCCAAGUUGUUACAACUCCAUCCAUCAAUGAUGACGCAAACAGACGUUCUUUCACAGUUCCCUUUGUACAUAUUCAAAAUGGCGGCUUAUGAAGGGGCCUAAUGGUAUAUGGCUAAAUUAUGUCAGGUUAUUUAAACCGCCAUGAGCAGUCAAGUUACUUAAGCCGCUAUGAGUUGUUGGUGUUAUUUAUCGAGCAUUGCAAUGCAAUCAGGUGAUUUGAGCCACCAUGGCUAGGUGGAUCUAUCAAAACACAGAUGUUUGGCUAAGUGUGACAUAAACAAGUUUCAUAGAUUGCAAUCAUUAUUUUGGAUCAACGGAUGCUCAGAAAAAGGAAAUUAAUCUAGACCUAAAAAGCCCGUACAGAUGAGUUCAUCAGUUCUAAUGAGAUAUCUUUCCAGAGAAAGGGGGUCCGCUGGUAUCAAAAGUGGAGGCAAAACAACCACCACAUAAGUUCUAUAUUUCUUUUGGAUCAAAAGAGGCUACGGUGGAGGAACUACGGAGAAACCAUGAAGAACACGACGAACGGUCAGGAACCCUAAUGCGAUCUAACGUGCUGAAGAAGAAGCACUUACAGGUGCAUACUCAACUGCGGUGGGGCGCCGGCGUACUCUGGUCCAACACAGGUUGAUGCAGCGACUGAGGUUGAGGAGGACGAGGUGCCCUGCGGCAGCAGCGGAGCUCGAGCGGCAGAAGGUUGCGAGAGGAAGAAGACACUGGAAAGGGGGAGAAUGAGAAAAGACUGGUCAUGACUAUUUAUAAGGGAAAGACUAAUAUGUGGGCGCGAAAAAUGAGGAGGCCGAAAAUAUGGUUAUCCAGCUACCAGGACGCCUCGAUUCUCGGGAUGGUCAUUAAAGAUAAGGAUCCAUUGAGAUAUGUUGGAUAAAGCGUGAAUUAAUGGAAAAUGACAUCAUGGCAGGUUAUUGCAAAUCCAGAAGAUGACGUCAUGGCGGGUUAUAAAUUCUCGCACAAUGAAGAGUAGAAGAUUUUUUUAAGUGUUAAAGAUUGACAUGAACCAGUUCAAAUCAAUCUAGGGCCUAAUGUUGGGGAUAUAACUAUUAGGUAUGACCCGCCCAGGAGGGGCCGGGUUAUACCUAUGGCGAUUCAUAAAGCCCAAGACGGCACCGGAAGAUGGCGGUUCAGUUAAGGGCCCAAGGCCCAAAGGCGACUUAAAUCCCGUAUAGAUAAACCGCCAUAUGUGUGUAUGACUUGUGUUGUAAGAUAGGAAUAAACAGAGACCGAGCCGGAUAUUGUUUAUGAGCCGGCCGGGACUCUGAGAGCCUCUGGGCAUCAACCUCUAUAUAUAAAGGGACGACCCGGCGGCGGUUCAGGACAAGUAACAUCAUAUCGAGAGCUAGGUCAAGCGGAUUUGCUCCCUGGUAAUCGAGACAUAAGUAAAAUUCCACCUCAAACUGGAUUAAGCCAUUACCUUCACCGCAAGGGGCCAAACCACUAUAAAAUCCCGUGUCCUUUGUCCCGUUUUAACCCCUUUAAGCUUCCUAGUUACGAUGGCUCCACAACUAAGUCCUUUCACUAGGACAUCUGCCGCGACAAUUCCACGACAAGAGUAAUGACUUCACAUAUAAAGAGUAUGAUGAAUAAAAGUUGUUGAGAGUUGACAAACAUAGUUCUGGUCAUUGUUGCAAUUAAUAGGAAGUAAUAAAGAAAUAGAGGUUUUCACAUAUAAAUAUACUAUCUUGGACAUCUUUUAUGAUUGUGAGCACUCAUUAAAAUAUGACAUGCUAAAAAGUUGAUGUUGGACAACCAAGACAACGUAAAGGGUUAUGUUUUCUUAUAUCCGAAAUAAAUUAUAUUGUCAUGGAUCAUCCAACAUGUCGAGCUUGCCUUUCCCCUCAUGCUAGCCAAAUUCUUUGCACCAAGUAGAGAUACUACUUGUGCUUCCGAAUAUCCUUAAACCCAGUUUUGCCAUGAGAGUCCACCAUAUAUACCUAUGGAUUGAGUAAGAUCCUUCAAGUAAGUUGUCAUUGUUGCAAGCAAUAAAAAUUGCUCUCUAAAUAUGUAUGAUCUAUUAGUGUGGAGAAAAUAAGCUUUAUACGAUCUUGUGAUAUGGAAGAAAUAAAAGCGACGGACUGCAUAAUAAAGGUCCCUAUCACAAGUGGCAAUAUGAAGUGACAUUCUUUUGCAUUAAGAUUUUGUGCAUCCAACCAUAAAAGCACGUGACAACCUCUAUUUCACUUUGUGAAGGGCCUGUCUUUUAUUUUUGUCUUAUAUCUUUGUCACGACCGGUUUUCCAAUAAAAAUCUUUAUUGAAAAGCCGAUCUUUUAAGUCCAGUAUGAGAGAAAUCCUCCACACUGGCAGACAAAUUCUUGAUACAAUAAGGCAGUAGCAUAAAAUAUAUUACAGGGUCGAACUACGGUUGCUCAACCAAAUUAUUACAAGCAUGCCAAUAAUUAUACAUAACGGCGGACACGACACAGGGGUGUGGAGGCAUACUACUGACUCGAGGAUAGGACGGUGGUGGAAAAACACAAUGGGGAGAGAAAUACAAGACUCUACGUCUAUCAUCUCAUCGAGCGUCGAGGAGAGGCUCGAUGAAUUUAUUUGGUAGCGGAAGCGGAUAUAAUACAGUGACCAAAUCCAGGGUCGCACAAGACUGACUGGGACUCCUCUAAGUGUCGGACUCGCUAUCGAAUUCUUCAUCCAUGAGAUCGCCUUCGUCAGCAUCUGGCCAAAUCAACAAGCCAGUGAGUACUUUGAAAGUACUCGCAAGACAGUUCGGACGUAAGAUAUAACAAAUGCAUGCAUGGAUGCAACAUGAUUAAUUCCUUAAAGCACAAUAAAUAAAAUUGGCAUAACGGGUAAGUAAAAAGGGAAAACGGCGGUAGUCCGCCUGAAAUUCCACAGAACAUAAAUAAGGACCGAUCGGGUGUCUGAAGCGACGCCUCGAAAGGUGAACAAAUAAAAAUAAGGAAAUGAUGCCACAGUCGGGCAUCUUAGCGACACCACAUAAAGGGCUUUUAAAAGAAAUGCCACGGUCGGACGUCUGAGCGACAUCGCAGAAAGGGCUUUAAAAGAAAUGCCACAGUCGGACGUCUGAGCGACAUCGCAGAAAGGGCUUUAAAAGAAAUGCCACAGUCGGUCGUCUGAGCGACAUCACAUAAAGGGCUUUAAAAGAAAUGCCACAGUCGGACGUCUGAGCGACAUCACUUAAAGGGCUAUUAUUCACAAGUAAAUAAUACUCAUAAUAAACAUUCAAUUCAUGAAAACAAACGGGUUAGUCCAUCCACAGGAGUGAUCAUUUAACCGGACUUAGCACUCAUGCGAUUCACCGGAGUCUCUGUCAUCAAAGCUGACAAUUGAUUAGGAUAGGAAGGAACGAAACUUGACAUGGAAGAGAUGAUUUGGAGGAAUAUAUGACUCUGCAGAGUUUGUACAAAAUUUUUCCCACAGUCAACGGAUUUCCGUAGUCACGAAGGACUAGUUCUGUUUACGAUAUUUCAGAAGAAAACACAGCUAACCGGUACACACCCAUCCUACCUCUCGAUGCUAGGAAUCACCCUAGUCAUCGUCCAAGAAAAACUUUUGAGACGGGGAGAUCACAAGCUCGAAUAGCAUGGGAUCAAAUUUAUAUACGCGCGCUCUAAGGGGUGCCCCCCUCUCGGUCCCAACCGGAAACACCCAUGCCCCCUGACCGGAUGACUAGCUUUAAUCCAGGGCCAUGGAACCAUCGUCACGGCCUCUCCUCUUUGGUGUGUACCAUGAAAGCGGUUUGAAACUUACUAAACCAUAUUCCUUGCGGAAAACAUGUGGUAGUACAAGGAAGGAAAUGAUAGGUACUGGACCGAUAUGGUUUGACACUGAAGUCACAUAGUCUGGCGUAAGACUGGCAUGCUACAACACUGCCGUCGCACCCAUCCUCAUGCCAACACAUGGCCAUUCAUAUUCACAUACAUCCACGUAUGGAUCAUUGAACUCACUUACCUCAUUAUCACAUAAAAUAACAUUCAUCGGUAUACUCACCGGCAUGCCAUGAAACUAACUAAAUGCAAAACAUGCCAAGACACUCAUCAUAUCAAAAGUUCAAACAUGCUUGCCUGGUUCAGAGUAGUCGGAGCCUAGCUCGGUGAAGUUUGCGGCUCCGUCACCUCCUUCGGUAUCUACGUUUAAAGAAACUAUAUGCGCUAACGUAAAUACCAAGGAGUGCACAGAAGGUAAACGAAAUAUUUUUCAAAUAAAUCUGAUAAAAAACUAGACAAAAUUUUAAAGAGAACAGAAAAAGAAUCAAUCAAAAAUACUUUUCUGAUUAAAAGUUAUAAGGGUUUUUGUCCAGGGACUUAUCUGUAAUGAAACAGAAGAUUUCCAGGGGCUAGUUUAUAAAAACAGAAAACGCUUCGGUAGCGACUACGCCAGCCCGAAGAGAAGACGCAUUCUGCCCGAAGGCGCUUCCAGAAAACGAUUCGAAAGAGAGAGAGAGGCUGACGGUGGGGUCCCACCUGUCAGGUUCAAAUGUUUAAACGGGGCGGCAGAGUUCGCCGGCGCCCGAGAGCCGCGGUGGUCGCCGGCGGCGAUCCACGGCGAGGCAGAGAGAUUGGGGAGUACCUCCGUGCUCAGGGUACCCUUCCGCGUCAGUUGAUGGUGGUGGAGUCGGUCGGCGAGCACCACGUCGACGGCGAGCUUUGCUCCGGCGGACAGCGGCUCGGGUGGUCGAGGGGCUCGUCGGAGAGGUCUGCAAAGGUUAAAUUGAAGAGGGGGUCAUGCUCCUGGCAGCUAGAGAAGGUAACGAACGGGGUUUGAGCGCCGGAGAUGGCUUCACCAGAACGAAUCGGGCUGGAGGCCGAGGCGGGGCGAGGCGGCCGGAGCUGGGGGAGGAGACCUCCUCGAGGUCCCCCUAGUGGCCUGGCGGGGUGUUGGUGAGUAGUGGGGGUGCUGCGUGCACGAGAGUGAGCUCGGGACCCCUUUAUAUAGGCGGUCCGAGGCGGUUGCCGUGAACGAGGAUCACCGGCGAGCGAUUACGGCGGCGCAGUGCUCGGUCGGGGUGGUUAGGGGGUCGAGCGUCAUCACGGAGGUUCAAUGGGUCCGUUUUGGUGUUAAACUGGCCGGGGUUUGGGUGUUAAGGGCGAGCUCGACGGAACGGUGAGGGUGCGGGCCCGUCGGCGGCGGAGAGCGCGUUCCGUGCUUGCCGGCCACGGUGGCUGUGCUACGGGCGUGCGCUGGCGUGCAUGAGGCCACGCGGAGAGCCAGGGAGCGAUGGGCGGCGCGGAACGGCGUUCUGCCGUGGGGUGCCUCCUGUCGGCCGCCACGGGAGGUCCCGACGCCGCAGAAGACGCCGGCGAGGGCGAGCCAGCGCGCUACCGACGCCAGGAAGGCUCCACGCACGCGUGUGCAGCUUCGGACAAGAGGAAGAGGCGGCGAGGAACGUGCCAAGGGCACUGUGGCCGCGUGACUGAAACUGACGAACUGAAGAUGACACUGAAACUGAAUUUACUGAACUUUGAACAGUAACAGUGCCCACAAGGUGUUCGACCGAAUGAAAAAGGCCUCUGGUGAUUUUUCCUUGAGCUGAUUUUUGGUGGAGUGGCUUCUCCUUGCUCAAGUAGGCUGCAUGAUUUUUGGUGGAAUUUUUGGAGGAGUGUGGAUAUGAAUUUCAUCAAAUUUGGCAAAUCUGGUCCAAACUUGCAGAGACUGUAUUUUGAAAAAUUUGAAAAGGGGAGGAGUGGAUCAAGAUGGUUCUGGGUUGUGGGUUCAAAGGACAAUCCAGGAGAAUUGGUUUGAGGUCAAAACUCAAAUGCAAUAGGGCACUUGCUUUGAAAAUCUCUCAGGCUCCAAAUAAUUUUCAGAAUUGAAUUGAGGGGAAAAAUAAUUGGAAUAAAAAUCCAAAACCAGUUUGGAUUAGUUGGGACAGAGAAUUUAGGUUGAUCACAAGGGGGAGGGAAGGUUUUGGAGGGGUUUUAUCUCAUGGACAAAAAUACAAAGCCAAGGGUGGAUUCAAAGAUAAGAAAAACCCAAAUUUUCAUAGAGCUUCACUUAAAAAAAACAAAUUAAAAACUCCCAACAAAAAUUUAGAUUUUUAGAGGGAACUAAUAGAGAAGAAGUUUGCAAAAGAUCAACCACCAAAGUUUGAAAGAAAUAAAAUCUCUGUCAAGGCAAAAGGAGGUUUUUUUAAGAGGAAGGUUUUUCUGAAAAAGAAAAUAUUUAAAAACAGAAGUCUCUCCUCAAAACCACAAAGUUUUUGAUAAAAACCAAAUAAAAAUUUUGGAGUGUCACAACACCUACCCCCUUAGGAAAAAUCUCGUCCCCGAGAUUUCAGCUGAUCCUUAAAUAGGUGUGGAUGCUCUGUCCGAAGAAAAUCCUCGCUUUCCCAAGUUGCUUCACUGUCGGUGUGAUUGCUCCACUGGACUUUGAAAAACUUGAUGGUUUUCUGUCGGGUCCUCCUUUCAGACUCCUCUAAUAUUCUUAUGGGACGUUCUCGAUAAGUGAGGUCUGGUUGUAUGUCAAUGUUCUCAUGAGCUACUUGUUUCUCUGGGUUGCUUACGCACUUCCUUAAUUGAGAGACGUGGAACACGUCGUGAAUGUCGGACAAGUCUUCGGGUAAGUCUAGCUGGUAGGCUACAGUGCCUCUUCGUGCCACUAUGCAAAAUGGUCCAAUGAAUCUUGGUGCUAAUUUUCCUUUUAUCUUAAACCAUUGCAAUCCUAUCAUCGGGGAUACUCUCAAGUAUACGAAUUCACCGGGUUCGAAGCUGACCCUACGAUGUUUCUGAUCAUAAUAACUUUUCUGUCGACUUUGAGCGGUCUUAAGUCGGUCUCUGAUUAGCUAGACUUUUUCCUCGGCUUCUCUGAGCAUAUCUGGUCCGAAGAUGCGGCUGUCUCCGGUCUCUGACCAAUUUAACGGGGUACGACAUCUCCUCCCGUAUAGGGCUUCAAAAGGAGCCAUUUGCAGGCUGGCCUGGUAACUGUUGUUGUACGCGAACUCGGCAUAUGGCAGGCUGUCCUCCCAACUGGUUCCAUAGGUGAGGACACAUGCUCUCAGCAUGUCUUCUAAAACCUGGUUUACGCGUUCUGUUUGUCCAUCAGUCUGUGGAUGGUAUGCGGUACUGAAGGCUAGUUGGGUUCCCAGGGCCUGUUGUAAUUGCUCCCAAAAUCUUGAGACGAACUGAGUGCCUCUGUCAGAAAUUAUAGUCUUCGGGACACCGUGCAGACAGACUAUGCGGGAAAGAUAAAUCCUGGCAAGCCUCUGAGUGGUGUAGGUUGUCUUCACUGGAAUAAAGUGUGCUACUUUGGUCAACCUGUCAGUGAUGACCCAUAUGGCAUCAUUCCCGUGUCGUGACCGAGGUAAUCCGACAAUAAAAUCCAUCCUUAUUUCAUCCCAUUUCCACUCAGGUAUUUUGUUAGGUUGCAGUAGUCCGGCUGGUCUCUGAUGUUCAGCUUUUAUGCGUUGACAUGAGUCGCAACAUGCAAUGAAAGCGGCUAUGUCCCUCUUCAAACCGUGCCACCAAAAUCUUUCCUGAAUAUCCUUAUACAUUUUGGUUCCUCCAGGGUGGAUCGAAUAUGGAGUGGUGUGUGCUUCAGUUAAAACUUGCUGUUUAAGGUCUUCUAUGUUUGGCACGCAUAGCCUUUCUCUGUACCAUAAUAUUCAUUCAUUGUCUAUGACGAAUUCCGAGGCCUUGCCCAUACUCAACUUCCUUUUAAUUCCUUCAAUGCUGGGGUGACCGGACUGAGCCUCUUUAAUUUUCUCCACAAGGUGUGGUUGUAUUUCCAAGUUUGAUAUGGUGCCUUCUGCUACCAUUAUCAAGUUGAGCUUGACAAAUUCUUGAUGGAAUUCGGGCCUCAAGCUGUGCAGAUAGUUCCCGUCGGAGCUGGGGUUCCGACUCAGGGCAUCGGCCACUACGUUUGCUUUCCCUGGAUGGUAAUGGAUACCAACAUCGUAAUCCUUUACCAAUUCUAACCAGCGGCGUUGCCGUAAAUUUAGUUCUGGCUGCGUAAAAAUGUAUUUGAGGCUUUUGUGAUCCGUAUAUAUCUCACAUCGAUUCCCAAGUAGAAAAUGCCUCCAUUCCUUGAGUGCAUGAAUAACUGCUGCCAUUUCUAAGUCAUGAGUGGGAUAAUUUUCCUCGUGUUUGCGAAGUUGCCUUGAAGCGUAGGCGACAACCUUGCCUUCUUGCAUCAACACGCAUCCGAGACCCUUUCUGGAUGCGUCACAAAAUACUUCAAAAUUCUUGUGUAUAUCGGGUACAAUUAAUACCGGUGCUGUUGUUAAUUUCCGCUUUAGCUCUUGGAAACUUUUCUCGCAGGCUUCUGUCCAUUCAAACUUCUUAUCUUUCUUGAGUAACUGUGUCAUAGGCUUGGAUAUGGUGGAAAAUCCUUCAAUAAAUCUGCGGUAAUAUCCUGCCAUUCCCAAGAAACUUCGUAUGUCCGUUACGCUGGCUGGUGACUUCCAGUCAAGUACGGCCUUGACUUUCUCUGGGUCCACUGCUAUACCGUCUUGAGUCAGCACGUGGCCUAGAAAACCUACUUGUCUUAGCCAAAAUUCGCACUUGCUGAACUUGGCAUACAAUUGGUGUUUCCUUAGCUCUCCUAGUACAAUCCUGAGAUGUUCUGCGUGCUCUUCUGGUGUUUUGGAGUAUACCAGAAUAUCGUCGAUGAAUACUACGACGAAUUUGUCCAUAAACUUCAUAAAUACUUUGUUCAUGAGGUGAACAAAAUAUGCCGGGGCGUUAGUUAAUCCAAAUGGCAUCACUGUGAACUCGUACAGUCCAUAUCUGGAGGUGAAGGCUGUUUUGGGGAUAUCUUCUGUUCGUACCUUCAAUUGAUGGUAUCCUGACCUUAAGUCAAUUUUUGAGAAUACCUUGGCCUGAGCAAGUUGAUCAAACAAAUCAUUUAUCCUUGGCAUCGGGUAUUUGUUUUUGACUGUGACCAUGUUAAGUGCUCGAUAGUCGAUACACAAUCUCAGCGUUCCAUCCUUCUUCUUGGCAAAUAAAAUUGGUGAUCCCCAAGGUGAGGAGCUGGCCCGAAUGUAUCCUUUAUCCAGUAAUUCCUUUAUUUGCUUCUUCAAUUCGAUCAACUCAGAUGGUGCCAUUCUGUAUGGUUUUUUGUAUAUGGGGGUGGUUCCUGGUGCUAGCUCAAUGCGGAAUUCUAUUUCUCGAUCUGGUGGCAUGCCUGGCAGCUCUUCAGGGAAUACAUCUGGAAAUUCACACACUACUGGAACCUUGUUUAGCUCAGAAACGUCCACCUUAUUUAAUUUCGGUUGCCGGGGUCUUUUUCCUUCCUUGGCUGAUACUCUUAUUGUCUUCCCUUGGUGGUGUGUGAGAAUCACGGUCCUGUUGAACAGUCGAUAAAACCUUUAUUGGUGGUUAGCCAAUCCAUCCCUAGGAUGACAUCCAGUCCUUUAUUUUCCAAUACAAUAAGAUUUGCGUAAAACUCCAAUCCUUCAAACUCAAUGACCACAUUCUGACAGUAAUUCUGAGAAACUUGCUGAAUCCCGGGGGACUUGAUUAUUAUGGAUUUCUCCAAAGGAAGCAUCGAAAAAUUAUUUUGCAAAGCAAAACUUUUCGAGAUAAAAGAGUGAGAAGCUCCAGAAUCAAACAAAACCAUUGCAGGUAUUGUGUUGACAGGAAACGUACCGAGUACGAUAUCCGGAGCAUUUUGUGCCUCCUCUUUGGUGACGUGGUUCAGAUGACCCUUCCUGUGGUUAUUGUUGGGAUUGAAAUUGUUUCGCUUGGGCGCGGAAUUGUUGCCGUUGUUUGGCUUUGGGGUUGAAUUCCUUGGCUUGGGACACUGUUUGGCAUAGUGCCCUUCUUCUCCACAAGCGUAACAAGUAACGCCGGGGCGAUAGGUGAAUUCCUUGUCCCUUGCAUGAAAAUUCUUGAUUGGGCGUGAGACAUUGGAUGAGAAUUUGGGUGUCCCACCCUUUUUAAAAUCUAUCUUGCUUCGGUGAUUGCGAGUGUGAUUAGUCUGGUCCCUUUUUCGCUUGCGGAUAUCUUCCAGACUGCGUCUCUCAUUUUCCAGAGUAAUGGCCUUGUCCACCAGCGUUUUAAAAUCAGGAAAAGUGUGCACGACCAGUUGGCAUUUAAGUGCGGGUGCCAGACCGUCAAGGAAUUUCUCCAUCUUCUUGAUUUCAGUCAUACGCUCCUCAUUGGCGUAGCGGGAUAAUAGGGUAAAUUGACUGUUGUAAUCUGACACUGUCAUGUUCCUUUGUUUGAGGUCAUCAAAUUCUCUCUUCUUGAUUUUCAUAAUACUCUUAGGAAUAUGUGCACCACGGAAACCUUCCUUGAAAUCAUCCCAGGUUAUGUCAUUUUCGUUGGGAUGCAUGUGCAGAAAAUUCUCCCACCACGAUGCGGCUGCUCCUGUGAGAUAGUGCGGAGCAUAUAAUACCUUCUCGGGGUCUGAACAUUUUGAAAUAAUUAAUUUUCUCUCCAUAUGUCGAAGCCAGUCCUUGGCUUCAAGAGGCUUGUCAGUGUGAGAAAAUGUUUGAGGACGUGUCUUCUGUAGCUCAGAUAACUUGGAGUGCUGUUGAUACUGUCCAUGGUGAUUUCCCAUGUUGAUGACUUGGUUCAUUAUUUCACGAUGUUGUUGCUGACUCUGUUCAUAAAGGCGGCACAUUUGUGAAAGUGCCGAUUCAUUGCCCGGUUGGCUAGACUGUCCCUGAGUGAACUCAUUGUUGGGUUGAGUAUCAUGAAUUCCCUCUGGUGGAGUUGGCAUGGAGCGAGUCCAAGGACGAGACAUUUUUCACUCUGGGGAUAUUUUGUAAAACCCAUAAGAAAAGCGGAAAAAGUCGCAAAAACAAAUCCAUAAAAUGCAUAAAGCUGGCAAAUAGAAUUAAAUAACUCAGCUUACUUAAGAAAAACAAAUCGACUUGCGCACGGAGAAGGACUGCUCAUUACAUAUCUUACACGCGGGCGGUAAUUAUACAAUACAUCAAUCAGGAUAUGCGUACUUAAUCCUGACAUGUUAUUAAGGCUAGUGCACUUCUCCAGAUCCUACAUGAUGCGCAAAACAGGCUACUUCUCACAACCUAUGUACAUAUCUUACAAGCGGCACAUUACAUAGCAGCUAGGCGUACUUAGGCAGAGAUGUUGACGAUCUCCCUUGCCCUGCCGAGGGCGAGGCGUAGCGAGGUUGGGGACUCGACUUCCUCCUCGCUAAUGGGCUCCAUACGUGUAGUGUUGCGCAGAGUGGGCGGAGCGGUUGCCAGGGGCGGAGCAACACGUACAGGAGUGGGCGCGAAGGGUGGUGUACUGCGCGCUGGAGUGGGUGCAAUGACUUGGUUAAAUUCUUCGGUAGAAGGCAGAUGACGAGCAGGCGUAAAAGAUGCUGAUGACGAGACAAAAGUCGGUGGCGGAGCAAUGGGUAGGAGCUCCCUCCUGUUGGCAGCACAGCCAUGGACUGAGUCCAUGCGGGUAGCUACGAAGUCGUCCACCAGGUUGUCGAAGGCUGCCUCCAGGGCCCGGAGAUACUCAAGGAGCAUCUCAAAAGCCUCGUCUCGUUCUCCUCUGGGGCAGGAGUAUGCGUAGUGAUAGGUGUAAGGCACAUGGCACGGAAGAUAACGGUAACGACGAGUCUUCAUCACGGGGAGGACAUCCCUGAGACGAGCUAUCGCCUCGCGGGCUGCCAUCUGCAUAGCAUGCCUCUCCGUAGGCAUGGCUCUUCCCACGAACCAGAAGCGGCGUAACUCACCACGCCCUCCCUUGAACUGCACUGCGGCCUGGUGCAUGGUCAGACUGUCGUUGACUCGGUGCUGGUAGAGUGUGAAGACUGGGCGCACGGAUGGCCCCAUCGCGACCUGAACGAUGAAAGAAAGAAGCUUGACGAACCCAUCGGGCACGUUGGCGAAGGUCUGAGACUCGCAGCUAUUGUCGGCCAUCUACAAAAGUAGGCAAAAAUUCUGCAUGGUCAGAUCAUAAAUUUAUGCUGACUGACAGAAAAUGACUACCAUUGCUAAAAUAUAAAUUAGCUCUAUCAGGCUAAUAACCAAUUAGCGAUCGCACCUAGUGGCUUCCUACAGUCAGCCUGGCUCUGGUACCAAGCUUGUCACGACCGGUUUUCCAAUAAAAAUCUUUAUUGAAAAGCCGAUCUUUUAAGUCCAGUAUGAGAGAAAUCCUCCACACUGGCAGACAAAUUCUUGAUACAAUAAGCCAGUAGCAUAAAAUAUAUUACAGGGUCGAACUACGGUUGCUCAACCAAAUUAUUACAAGCAUGCCAAUAAUUAUACAUAACGGCGGACACGACACAGGGGUGUGGAGGCAUACUACUGACUCGAGGAUAGGACGGUGGUGGAAAAACACAGCGGGGAGAGAAAUACAAGACUCUACGUCUGUCAUCUCAUCGAGCGUCGAGGAGAGGCUCGAUGAAUUUAUUUGGUAGCGGAAGCGGAUAUAAUACAGUGACCAAAUCCAGGGUCGCACAAGACUGACUGGGACUCCUCUAAGUGUCGGACUCGCUAUCGAAUUCUUCAUCCAUGAGAUCGCCUUCGUCAGCAUCUGGCCAAAUCAACAAGCCAGUGAGUACUUUGAAAGUACUCGCAAGACAGUUCGGACGUAAGAUAUAACAAAUGCAUGCAUGGAUGCAACAUGAUUAAUUCCUUAAAGCACAAUAAAUAAAAUUGGCAUAACGGGUAAGUAAAAAGGGAAAACGGCGGUAGUCCGCCUGAAAUUCCACAGAACAUAAAUAAGGACCGAUCGGGUGUCUGAAGCGACGCCUCGAAAGGUGAACAAAUAAAAAUAAGGAAAUGAUGCCACAGUCGGGCAUCUUAGCGACACCACAUAAAGGGCUUUUAAAAGAAAUGCCACGGUCGGACGUCUGAGCGACAUCGCAGAAAGGGCUUUAAAAUAAAUGCCACAGUCGGACGUCUGAGCGACAUCACAAAAAGGGCUUUAAAAGAAAUGCCACAGUCGGACGUCUGAGCGACAUCGCAGAAAGGGCUUUAAAAGAAAUGCCACAGUCGGACGUCUGAGCGACAUCACAUAAAGGGCUUUAAAAGAAAUGCCAUAGUCGGACGUCUGAGCGACAUCACAUAAAGGGCUAUUAUUCACAAGUAAAUAAUACUCAUAAUAAACAUUCAAUUCAUGAAAACAAACGGGUUAGUCCAUCCACAGGAGUGAUCAUUUAACCGGACUUAGCACUCAUGCGAUUCACCGGAGUCUCUGUCAUCAAAGCUGACAAUUGAUUAGGAUAGGAAGGAAUGAAACUUGACAUGGAAGAGAUGAUUUGGAGGAAUAUAUGACUCUGCAGAGUUUGUACAAAAUUUUUCCCACAGUCAACGGAUUUCCGUAGUCACGAAGGACUAGUUCCGUUUAUGGUAUUUCAGAAGAAAACACAGCUAACCGGUACACACCCAUCCUACCUCUCGAUGCUAGGAAUCACCCUAGUCAUCGUCCAAGAAAAACUUUUGAGACGGGGAGAUCACAAUCUCGAAUAGCAUGGGAUCAAAUUUAUAUACGUGCGCUCUAAGGGGUGCCCCCCUCUCGGUCCCAACCGGAAACACCAUGCCCCCUGACCGGAUGACUGGCUUUAAUCCAGGGCCAUGGAACCAUCAUCACGGCCUCUCCUCUUUGGUGUGUACCAUGAAAGCGGUUUGAAACUUACUAAACCAUAUUCCUUGCGGAAAACAUGUGGUAGUACAAGGAAGGAAAUGAUAGGUACUGGACCGAUAUGGUUUGACACUGAAGUCACAUAGUCUGGCGUAAGACUGGCAUGCUACAACACUGCUGUCGCACCCAUCCUCAUGCCAACACAUGGCCAUUCAUAUUCACAUACAUCCACGUAUGGAUCAUUGAACUCACUUACCUCAUUAUCACAUAAAAUAACGUUCAUCGGUAUACUCACCGGCAUGCCAUGAAACUAACUAAAUGCAAAACAUGCCAAGACACUCAUCAUAUCAAAAGUUCAAACAUGCUUGCCUGGUUCAGAGUAGUCGGAGCCUAGCUCGGUGAAGUUUGCGGCUCCGUCACCUCCUUCGGUAUCUACGUUUAAAGAAAAUAUAUGCGCUAACGUAAAUACCAAGGAGUGCACAGAAGGUAAACCAAAUAUUUUUCAAAUAAAUCUGAUAAAAAACUAGACAAAAUUUUAAAGAGAACAGAAAAAGAAUCAAUCAAAAAUACUUUUCUGAUUAAAAGUUAUAAGGGUUUUUGUCCAGGGACUUAUCUGUAAUGAAACAGAAGAUUUCCAGGGGCUAGUUUAUAAAAAUAGAAAACGCUUCGGUAGUGACUACGCCAGCCCGAAGAGAAGACGCAUUCUGCCCGAAGGCGCUUCCAGAAAACGAUUCGAAAGAGAGAGAGAGGCUGACGGUGGGGUCCCACCUGUCAGGUUCAAAUGUUUAAACGGGGCGGCAGAGUUCGCCGGCGCCCGAGAGCCGCGGUGGUCGCCGGCGGCGAUCCACGGCGAGGCAGAGAGAUCGGGGAGUACCUCCGUGCUCAGGGUACCCUUCCGCGUCAGUUGAUGGUGGUGGAGUCGGUCGGCGAGCACCACGUCGACGGCGAGCUUUGCUCCGGCGGACGGCGGCUCGGGUGGUCGAGGGGCUCGUCGGAGAGGGCUGCAAAGGUUAAAUUGAAGAGGGGGUCAUGCUCCUGGCAGCUAGAGAAGGUAACGAACGGGGUUUGAGCGCCGGAGAUGGCUUCACCAGAACGAAUCGGGCUGGAGGCCGAGGCGGGGCGAGGCGGCCGGAGCUGGGGGAGGAGACCUCCUCGAGGUCCCCCUAGUGGCCUGGCGGGGUGUUGGUGAGUAGUGGGGGUGCUGCGUGCACGAGAGUGAGCUCGGGACCCCUUUAUAUAGGCGGUCCGAGGCGGUUGCCGUGAACGAGGAUCACCGGCGAGCGAUUACGGUGGCGCAGUGCUCGGUCGGGGUGGUUAGGGAGUCAAGCGUCAUCACGAAGGUUCAAUGGGUCCGUUUUGGUGUUAAACUGGCCGGGGUUUGGGUGUUAAGGGCGAGCUCGACGGAACGGUGAGGGUGCGGGCCCGUCGGCGGCGGAGAGCGCGUUCCGUGCUUGCCGGCCACGGUGGCUGUGCUACGGGCGUGCGCUGGCGUGCAUGAGGCCACGCGGAGAGCCAGGGAGCGAUGGGCGGUGCGGAACGGCGUUCUGCCGUGGGGUGCCUCCUGUCGGCCGCCACGGGAGGUCCCGACGUCGCAGAAGACGCCGGCGAGGGCGAGCCAGCGCGCUACCGAUGCCAGGAAGGCUCCACGCACGCGUGUGCAGCUUCGGACAAGAGGAAGAGGCAGCGAGGAACGUGCCAAGGGCACUGUGGCCGCAUGACUGAAACUGACGAACUGAAGAUGACACUGAAACUGAAUUUACUGAACUUUGAACAGUAACAGUGCCCACAAGGUGUUCGACCGAAUGAAAAAGGCCUCUGUUGAUUUUUCCUUGAGCUGAUUUUUGGUGGAGUGGCUUCUCCUUGCUCAAGUAGGCUGCAUGAUUUUUGGUGGAAUUUUUGGAGGAGUGUGGAUAUGAAUUUCAUUAAAUUUGGCAAAUCUGGUCCAAACUUGCAGAGACUGUAUUUUGAAAAAUUUGAAAAGGGGAGGAGUGGAUCAAGAUGGUUCUGGGUUGUGGGUUCAAAGGACAAUCCAGGAGAAUUGGUUUGAGGUCAAAACUCAAAUGCAAUAGGGCACUUGCUUUGAAAAUCUCUCAGGCUCCAAAUAAUUUUCAGAAUUGAAUUGAGGGGAAAAAUAAUUGGAAUAAAAAUCCAAAACCAGUUUGGAUUAGUUGGGACAGAGAAUUUAGGUUGAUCACAAGGGGGAGGGAAGGUUUUGGAGGGGUUUUAUCUCAUGGACAAAAAUACAAAGCCAAGGGUGGCUUCAAAGAUAAGAAAAACCCAAAUUUUCAUAGAGCUUCACUUAAAAAAAACAAAUUAAAAACUCCCAACAAAAAUUUAGAUUUUUAGAGGGAACUAACAGAGAAGAAGUUUGCAAAAGAUCAACCACCAAAGUUUGAAAGAAAUAAAAUCUCUGUCAAGGCAAAAGGAGGUUUUUUUAAGAGGAAGGUUUUUCUGAAAAAGAAAAUAUUUAAGAACAAAAGUCUCUCCUCAAAACCACAAAGUUUUUGAUAAAAACCAAAUAAAAAUUUUGGAGUGUCACAAUCUUAUACAAGAAUCAUGGUGAUCUUCACCUUUCCUUUUUAUACUUUAUCCUUUGGCAAGCACUAUGUGUUGGAAAGAUCCUGAUAUANNNNNNNNNNNNNNNNNNNNNNNNNNNNNNNNNNNNNNNNNNNNNNNNNNNNNNNNNNNNNNNNNNNNNNNNNNNNNNNNNNNNNNNNNNNNNNNNNNNNNNNNNNNNNNNNNNNNNNNNNNNNNNNNNNNNNNNNNNNNNNNNNNNNNNNNNNNNNNNNNNNNNNNNNNNNNNNNNNNNNNNNNNNNNNNNNNNNNNNNNNNNNNNNNNNNNNNNNNNNNNNNNNNNNNNNNNNNNNNNNNNNNNNNNNNNNNNNNNNNNNNNNNNNNNNNNNNNNNNNNNNNNNNNNNNNNNNNNNNNNNNNNNNNNNNNNNNNNNNNNNNNNNNNNNNNNNNNNNNNNNNNNNNNNNNNNNNNNNNNNNNNNNNNNNNNNNNNNNNNNNNNNNNNNNNNNNNNNNNNNNNNNNNNNNNNNNNNNNNNNNNNNNNNNNNNNNNNNNNNNNNNNNNNNNNNNNNNNNNNNNNNNNNNNNNNNNNNNNNNNNNNNNNNNNNNNNNNNNNNNNNNNNNNNNNNNNNNNNNNNNNNNNNNNNNNNNNNNNNNNNNNNNNNNNNNNNNNNNNNNNNNNNNNNNNNNNNNNNNNNNNNNNNNNNNNNNNNNNNNNNNNNNNNNNNNNNNNNNNNNNNNNNNNNNNNNNNNNNNNNNNNNNNNNNNNNNNNNNNNNNNNNNNNNNNNNNNNNNNNNNNNNNNNNNNNNNNNNNNNNNNNNNNNNNNNNNNNNNNNNNNNNNNNNNNNNNNNNNNNNNNNNNNNNNNNNNNNNNNNNNNNNNNNNNNNNNNNNNNNNNNNNNNNNNNNNNNNNNNNNNNNNNNNNNNNNNNNNNNNNNNNNNNNNNNNNNNNNNNNNNNNNNNNNNNNNNNNNNNNNNNNNNNNNNNNNNNNNNNNNNNNNNNNNNNNNNNNNNNNNNNNNNNNNNNNNNNNNNNNNNNNNNNNNNNNNNNNNNNNNNNNNNNAAAGUUUGGUUUCGUGCAAAUGUGUGAUUUUCUGUUGGAAAAUCAAUGAGCAAAAAGUUCAAUUUUGCUAUUUCAUGCAGUUCUCUAGUUGGAUAGAUUGAUGGUUCAAUUUGUCCACGCCCGUGCACCCCGAGCUAAUGCCAUCUUCAGCAAACUCUUCCACCAAGCAUGUAAGGUGUUUCCAUGGAUGGUAUCUUUCCUACUCUCUUGUUCAAUUAUUGUUCUAGUUAGCUCCUUUCCACAACAUGUGUUUGUGAUUAUGGCAGCAAGAAAGGAUGUGUGGUAGCACGCCCCACAGAAUCUUGGUUAAUCCUGCUAUUGCAAACUUUGCUGCUUUGGUCGAUAUUUGCUAGCUUGAAGUAAUAUAUGUUUUAGUGGAAGUUGUAUUUUUGUAUGUUGUAUGGCUUGCUGACCUGUCCAGCUCUUAUGUGAGAACUGAUACUUGAGACUUAGUGAACCAUACAAAUAUUCAACAUGGAUAAAAAGUUUAGGUAGUGGAUAGUGUGGUGUUAGUAAGGAGCAGGAGAAGAACACUUGGGCAUCGUUGUGGUUAGCAUGAUUCUGUUAAAAUCUAUUGUGUGAUUGUGUCUUAAGAUCAUGCAUACAUUUUUUGUUAAAGCUAUUUUGUCCUUCAUUGUGGUUGGCUUUGAUUUUAAUUUCUUAUUCUGUGGCUAUGCUUAUUUGUUAAAUGUGGUAGCUUGCUGUAAGAGCCCUAGCAUGUACCUCUAUCUCUAAUUUACUUUUUGUCCCCUCCUGCUGCUUGUCAUCAUCGAUCUUAAUAACUAAGAGGGGCCGAAAUAAAACAUGAACCUGGUCGUCCUCUUCCUGCUAAUGGAUCCUUAAUGUUGCUACAAUUCUGAACUUAUUUGUUCAAUCGUACUAGUACUGAUGAAUACCGAGUUGAUUGAAAAAGAUAUGUGUCGAAAAGUUCACUUCAUCUGCAUACAUAAGUUCAAAAAAUUGUCGUAGAGCUAGUUCAAAAGAUUGUCAAAAGGUAGAAUGGUUGUGCUAUUUCAAUUUUUUCAGUCCAUCUUCUGUGUGCUAUUCAGUACAUCUAAUUCCAAAUUCUAAGUACAAUUGCCUUUAUGUUUUCCAUCUUCAUAUAGCACAAAACAGGCACUGGAGGAUAAGGUGAGAAUAUAUACUAAUGAAAUGUUUGGUGGCGUUGUCCACAUUUUGAAUUUAAACCACUAGCUUUUUUAUACACGAGGGCUUGUCCUGGGAGAGCCCUAUAUAGCCAUGUGCAAUACUGCUACAAACUUUAAUCCCCCAUUGUCCGGCCUGCGGAGCAUUAGGAAAAGUUCAAAUUUUGUAAUUCAUUCAGUUCUUCUGGUUAGUAGACUAGUGGUUCAUCUUGAUAAAUCUGGCGGUUUAAAGUUUCUCUAUGUUUUGUUACAGCAGUUGUGUAUUUUUAGAAGAAAAACAACAACGGCGGCUGCACUGGAGCAGCAGGACUACUAUUGCUGAUAGGUUUGUGAACUAAUAAACAUUCUUUUUUAUGUUCUUGUGAUGUUUCAUACUUUCAUGAACUUAUAGUUGAUGCUCUUUGUGAACUGAUAGCUGAUUCUUUUUGUUAACUGGUAAACUAAAUAAUGACAUGGAUGUAUUAUCAGGCCGUGAAAAUGAUGUAAAAAAUAUGUGCAGAUUAGUGGAUGAGUGCUAUCUAGAUUCUUCUAAUAUGAAGAUAGUGGCACCACUAAGAAAAAGAGAAAUAAUCGGUUUUUCUGUAGCCACGGAAUGGGCAUUUGGCUCAGUCAUCUUCCAUUGCUGGAGGUACUACCUCUUGAGUUAAUUUAUGAAACUGAAAUCAUCCUUUUUGGUGUUUUCAUGUUGUCAAAUAAAAGCAAUUUUUUUUGACAUGCUCAGUACAAAAAAAUUUGUUUAUGUCGGAUCCAGACCGCCCCCAUCUCCGACCGGAUCCAGGUCCGCUCCCCUGAUAGCCACCAUGGCUUGUGUCGUUGGUGCUAGUGUGGAUGUGCGACAUGUUCAUGUCCCCAGUCUAUGCCAAGUUCAGGUAUGUUCCUGGUUGCUGGUGUAUAUUCCGCUGAUGUGUGACAAAUUCAUAGUGUGCCUUCUUUUUAGUUCAGUGAGUUCAGUUCAUGUCUUAUUUUUCUUCGUCAGAAUGCACGUCGGUCUCGUUGUGGAUGCUUCUGUAGUUCGGCAGUCCAACUAAUUGCUCUACCACCGGUUGCUCAAAGCGCCGUGUGAAGUCCAACCCGUGCUCCGCCCCUGGAUCCGGCUCAGCGCCAGUUCCUUGGCGGUUGCUACCCGUCCGCUGCUCCUUCCGCUGUCUACGCACAACUCCUAGUGCGUAGCAACUGUGUUCUGUAAUUUCAGAAUUUAAUAGGACGUGCUCUUUGACCUACAUUGCUUCGGAAAGGACAAUCCCUAGGUAAAUCUUCUUCAUGAUUUCAGGGCUAUGAAGUGAAUUAUUUGUUGUUACGAUCUAUUUAGCACAUAUAGUUACAAAACAUAGUUCAAAUAAAUUUCCCCCAAAAGUUCAGUAUUUAGGGUUCUGCGCCUGUCCUUACAUUAGCUAGUCUUCAUCAUGUCCAGAUAAUGCCUAAAGUGAAGACAUUAUUUUAUUUCAAUUCAACUUUUGAAUGUCUUUCAGUUCAUCUACUUCUCGGUCGUCCUGAGUUGCAGCAUUGCUGCUACUGUCAAUGUGUUUGCAAGUUGCAACCAUUAUUGAUGCAUUUGUAUUUCAGAUCACUGAGGGUUUCAUGAGGAUGUGCUAAAAAUUUGUUAUUGUCGGUUGCUCUUUGUUGCAUUUGGUACCGUCAAUUAAAAUUUGUUACGUCAAUGGUGAUAAUGUACGUCAGUGCAUGUGUGCUAGUACUAGUGUACUUGCGAAGUGACCCUCCUCCUAGUACAGCCAAUUCAAUUUCUUGCAUUUCCAUCUGGAGUACAAAAAUGAUCAGUACGAAUUAAAACAAUGAUCAGUUUGAAAAUAAAAGAAAUGAUUACUUCGAAUUAAAAAUUGGUUUGAAUUAAAAACAAUGAUCAGUUCAAAUUUAAAAAAGAUGAUCGGUUCGAAUGCGUAGCUACUGAAAGGUACAUUCUUUCAUUAGUAUAAAUGCAAUUUGUUAAUAAAAAUAAACAGUGAUUCAGUAUGUAUUAUAUGAGCAAUUCAUACAAAAAAGAAGAAGCAAAAAGUAGUGAUUCAAUAUGUAUUAUAUGUCCAAAUUUUGUUUUAUUCAGCACAAGGCUUCCAAGCAUUGAUCAGAUGUGUUUCAGUUCGUCUACUUCCCAGUCGUCCUGUGUUAGCUAGAUCAGUACUAGUGAUCAGCAGUACGACAAGUAGCAGUACUGAUCAGUACGACCUACACAGAUACUAUUACUGAUCAGUAAUAUUCUUAAUGUUAAAAGUAACAUCCAUAUAGAAAAAAUGCUUCUAUUCUAACACACAAUGUUUUGCAAAAAAGAGCACUAGUACUGAUGAGUCGUACCUACAAGGAUGCCGUCUACAAUUCUGAAAUUAUUGUUGAGUCAUACUAGUACUAUUACUGUUGAAAAUGGGAAGCAAGUGUCACAUGAAUCCUCAAUUGAAUGGGAAGCAAGUUGAUCCUCGCUCCUUCAACUCCACUUCGCCAGUGCCCGUCAGUCUGCAGGAGUAGGGGCGGCAUGUCCGUCAACAAACAAGAACAGAAGGUAUGUGCUUGGAAAACCUAAAAUUAUGUUCACAUUUGGGCAACAGUAGUUGUAGCUUCUUUCAAAGUUCAAAAUGAAAGAUAUUCAAUUCAACUUGUUCUAUCAAAACAUGUGUGGGACCUUGGCAGCAUGUCAGACACACUAUCUAGUGCAGAAAAAUGUUCGGCGUAGUUCAGCGCGCCGCCGCCGCCUACCCCUGCCUCCAAGUGCCGCUGGUCUAUGAGUUCAACAUGUAUAACCCUAUAAGUUCAUAGAAAAAUAGAAAACAAAAUAAACAAAAAUAAUGAUACACAAAACCCAUGGAAUUCAUAGGGAAAAGAUAACAAGUUCUAAGGAAAUAAAUAUAGAAGUUCAUAUUCCAAAAUAAAUGAAGUAUUUGGGAAGUAAAAAUGAAGUAUUUCAAAGUGUAGAAAUCUUUUUAGGUUUCUUUGGGAACUUCUAAUGUUACUACACAUGAACUUGCUUAGUUACACAAAUAUGAAACUGAUUGUGCAAGUGACUUAGAAUGUGUUUGAACUUGUUAUGGGAACUCAUGACUUGUUAUGAUUAAAUGCAGGGAGCAAUUGGCGCCGAAUGGGCCCCUGGGAGCUAGUCCAACCCGCUCGCAGACUGGAGGGCAUGCCGGUUUAUUUCCAAUGAAGCCCUAUGUACAAUCAGUCUGUUCGUUUGAUAAGAAAGGAGACAACAUAGAAGUUAUGGUUGAAGCAAGUCCCUCCGUCCAGUUAUGUCCGAUUUUUGUGAUAGUAGUUCAAAAUGAGGGAUAUAUUGUAUAAACUUUUUUGGACUUGUGCCCAGGCUGCUUCUAAACAACUCCAAUGCUUUAUUGGCCUCAGUACUACAGUUUGGUAACUUUUAACUGAGAACUCUAUGAACUCUUGGACAUGUUCAUAAAG